rnacentral:lncRNA from 1 species
GGCGCCCUGCCUCUGGCCCCGUUCGGCCUCCGCCUCCUUCCCGUGGCUUCUGGAGUCUUCUAGAUGUAAGAUAAUUGCGCGGCACGUUAAUAUCUCUAUGUAAUCCCGACGUGUGGGCCUUUCUUCCUUAUUUCCUGAUAACCCCCUGCAGAAAUAGACAAACACCAAAACUCGUGGAAUUCUGUCAGAUAAAACCCUAAGUUUAGAUGUUGGUUGUAUUUGGAUCCUUUUCUUUAUUUAUUUGAUAAUUAAAUUUGAUACUUAAGGACCGUCAACAAACUCCCCCAAGCUUACCUCUUGCUCAUCCCUGAGCAAGGAUAGACUCAGCAAUGGAUCAGAAGUUGUUGCAAUAUCUUAAAAAUUUGACUGUACACAUGCUUUUAAAUAAGAUCUCAUCUCUGAGUUAGAGUAAACUGUCAAGAACUAAAACUUACUUACUUUACCUUUCACCAUGGGACUUGUAACCGUCACUUCUGUCUUGAGUAGUUAAAAGAUAGAACAGUCUAGCCAAGUGCCAUGUCUCUUAUUCUUGAUCAGCUAUAGCUCUGGAGUUUUUGCAGUUUUUCAAAUAAAACUCAGAGAUUCCUUGUAUGACUCUCUAAAUCUCUCUUUUAUGGUAUUUCUGGAUCCUUACCAAGGCAUGAUGGUAUAUGCCUUCUCUCAAGAUAUGUGGUAUUUGUGGUAUAAGGCAUAGUGACAUUGCCUUCUCUCUCACCCUACUCUAAUAAGGCUUUAAUAUCUGGAGCUCAUAGGUGGGAGACAGCUAAUACAUACUUACAAGACAUUUAUUGCAUAGUCAAACCAUGGAUCCAGAGAAACAAGUCAAUAAGUCAAAUCAAGAUGUGCAUGUGUGGCGAAUGAAUGGUGUAUGGUGAUGAUGGUGAUAACAAUGGUGGAAGUCUAAUUCUACUUUUGCUCUUUUGAGGGGAUACAUACCUUCCUUGCUUUUUGAAACUUUAUGAGGAGAAUGAGAUGCUCUAUCUUUCAUUUUUUUUCUUUCCUCUCAGGUGGGUAUCCUGUACCCCUAAUUCUACUGUCGGACACUUGUCCAUUUUUACCUCUCGUCUCACUCUUUUUUUUCUUUCGAGGUUCCAGGCACUUGCCCCUUUUUAUUUCCUCGUUUAUUAUUAUUUUUUCUUCUUUUCUCUCUCUUUUCUUUUUUUUCAGAGCACUCAUCUCUUGAGAUAAUAUAGCAAGUGGUAGUAGCAAGAUAACUUGAGCAUUUAUUUCACAAGAGAAAACAGAAAUAUUUUUGGCUAUUCUCUCCCGGAUUAGGAGUAGAAUAUUUUUGGGUGGUUCUGGAGAUGGAAAUGGGUGGAUAUAUGUGGAUGAUACUUCCGGAGUAGAAGUAGCAUAUAUGAGUGAACGUGCAAGUGAAAUCUUGAUUUAACCACAUGACAAGCUCCUAAGGGUCUACACAGCUUGACCACACUCAAUGCUCAUAAGCAGUAAAUAGUACAUGUAUGGUUCAUAGUCUAAUAAGCAUGUAUAUAUGGCUGUGGUAGGAAUUUAAACUUUCAUCAUACAGGAACUCAUCAUGCAAUAUUUUAAAGAUUUUUUAAAGAUAAAAUUCUCCAGAAUUGUAGCAUCUCUAGGAACAGAUAAACAGCAGCUCAACCUUCCCAUAUCAUAUCCGUUAACAGCUUAGAUUUCAGAUCAAGUUUUCAUCCCACAAGUUUAGAUCUAGAGCAAGCUUUAAAUUAUAACAGUUAUGUCUAAACUUGAGAGAGAACUUCAAAUUUGCAAAUUAGGCAGAGCAACUAUUCAUCAUAUCCAUGCUAGAGUUUUAUUAUUAAGAUUCAGAUUAGCAUAGCCACUUUAUUUAUUUAUUAAACACACUAAGCAAAAGAUAUAUAUAAGCACAAAAUCUUUAUUUGGUUUUUCAUAGUUUAUGUAUUUUAAUAUUCUAAUAUAAUAUAAGUAUAAAGAUAGGUAGAAAUACUUAGCGAGAUAAAUGGGGGUGCUCUCCCCCAAGCUGAAUUUUGACGUAAUUUAUCUUGAUGUAGCUAGCAGGUGGUAGAGGUGUAUUUGAAAGUCAGUAACAUUCUGACAGCGAUUAGAAUGUCCUCCGUCUGCUAGUCUUCUUGAUUCUUAAAUUCUGUGGAGCUCAAAUAGACAACAAAGCUUGUGGAACUAAUUACGUGUUAGCAUAAAUAUCUAGCCUUCAUCAUGUUGAGCUUCCUUAAUAAAUAUUACUCCCUAUUUUUAUAUUUUUAUUUUAUAAAGCAGAAAAGAAAUAUUUAUUUUAUUUUUAUGCCACCACAGUGAAGGUACUUAUGGGUUUUAUGCCACUCGUAUACUCACAUGGGGCUUAGUAUUUUUUAACAUUUUUAUUUUCUUUUCAAGAUAGCAUGAUUAACUAAUAAUCUAUUUAAGGAAAGUAAAUAAUUAAAGGGAAAAGGGAAUGCAGAAAGGAUAAAUAUGGAUAACUACUGAUCUUACCUUUCGGCGAGGGUUCAAUGUUUUAAGUCUUCUUAACAAGACUUCUCACCGUGUUCAUUCUUCAGGUGCGUCAUUUGAUUCAGGUGCGGACCUUGAUGUCUGCACCUCUUCGUUUGCCUAGCAGUUCGAAGUGCGGCGUUGGCAGUGUCCUGCUCACUGUGUUUGUGCUCGUAGAUCCAGGUUCUUUAAUUGGUAGAGUCUGAGAGUUAUAAAACUCCUCCGUGUUUUGCUCAAAGUGUACCUGCUCAUAGAGACAAGGCAGAGAUCAAGUGCAUGGGUCCUGUUGGUGGAAAACACCAACAGAACCUAAAGUGUAUUUGUUCUUCUCUAACCCUAAGCAUAGUGAGCAAGACAAAGUUGAUGGAUGAAAAGUUCAUGAGUGUAGCACUUAUAACAUUUGUCAGAUCAGAUCGCUCAACCUUAUGAAAAGAUAAUCUAUCUAUGUAUAUGUAUUUUUCUUUAUAUCUCUCAAUGAUUGAAUGUGUAACAUUUUAGCUCAUAUGAUUAGGAGUGUGGGAUCAUGGAGGUAGUACUAAGAACAAGGAUUAAAGGACUAAACAUGUUGAAUCAGUUGGGUUGGUUAAUCUAGAGUUGUAAAUUAUAUAUGUUUGUCUCUUUUAUUUAUAUGAACGCCAGAACCAAGGAGAAGCUUAUAAAAGUGAUAGUCAAGUACCUUAAGAUGUUACCUUGCUUGAAGAGUGAUGGUACAGUAUCACCUUGUGGAAGCUUUCCUUUCUUAGCGGUUGUGCAUCAUGUUUGUGGCACCCUCCAUGGAUCAUCUCUCUAUGAUGAAUGAGCUAUGUCCUUCUUGUGCAAAUUGUUAAACUUCAUGUGUCACUCUCUUCGUCUCUGAUGUGAGUUUAUCUCAGGACUUCCCAAAUCGAUAUUGAAAGUUUUUCUGCAGGGGUUAGUCCGACAAAAAUAUACCAAUGUCUACACAAGCAGUUUUUAGUUCAAUAACCGAACUAGACUCCAUGUCUAAUCAGAUUAAGGAAGGCUGUUUAACCUAAGCACCAUGCUUAAUUUAAAAGCCAAUAGAAGUAUGUGCAGUACUUCCAAACUAACACUUACUAGUAAAUAGACAAAGGUAACAUGACAGCAUUUAUAGAGAUCUACUCAAGUGGAGAUGAAGUAGUGUGAUUAGUAUUUAACAAAUUGAGCAUGUCUUAAAGGUAGGGACAACCAACAUAGCAACAUGGCAAAGGAUGUUUUUAUGUAAAGUACUCCCCCAAGCUUGAAUUUUGCAGAAUUCAAGUUUGGAUGAAUUUAAUUCAGUGUUGCAUGAUGAUUGGUUGGACAUACCUUGUACUUGCUUGUUAUUCAUCUGAUCUUCUUGUUCCAAUCCUGGAAAGGUUAGUGACAAGAAUACCCGAAGGAAUAUUUUUACAAUUAUCCUUAUAUGCUCAAUACACAAGGUAAUGUUGCAAAUAAUUAAAAACUCAUGUUACGAUCUGAUCAGCGCUUAUUUUAGGACACCAAGCUUGUCCUUGGGAAACCAUCAAUUUAUGUCGGCGAAGUGGUUUCCCUUCCAACGCUGACCUAAAUCAAGAUCAACUCAACGAGAUCUGCAAUAUUUAUUAUAGACAUAUGCAUCGACAACCGCCCUUUUAAAGUUUUUAUAAAUAGAAAGGAAGAGGGGGUUGGAGAUCUCAAAUGUGGUGAUGUUGGAGAGACCAAUAGAUUGGGAAGAUGUUGCAUAUGAGCAUGGAGUAAACAAAGUGGCUAUGAAAUAAAUUCCAUGCUCAUUAAUGUUAUCUUCGUCUCCAAUCUGAAUGUUCAGAGUUCCUCUUGGAUUGGUUUCACUUAUGUCCUCUUCUAUAGUUGGAUGAAUCCCAUCUUCAAAGGGAGUCAAGAACUCACCAUUUGAAAUUGAACCAAAGUCAAAAUUCAUUAAGGCUUCUUCCUUAUCCAUCCAUUCUACACAUUCUAGCCAUUUAGAACUUGUGAUCAGGAAAGGGGAGGUGAUAGAAUCUUCUCUAUGGCUUACUCUCCUUCUAUGGCAUUACUUGACAUGACAUCCUUAUGGUCUUCAUGACUCCUAUGGUUUGGUCGUCUUGAUGGAUUGCUAGGAUCAUCAUGAGACUUAAAAGGAGAGGGAUAAGAGGGGUCUCUAAGGUCAAGGAUGGACUUAGAAUUUGUGAACAUGGAAGGGGAGGAGAUAGAAUUUUCUAUAUGGUUUAGCUCUCCUUCACUUGAUAUGUCAUCCUCAACUUCUUCAUAAUAGGAACAAGGACAUUCUCUAAGAGAAACAUUAUUGCAAAGAUUUGAAUUAUCCCUGCUUGAAGGUCUCUUAUGGAACCAGAAGUCUAAACCAUCAGUAUCUGAAAGAUUUAAGGUCGGAAUUCCUUCCUCCCUUGGAGAAUUUUGGGGUAUUGAUGGUUUAGGAUCGAUAGCUAGAGUUUGGGUUUGAAGUGGUUGUAAUGUGGCUAUCGAAACUUCUUCUUCUUGUCUAGGAACUGGUUCUUUCUCUUUCUCAGGGAUAUAAAAGCUAGGAGACAUUCCGCUUAAUAAAUCAAUCAAAUUCCAAGCUUCACUAGCAGGUAGGUGAUAGAAGGAUCCUCUAGAGGCUGUAUUCAAGGUUUGCUUAUUUGCCCCACUAAGGCCUUCAAAAAAGUGAAUUAGAAGAACUUCUUCUGGAAUAGAAAGCUUUGGGCCAGUGAGAGUAAGCUUAAUAAAGCGGUCCCAUGAUUUGCUAAGAGAUUCUUUUUCCAGUUGUUUGAAAGAAAUAAUCUCACGCCGAAGUUCUGCCACUUCAGAGAUUGGAAAAUAUUUUAAAAGAAAACUAUUAUGUAACUCCUUCCAAUCUCCAUGAACACUCCCUACUUUGAGUUUGUACCAAUGACUAGCUUUUCCCGUUAAAGAGAACGGAAAGAGCUUCCAUUUGAGGGUCUCAUCGGACAUUCCUUCUAUGCGAAGGAGGUCACAGACUCGAUAAAACUCUCUUAGGUGUGUGUAUGGGUUUUCCUCACCUUCUUCUGAGAAAGGUUGUUUUUGAACAAAUUCUAUGUAUUCGGGGUCUAUCUCAAAACUAGAUGCUAUGAUAGGCUUUGAAGAUUUUGAUGGUUCGAGAUGUGUGCCCGUAGGUCUAUGAAAUUCAUAGAUAGACAUGUUUGAAUUCAUGAUAGACCAGAGAUCAAGGAUUAGAUAAGAAGAAAGAUUAGUAGAGAUGAGGCAAAGGAUAAAAGGAAAAUAUUUUUUUAUUUUUUUAGAAAAUGAUUAAGCUAGUUCGUAGUCAACUCAGCAACCGUUUUCCCGGCAACGGCGCCAAAAAUGCUUGUUGACACUUGCUAACACCACUUGAAUACUAGGUUGUCAUCCCCAGCAUGGCACUAGAGUGUACUAUGGUAUUUAUACGCACACAGAUAAUCCGCAAGCGCACGGAUACCGUUGAAGCUUUUACCCGGUUAAAGGUUUUAUCAUAUCCACAGGGAAACAGGAGAACUGAUCUACGCUCUAAUUUAACCAAGAUAAGUAAAUAGGUGUAAAUGGAAAGAUGGUAGAAUCGAAUAAGAACAAUAUUAAAGGUAAGAUAACAGUGAGUGAUAAUAUGGGAAUAGAGAAUAGAGCAAUUCUAGUAUAUGGGCGAUGGUAGCAGAAUAGAGAGGGUAACUAUGGUUUCUCUACUUCAAAGGGAUAUGUCUAUGUCUGGGACGAACCACGUGAUAAGAGUACACCACAAAGGAUGCUUAUCCUUAGGCCGAUAAACCCUACCCGUCCUGCUAACGAGAGGUGGACUACAGAGGACCAACGUAACUGUCACCUACGCGGCCUACCACACGAUCCAGCUAGACAGGGGAUAUCCACAAGUAAUCUAGAUCUAAGAACCUCGCUUACACCUAUACUACAACUCUCACCUAUAGCGUCCUAUAGAUUAGAAUACUCAAAAGAGUUGUGAACCAGAACAUACAUAAUUAGUAAUUGCAUAAUGAAUUAGAAGUAGAUUACCAGAGUCAUCCCAUGAGCAAGCUUGAUUAGAGCUUGAUCAUGACGAAGUACAACCGGAGGAAGAACCGACAGGCCGGCCUCUCCUCUAAUCCUCCUUCGCUCUUCAUCUUGCUACUAUCUAGAUCUACUCUAAGUUAGAGAAGAGAGGAGAGCUCUCAUCUCUAAACCCUAGCUUUUGCUCUGUCUAUGAAUAAUGAAUAAUGAUCAAGGGGUGCCUCCUCCAGGGGCCAGGGGGUCUGGUUAUAUAGUCCCCUCAAGUGAACCUGGGCCGUCGGAUCAAACCGACAUUGAUUGAACGGUUAUCCUUCAUCCUUUAGGUCGGUGGAGCUUGGUCCGCAAAGUUGGACGUGUUUGACUACAACUCCUGGGCGGGCGCCCAAGAAAGGAGGGCGGGCACCCUGCCUCUGGCCCCGUUCGGCCUCCGCCUCCUUCCCGUGGCUUCUAGAGUCUUCUAGAUGUAAGAUAAUUGCGCGGCACAUUAAUAUCUCUAUGUAAUCCCGACGUGUAGGCCUUUCUUCCGUAUUUCCUGAUAACCCCCUACAGAAAUAGACAAACACCAAAACUCGUGGAAUUCUGUCAGAUAAAACCCUAAGUUUAGAUGUUGGUUGUAUUUGGAUCCUUUUCUUUAUUUAUUUGAUAAUUAAAUUUGAUACUUAAGGACCGUCAACAAUGACAUGUGGGCCUUCUCUCCCUAUUUUCUGAUAAACCCCUGCAAAAAUAGAUAAACACCAAAACUCGUGGAAUUCUGUCAGAUAAAACCCAAAUUCUAGAUGUUUGUUUCAUAUUGAUCCUUUUUCAUGUUUAUUUGAUUAUUAAUUUUAGUACUUAAGGACCGUCAACAAACUCCCCCAAGCUUACCCUUUGCUCGUCCCUGAGCAAAUAGCUAAACUCAGACGGAUCAGGAGUUGCUUCGAUGUUUUCUUUCCUGACAGGCACACAUGCUUUUACAUAAAAAUUCUUCCAGAUUAAAGUGAAGUGUUAUGAAGUUUAGUACCUGCACUUAAAUCUUAAGUAAUCGAAAGACAAAAUAGUUAAUUCAAGCACUAUCCCUCCUGUCUAUACUUCACCUUUGUUCUAGAGUUUUUCAUAAGUUUUUAAAAUAAAACUCAGAGUUCCUAGCAAUUAUUCUCUCAAGUCUCUCUAUAUGUAGUAUUUGUGGAUCCUUACCAUAAUGUCACUUGCCUAUAGCUAAUAGAAUAAUUAUGUGGAGCUCAUAGGAGUGCAAACAGCUCAUACAUAUGUUGUCUAAUCGAGCCAUGGAUCCAAAGGAACUCAGCAUAUAAUUAAAUCAAGAUGUGCAUGUGUGAUGGAGUAAAUGAUAGUGAUGGUGAAAAUCCAUAAGUGAUAAUAAAAUUUACUUCUCAUUGCUCCUCAUAUUGCUAUCUCUCCUCUUCUUUGAUCUUUGCUUUGGGAGAACAUGGGCUAUCUUUUUUUUUCUUUUUCAGGUGGGUAGUGGAUACCCCUAAUUCUACUGUCAGACACUUGUCCAUUUUUUCCGCUCAAGUGGGCAUCUUUGUACCCCUAAUUCUACUUCGGACACUUGUCCAUUUUUACCUCUCGUCUCACUCUUUUUCUUUUAUCGAGGUUCCGGGCACUUGCCCCUUUUUAUUUCCUCGUAUAUUUUUUUUUUGCAUAACCCAUGCCUCUUCUGCAUUGAAUCUUUUUAGAGAGAGAGAAUAACAAUAUUCGGGACAGUGAGUGAUAAUAUUUUUAGCAAUUUUAAUGAUUGAUAAUGAAUGCUGUGGUAGAUGCGUGCAAGUGAAUAUCUUAAUUUAACCACAUGAAAAGCUCCUAAGGAUCAACAUAGCUCGAUCAAACUCAAUGUGAAUAUAGUAAAGAUGUUAUAGCAAGUAUGGCUGUGGUAGGUAGUUUGUUAUGCUAGGAACUCAUCAUGUGAUUUGUAAGUUUUCAAAAAUAAAUCUCUAGAACUUGGUGUAGUAGGAACAAGAUAAACAGUAGCUCAACUUUAUAUCAUGCCUUUCUCUUACCUAGACUUUAGUUUAUGCUUUCCCAAAGAUAGUAAUUUUAGUUUUAGUAAUUCCUGGAAGAAUUCUAAUAUAAAAGCUAGGUACUUGUAAGUGAGCAAACAGAGCAACUAUUCAUCAUUUCCAUCAUGUAUAUUUUUGGUCUUUUUAUUUUUCUAGAGAUUAAACUUAGCAGGAAGAUAAAGCACACUUAUCUACACACUCUUUUUAUUUUGUUUUCAUGUUUAUAAAGUGCAGUAAAUUAAAGCAAGAAAAUAUUUAUUUGGUUUUCUAAGCUUUUCCUUUUAAGAUAAAUUAAAUACUAAGACAGAAUAGAAUAAAUAAGAAGAGCAAAUAAAAACUUACUUGAUAAAUUUGGGAGGAACUCCCCCAAGCUGGAUGUUGACGUCGGUCUUACCCGAUGUUCCAGAAUCGCAUCAUGGUUGUGAUGUUGUCGUUCAUUGUUGUUGUAUCUUGUCUCAGCUCUUCUACUGUAGCGGCAUGGUCCUGGUUCCAUUUUGUUGCUCUUCCAGGAGUCUUCCAUGUUCUGCUUGCGUGUUCUGGAUGUUGAGGAGGGUGUUGUCGGUACGAGUAAAGAAAGCACCGGCCUCUUGAUAGUAGUCAUCCGUGAAGGCGUAGGAGGCGUCGGAGUAUCGUCCUGCAUCAAAUUGGGGUGGAGGUCUGGAUCCUGAAGCUCCAUAUGGAUCAGUGGAGUACCUGCCCGUAUGAAAAGGCGGGUUUGUCCACUGAUGAUCUUGGCUCUCCGGCCAUGUCUCCUCUGUUGGCUCUUGUGGUUGUGCAUAUCGAGCCCAUGGGUCUCGAAGGACUCGUGGAUUGUAAUCGCAAUAAUGCAGGUGCGCUGCUUCUUCUGGUCCAGGGUCAGCUCCAUACCAAGUGCGUUCUCGGUGAGUGGUUAUCCUUUCAGAUGCCACUCGCUGUGGAGUUCUCUGGUUCACUGGUGUUGCUGCAAUCUCAAUCAAAAAGUUUUGCACAGAGUAGAGGCCAAGGUUCGGGUUAGGUAACCGAAUCUUGCCUUUAUCAUCAUAUAGCAUAUACAUUAUAUUCCCCUCUUUCUUUAACAUCCGAGCUUGUCUAAAUGUGUCAUAGCCAUGGUAAAUUCUUAAUUCUUGUAUGAAGUCCAAUGAUGAGUUUUCUAGUAAGUGAAGAUUAGUGGCUAGACGAGUGAUAAGUGAAGUACAUCCUACUGGUCCCUGAAGACUAGGUAUACUAAGCCAAUGUGAAACUAAUAGUAUAACAGGUGAAGUAGGUACUUUACUAAUAGCAGCAUAUAAAAGUUGUAAAUCUCCUACUCUUACUUUCCUAAUAUCGUCACGAUAGAAAAGAUUGUACCCAAGCCAUUUGUGGAACAUCCUAAGAGUGGGGUGUUCCAUGUCACUGGUUCGGGCUUGACUGUAAAAAUUAUCUCUAGAUAUUUCUCUCCAAAACUGGUGUCUCUCAAAAUUGGGUAAAUCGGAGUCAAUGUUCAGGAUGCAUCUUGAAGAGAAACCAAGAUGGUCGCUUAGCUCUCUCCAGGAUAACAUAAUUUCCUGUUUGAACAUCCGAAAAACAAUUCCCCCCUCAUAGUAUUGUAAAGUACAAAGAAAUUCGAGGGUGAGAAGACGAGAACCCAGCUCAGUUAUAUUCCAAAAAUUUGUCCAACCCAUCAUUUGAAAAAUUAAGUCAAAUUCAGUGUCCAUACCUGUUUCUCGUAGUAGGAUUGGAUCAAUAGUAGGGGUGUGAAUGAAAUCUUUGUUCUUCAGUUGCUGAUAGACUUCCUUCUCUCUUCGGGUCUUCAGUCCUAGGUCUCCUAUCUUGAGAAGGACCUUGACUUGCUGGCCUGAUGAAGAUGAUGGAGCUUGUGUGGGUGUCGGGUCGACGCUCAUCUCUGAUGGUUGUGAGGAGUGUCGGGAUGAACUCCUUGUACCAAUGUUCUUGAGAGCCUUCCCUGCAUUCUUCACCUUCUUAAACAUCCUGCAAACAAAAGUUGGCAAAAACACAACUGGUGGAAAAUGUGAGAUAAAAUGUUAGUGGUCAGCUGUCCGGAGUGUCAGUAGUCCAGGGGUUAAUCGUUCAAGACAAGUUUCUAUUUUGGUAGAGCCUCCCCCUAAACAACUUUUACUUCCGCUUAGACAGCGGGAUCACUACUUGCUAGGUGAUAAACACUCUCUCAAAAGAACUCCAACUUUCUCGUCCACUCUCCUCUUUCUCUCUACUCUCUUCUCUUCACUACAAAAGCUCCUUCUCGGGAGACUGAGAUUUAUGUGGUUUUCUGAAGUGUUUGUGUGAAGAGAAGGAAAGCUGGAGGUGGCCUUUUAUAGGCUGAGCAGGGGACAGGGCGGGCGCCCAAGGUAGGUGGGCGGGCGCCCACCCCUGGUGUCCAUCCUGGGUGUGCUUCCUCCACUUGCUUCCUUGCUUUGAUCUCACGCAAAAUAAUGUUGUGUUGGUGGUGGUUGGACGGUGGAAAGAUGUCAGGUGAGUGGAAAUAUAUUGGUGGAUGAAAUUAUGUGAUGGGAUGUAUGUGAGGUGAAGUGUAUGACAUGUGGGACCCAAAGAGUGUGGGUCAUGCUUCUAGAAGACUAAUAUGAUUAAAUAUAAUGCAGGAAAAUCUAUGAGAAUCGAAACUUAAUGAAAAUGAUAAUGGAAAAUAUUUUUGUGCCUCCACAAUAAUAAAUAUGGGUUGUUACACACCACAAAUAUUAUUUAUAUGGGGCUUUUUGAUUAUUAUAAUAAUGCUAUGACUAAUGCAAGAAUUAAUUAUGCAAGAAUGAGAAAAUUGAUAAUGCGGAUAAAUACCGAUUUACCUCCCGGUGAGGGUUUGGGAUUUUUAGGUCCCCCAAGCUGGACCUCCAAAUCUUUUAAUCUUCUGAGUUACCUUCCUCUGGAGAUGGUGUCUCCAGUGGUUCUUCUUGAACUUCCUUCACUGUAGAGUCUCUCUCUGGUCUGGGUUUGAAUGUGAAGUGUUCUUCUUGACCGUUUAUGUUGAACUUGAUUUCCCCCUUCCCGACAUCAAUGUGGGCAUUGGCAGUGCUCAGAAAUGGCCUUCCAAGGAUGAUGGACACUUUCGAGUCAGGACUCAUGUCCAGUACUACGAAGUCUACUGGCACCAGGAAAUCUCUGAUCUUGACUGGAAUGUUCUCGGCGAUGCCCAACGGGUGUCGAACCGAUUGAUCCGCUAGUUGUAGGCACAUUGAUGUUGGUUCUAAGGUCGCAUGCUCAAGCUUUUUGUAGACUGAUACUGGCAUCACACUGACACUUGCUCCGAGAUCACAAAGUGCAUUGUUGAAGUGUUGGUUUCCGAUCGAGCAAUCUAUAGUGGGACAUCCGGGAUCUUCCUUCUUCUUUGGUGGCUUAUUGAGGAUGGCCGCACUACAUUCUUCCGUCAGCUUGAUAACCUCAGUGGUGGGCAGUGGUCUCUUCUUGUUAAGAAUAUCUCUGAUGUACUUUGCAUAUGUAGGUACCUGUAUGGCAUCAGCAGAGGUAUGUUGACAUAUAAUUUCUGAACGACCUCUACAAACUUACCAAACUGCUCAUCCGACUGCAGUCCUCUGUUUCUUCUGGGAAAUGGCAAAUAGUUGGUGUCGUAAAAAUCUUUCCUCAUUUCUCCAGUUCUUGGUGGUUGGAGCAGAUCUUCUGCUUCAACUGGGCUUUCUUCUUCUAUUACUGCUGGUUGCACUGGUGCUGAUGUUCUUUGUUUCUCUUUUGGGUAUGGUGGAUCUCUGGUAGCUUUACCUCCUCUAGUAGUUAUAUUCUUUACCUGCUCAAUGUUAGUAGCAACAGGCAGUGCAGCAGCUAACUUUAUUAAUUUAAGCUCUACCCUUUUAUUAAGAGUGUUUUGCUCAUCAAAGGCAGUUAGUAGAAAAUCCAUUUUAUUGUGUAUAUCUUUUAGAGAUGAUUCAUUUGUAUCUAGCCUUUGUUUAACUUCAUCAUUAAUUUUGGUUUGUUGAGCAAUUAUCUCUUUUAAUGAAAGUUGCUUGACAGUAUUAUCUGAAUUCAUACCUUUGCUAUUGGGUUGACUCGAAGUUGGUUGAUAUUUGUAUGCUGUCUCAAUGGCCCUUUGAUCUUCUUUGAACUUGGCCCUCUGGUCAAUCCAAUGGAGCAAAUUUUCCAUCUUAGUUGAUAAUGCAUUUACUUCUUCUGGUAUUCCUUCAGUUUGAUGACAAUGUUGAGCUUUAUCUUGGAACCAGCUUUGGUUUUCUGCUAUCUUAUCCAAAAGUAUCUCUGCUUUUCCAGUUGUAAGCUCCAAGAAUGAUCCUUUAGCAGAUGCAUCUAGGCACUCACGAGCCUUCUGGGUUAAUCCAUGGUAGAAGGUCUGCAUAAGUAACCAUGUGGCCAUUCCAUGGUGAGGACAAUCUGAUAUGUAUCCUUGAAAACGCUCCCAUGCUUCUGAAAUGGCUUCUGUCUUCUGCUGUUGGAAACUGACAAUAUUUCCUCUUAAGGCAGUUGUUUUGCCUAUAGGGAAAAACUUUGAUAGAAAGGCAUCUGACAAGUUCGUCCAGUUGUUGAUGUUAUCUUGAUGAGUGUAGAACCACUUCCUCGCUUUUCCUUCUAAUGAGAAUGGAAAAAGGCGAAGCAGUAUGACGUCUUUGUCAACUCCGUUGAUGUGGAUUGUGCUUCCAAUCUCUAAGAAAUUCUGCAAGUGUGCACUGGCAUCUUCAUGUGCCUUUCCACUGAAUUGUGUAGCUUGUACCAAAUUGAUGAGGCUUGACUUGAGCUCAAACUCAGGUAUUCCUUCUUCUACUGCAAAUCUUGGACCAGUUGGAAUGUUCUCAAGACUUGGAGCAGAGAAUUCUUGCAAGGUCUUUUGUGCCAUAGCUUCAGCAAUUGGUAACUAGCUUCUUCUUCUCUUGAUUGCUUUGGUUCUGAUGAUGAAGAGUUGAAUGUACCCAAAGUCAAUCCUGUUAUACCCUGUAUAAAAAUAUAAACAUAGAAAAACAACAGGGUGAACCUGCCAAAGCAGUGGUGCCUUGUUAUGAUUUCUCACUUAGUAGCUGUUUUAUGCAAUUAUUUCUCUAUAGUCUAGUCUAAAAUUUUAUAUGAAUAACCUUGAUUGAUUUUCUGGCUUUCCUCAAUAUUACUCCUUUGUUCCCCUUUUACAACUUAUUCCUGAGACUCAUAUAAUUCUUAUAAUUCUAACAUGUCUCCGUAACUCCCCGGCAACGGUGCCAGAAAUGCUUGUUGACACUAGCUAACACCACUUAGAUACUAGGUUGUCAUCCCUAGCAUGGCGCCAGAGUGUACAAAGGUAUUUAUAAAUGUAAAGGCUCUCUAGAAAAUAAUCUAUUCUAUCCGCAAGCGCACAGAUAAAACACCUCAUUGUAGCAUUUCACCAGGAUAAGUAUUCCAGGUAUCGUUAUUUAUAAUUUUGCUUAGGGAUCUGAGGAAGAUGGAAUUAAAUCAAAGGGGGCAAAAUCUAUCAAGGCAUAGACUAGAGAUAAACUUGCAAGAACAUGAUUACUAAUGAGAAACUCGUCACACAGUCACUUACUUAAGCAGGGGGUAAACCAUAAAGAUAAUGAUAAUAAAGUAUAAGUUCAUGGGAUAAAGAGCACAGCGAUUAGAAAAUAGACUACUCCUCAUAUAUGUAGGUGAUGUCGGAUUAGCUAGAGAAUGUAUUCUAAGUUAUCUACUAACUACUAAGUCAUAAUCUACUCUAGUUAUCUACAAGAUCAUAUAUAGCAUAAAAGACUCUUCAUUCAUGUAUAAGGAACAUUGAUAAAGUAAAUCAGAACAUCGCAUGACUUACUCCACAAUACCGGUUCUGCCUGUCCUAUCAACGGAGGGUGGACUAUAUAAGAAUCAACGAAGCUGUCACUAUCGCGAACUACCACACGACUCGGCCAAUAGGAUACAUUUGCAGAUAAAUAACAUCUAAGCACCACGCUCACAUGUGAUCUAUCACCUAACUCCCUCGCGACAAGAGCUAAGCGCUUUGCAAACUUAUACAUAAACUCAUUAUCAAUUAGAACUAUAUCAAAUAUAGAACUAGAGCAAACUAAGAACAUAAUAAUUAGGGACAUAAUGCAAUUAGAACAAUAGAAUUAGAGAAAGAUAUGAAUAAUACCAAUCUUUAUUACCGAAGAUCCGAAUCCAGAGCGUAGUGCUCUACUUCUCUAAUUGCUAUCUAAUCAAACCUCUAAACUUGAAGGAUUAGGGAGUAGCUAAUUCUAAUUCUCUGUGGGAGAGAAGCUCUAAACCCUAACUUUGAUGGCUACCUCUGAAUAAUGAUUUCUCCUCCUCUCCUCCAGGGGCCAGGGGGUCUGGUUUUAUAGUCCCCUCAAGUGAACGUGAGCCAUUGGAUCAAACCGACAUAGAUUGUUUGGUUUAGAUUGAUCCUUUAGGUCGGUGGAGGAUUGUCCCGAAGCAGAGUCCUGAUUGGACUCUCCACCUGGGCGGGCGCCCAAGGGGGGUGGGCGGCCGCCCAGCCCCCGAGCCCGAAUCCCCUCUCGUUCGUUCCCGUGGCUUCUGGAUCCUUCCAGAUCAAGGAAAAUUGCGCGGCACGUAAUUAUCUCGUUGUAAACAUGACAUGUGGGCCUUCUCUCCCUAUUUUCUGAUAAACCCCUGCAGAAAUAGAUAAACACCAAAACUCGUGGAAUUCUGUCAGAUAAAACCCUAAUUCUAGAUGUUUGUUUCAUAUUGAUCCUUUUUCAUGUUUAUUUGAUUAUUAAUUUUAGUACUUAAGGACCGUCAACAAACUCCCCCAAGCUCCUAAGGGUCUACACAGCUCGAUCAAACUCAAUGUGAAUAUAAGUAAAAGAUAUUAUAGCAAGUAUGGCUGUGGUAGGUAGUUUGCCGUCACGGGUGGGGCAGGGGAAUCAGGGUGAUGAAGCAGGAGUGGGUCACGAUAGGGGGAUUCCGAAUGAUGAAGUACGGGAAAUCAUGUGGGCCGGCCCAUUACAUGCUUGAAGGUUUCCUACACCAUUCCUUCUGCGCGCAAGAAGUUUAGUACCACAUGGCCUAUUCAACGGUGCAGAACAUAGCUUAAAAGCUCUAUGCUACGUGCUCAGUCGAACUCACUAAGUACCUCUGCACUGCGACCAUGCUACACCUUUGUUGGGCCUGUUCUGGUUGGGCCGGCUAUGCUUGGCUCCCCUGUUCGCAUUGAGACUCGCAUGGCCCCUGGCCUGGCCAGUCUUGUGCUAAUUUUUUUAAACUAUUUAGCUUGUUUCAAAAUUUAGCUUUUUCAACAUAUAUUUUUCAAAAUUUAGCUUCUUUCAAUGUGUAGUCAUGUCCUAAUCAGUGCCGUACCUAACAAUUUGAGGCCCUGCUACAAAAUUAAAGGAUCGUACAUAUAAGAUAUAGUCUUUUGACCUUUUAUCUUUAAAUAUAACUUGCAUGUUAUUUGAGAUUUGGACUUUGUUAUCGUUGUCAAUAAUCAGCCUAAUUGUAUGAAAACUUAUACAACAAAAGUGGUUAAAUUGGAGUUAUAUUUAUGAGUGCAUUGUAAUGUCAAAACUUUAGCCAUAUAUAUGAUAUACUAUGAGAGAAAUUAGUCAUUAAUGUCACCUUAAGGACCAUAGCAAGUUACACUGGGACUUUAUAUUUAACUAUAUCACAUAUGCUUUUCUAACCUUACUACGACAUGAAACAUAACAUAGGGUAUAUAAUAAGAGUUACAAUACCUAAUUUGUAUUAAUGGAAUUAAGUAUGUAUAUGUACUUAAGUAAAUUUUGGGGCCCUAUUUUUUUGGGAGCCUUUUGACAUUGCUCCACUUGCACUGACCCAUGUACGGACCUGGUCCUAAUCACUUAAUAUGUACUCACCAAGUGUCAUGUUGUAUGUCACAUGUCAUGACCAACAACUUUAUUAUACAUCAUCUAUAGUGGGUUUCUUGUCUUAGGUCACCAAUUGCCAUGUCGUAUGGCACCGAGACUGAACUCGUCAUGUCCAACUAGUCUAGAUUCGUCCUACAGGUGAUGUCAUUGCAUACUACCUAGCUUCCUUGUUCUUACAUGGGCGAUAUAUAUCCUGAGUGUCCCACGUGAUGUCCUAAUCACUUAAUAUAUAUACUCACUGAGUGUCAUGUUGUUUGUGAACUAAAUCAUGUUCAUCUUAUUUAUAUAAAUUAUUGAUUUAUUACAACUUUAUUUAGUUAAUAGGUACGUGAUCCAUUAUUGUUUCAUUAUUAUUUAUUUCGAUAAAUUAAAAAUUUAUCAUAACUCUCUAACUGAACCCGUUAAGAGGUUAUAAAGUUGAAAAAUCAGUGGAUGUCUAUGGCGACGUGCAAAAAUUUGAUGGACGCGCGUCACAAGCUCGAAUUCGCAGCCAUCUCCCGUGAAAACAAUAUUGGUAACAAAAGGGCCCGCUAUUUACUUCCUAAUUAAAACACCGUCGCCCUCGCUGUGCAGUUUCGGCACGCGGCUCCCUCUCUCGCGAUCUACGCGCGCGAGUCAACAAAGCCUCAUGGCGAAAACCGCCCCUGACCCAUCGUCGCCGUCCCCUACCUCCGGUAUGGCGCCGUCUCCUUCGCUCGUCAUGAGAAGGCCGUCCCACAGGAUCAUGCCGUCUCCUCCGGCUGUGACAUCGCACCAUCCACUGACGUCCUGCAGGCGUCACGGUGACCCAGGAACGUCCUCUGAAGUUCUACAGCCGAAUGGAGGGUCACUACACGAUCCAAUGGAUGACACAACGCAUCCUGGACAAGCCCACAACAAAGCUAACCUACCCAGGUAUGCGCUCGCCAUGUUUGAUUCUAGGGUUUAGGGCAGUCCAUUCAUGUGAUGUGCUGUGGCAUUUAGGGUAAAACAUUAGGCGUUGCGAAAUUGGCAAUUUUUUAGAUCCACUAUAAAUUCCAUUUGGUAUAUACAGAGAUCCAGGUAUAUACAGAGAUCCCGGUAUAAAUUCCAUUUGGUAUAUAUAGAGACCCAGGUGUUGACACUUGCUAACACCACUUAGAUACUAGGUUGUCAUCCCUAGCAUGGCGCCAGAGUGUACAAAGGUAUUUAUAAAUGUAAAGGCUCUCUAGAAAAUAAUCUAUUCUAUCCGCAAGCGCACAGAUAAAACACCUCAUUGUAGCAUUUCACCAGGAUAAGUAUUCCAGGUAUCGUUAUUUAUAAUUUUGCUUAGGGAUCUGAGGAAGAUGGAAUUAAAUCAAAGGGGGCAAAAUCUAUCAAGGCAUAGACUAGAGAUAAACUUGCAAGAACAUGAUUACUAAUGAGAAACUCGUCACACAGUCACUUACUUAAGCAGGGGGUAAACCAUAAAGAUAACGAUAAUAAAGUAUAACUUCAUGGGGGUAAAGAGCACAGCGAUUAGAAAAUAGACUACUCCUCAUAUAUGUAGGUGAUCUACUAAUUACUAAGUCAUAAUCUACUCUAGUUAUCUACAAGAUCAUAUAUAGCAUAAAAGACUCUUCAUUCAUGUAUAAGGAACAUUGAUAAAGUAAAUCAGAACAUCGCAUGACUUACUCCACAAUACCGGUUCUGCCUGUCCUAUCAACGGAGGGUGGACUAUAUAAGAAUCAACGAAGCUGUCACUAUCGCGAACUACCACACGACUCGGCCAAUAGGAUACAUUUGCAGAUAAAUAACAUCUAAGCACCACGCUCACAUGUGAUCUAUCACCUAACUCCCUCGUGACAAGAGCUAAGCGCUUUGCAAACUUAUACAUAAACUCAUUAUCAAUUAGAACUAUAUCAAAUAUAGAACUAGAGCAAACUAAGAACAUAAUAAUUAGAGACAUAAUGCAAUUAGAACAAUAGAAUUAGAGAAAGAUAUGAAUAAUACCAAUCUUUAUUACCGAAGAUCCGAAUCCAGAGCGUAGUGCUCUACUUCUCUAAUUGCUAUCUAAUCAAACCUCUAAACUUGAAGGAUUAGGGAGUAGCUAAUUCUAAUUCUCUGUGGGAGAGAAGCUCUAAACCCUAACUUUGAUGGCUACCUCUGAAUAAUGAUUUCUCCUCCUCUCCUCCAGGGGCCAGGGGGUCUGGUUUUAUAGUCCCCUCAAGUGAACGUGAGCCAUUGGAUCAAACCGACAUAGAUUGUAUGGUUUAGAUUGAUCCUUUAGGUCGGUGGAGCGUAGUCCCGAAGCAGAGUCCUGAUUGGCUUCCUGGCCAGGGCGGGCGCCCAGCCCCCGAGCCCGAAUUGCUUCCCGUUCGUUCCCGUGGCUUCUGGACCCUUCUAGAUCAAGGAAAAUUGCGCGGCACGUAAUUAUCUCGUUGUAAACAUGACAUGUGGGCCUUCUCUCCCUAUUUUCUGAUAAACCCCUGCAGAAAUAGAUAAACACCAAAACUCGUGGAAUUCUGUCAGAUAAAACCCUAAUUCUAGAUGUUUGUUUCAUAUUGAUCCUUUUUUAUGUUUAUUUGAUUAUUAAUUUUAGUACUUAAGGACCGUCAACACCAGGUAUAUAAACAAUCAGUUUAUAUGCAGAUCGAUGUACAAAUAAUCAUAUGUAUGCCAAUUUGUUAAUUGAUAGCUGUAUGUGCAAUUUUUUCUAUUAAACUCAUGAUAUCAAGUUCUCUGUAUGUACUGUUGUAAACAUGCAUAUGUUAAGAUCCACUAUAAAUUCCAUUUGGUAUAUACAGAGAUCCACUUAGGCUGUUUUGGGUUGGGUUAAGAUCAACUUUGAAUCUCUGUAUGUUAAGAUGCACUACAAAUUCCUGCCUACUUCUUAGUUGAUCACAGUGCUUGCCUUUCACUAUAAAGUCAGCUGUCCUAAUAUUAUUUAUUAAUAUUAUUUUGUUCAAAAUCAUUUGUAGGAAAAGACAUGAGAAAACUAGAGAAAUUUGGCAAGUACAUGUUGAUUUCUGGGGGGGCCAACGACAACAAACGUGCGGUACUGAAGGUUGACCUUGCUAAAAUUACCUUUGCCAGCUUAUUAAAGCUCAAAGGCAAGAUAGGUUAUUCUGCAAGGGACUUCAUGUAUUAUCUGAAGAGAUGUGACACAGAUACAGCUUUGCUUCAGUGCAUGGAUUACGAAGACGAUGUUCUAACAAUGAUACAAUAUUGUAAAGAAGAGAAGACAGUUAGGUUACUAGUUUCAAAAACCAAGGAAAAUCAGGAUGGAGUAUAUUCAAUAACACCAAUUAAGCAACGUAGUAUACAUGAGGAAGUUAGUGAACAAGGAAUUUUGGAUGAAGACAUUGAUGCAUACAAGGUGUGGCUUGCAAAGCUGCCACAGGAUGCAACUAUUGUACUAGAAGCAUACACAUAUCUCUUAUUUUUAGUAACAACUAUCUGCAUAUAUGUAACAUGUAUGUGCAUCUCGUAGAAUUCAAGAAUGACACCCGGCAAAAUACUGUUGCAACAUAUAGAGAAUGGUUGCGGCGGGAAGGGCUGCUUCACGAUAUUCGUAAUCAGAUUUUGUUUUAUCUUGGCAUUAGUGCAAUUAGAUUUCCAACUUCAUUGUAAUGGUGUACUUUCACUUGUUUGUAUGAGCAGAUGCAUAUAUAGAUGAUGAUGAAACCAUUAAUGAGGACCAAAUUGGUGAUGAAGACCAAAGUGGUGACGAAGACCAAACACCCAUAAAGUUUCCAUCUCAUGCUCGUAGGACAAAGCGAGCUGAUAAAGGUAUGCAAUGGUUCAGAUUCUUACUACAAUAAUAUUUUGAAAAUACUAAUUUUGACUAUUUACAUACAUCAAUUUUAUAAUAGGGGUUGGAGAGAAGAGAAAGAUUGGGCGUGGAACCAUUAAAGGUUUCUCGGUCGAAACUAAGAGAACAAAACUUGCCACUCCCAAACUUAGUAUAGAUUUCUCAUCCACGAAAGGCGGUCCUAUAGGAGAUAACUAUCGUGCAUUUGUUAACGAAGUAGUGCGGUAUACAAGAAAAAGGACUCCACUUAUUGGAGUUAAAAAGUGGGGAGAUGUCAAGCAGAAUGUUAAAGAUAAAAUAGCACGAGAUAUAAUGGUAUGUUACAGUCUUGCUCCCGCGCACGUGUGAAAUUAAUUCUUUGUAGUAUCUAAUUUUUUCACAAUUUGUUGGUCGUCCAUAUUAUACAGGUUAGGUGGGACAUUGAGGACACUCCUAAGAUGGAGGAGAGGAUAUGGAAUAUUGCAAAACAGCGUUACAAAGGAUGGCGAUCUCAAUUCAGUUCCACAUACAAGGCAUACAAGAGUUAUCAUCAAAGAAUGAAACAUAAGCCUGGAGAUCUGGACAUUGCGGAGUGGCACUACUUGGUGUUAUAGUUUGGAACCGAUGAAUUCUAGGUUCCAAACCACUGACAUAUAUGUGUUUGUUGUGUGCAAUUUUUAUGUGCAACUAACAUGUCUGUGUUUAUAUUAGAGAUUAAGCAACACCAACGCUAGCAAUUCCCAGCAUUGAAAGACAGUACAUGUUACAGGAUCAAAACCUUUCUCGUGAGUUAUGAGCAGGUAAUGAUAUGGAACCUAACUUUAUUCUUUUAAUUGGUAGCUAAACAGUAACAAUCUUCAAUGUUCUCAUCUUAGAUAAACCUGGAGACUGGUGAUGAGCCAGAUCAUUUGGCACUUUGGAGGAGCACACGCAGCAAGGAAGGCCGAUGUUCUCCAGAUGCUGCUAAGGAAAUAUAUCUAAGCACUACUUUCCUCAUUAAUACUCUAGAUUUAUAUGGCGAGCUACUGAUGUGAUGAUGGAUAAGUGGUAAUUAUUUCAGGAUUUUAGGAUUUAUAGUUUAGGAGUUAUAAAAAUAACAAAUGCACUGUGAUAUCUUAUUCCCAUUCUGAAUAGAUCUUGAUGUUUGAAUUGUUUGACUUAAUUAAGUCUUGAAUAAUGCCUUGGUGAUGUUGAAUGAUUUCUAGUACUUUUGUUAAGCUUUCCAAAAAGCUAAAUAUCAGAAUUUUCCGUUGAGUAUGUGUUGAAUUAUGUCUGCUCAUAUCUUAGUUACUGAUUCUGUCCAAACCUAGAAAGGGUAUCCUUGUUGCUAAUGUUUGGCACUGUUAGUAGUAUAAUUACAUAUGGAAGAUUAUAACAAAGGUGUUCACAAUUUGAUGGGCAUUCCAAAAAGUCCAGAACCAGAUUUUUUGGAUGAGUAUAGCUCUGGUUAUGGCUUUUUAAACUUGCAUGUCAGAUUCUGUGAAUGUUCUGUAGAGGUACCUUUAGAGAACUAAUUGACCUUACCUAUAGAAUCAUCUUAAGAUGACAUUAAGAAAGUUGUAGGUACCUUUCUAGUCAUAAAAAAUGAGAGGCCGCGGCGCGUCCGGCAACGGCAAGGACCGGAGGGGUCGUAGCGCGCCGGAUCGGGACAGGGCUGGCGGCGUUCGUGCGGAACCUGGCAACGAGAGCGCGCACGGAUCUGGCCGGCGUGGACGCGGGAGUGGCCGUGCUAGUGGGACGGCUGGAUCCGGUCGGAGGCCACAGGCGAGACGGCGGCUAACUCUUGCACCGGCGACGCAGCGUGCGUUACGGCCUUCUCCUGUGUCGGCUGAAUCCGACGAGGAGGACGCCGAUGAGGACGGUCAUCGACGGAGGGCGGAGGGCCGAGCAGCCUUAUCAAGAGUUGUGUCACUUGCAGUCGAUGCAAGCCAAAGACCUAAACCGAUCCACGUGGUGCCUGAUCAAGUCGGAGGGAUUCAGUCCAAGUUCUGGGCGCAGCCAGGUGAUCAGGAUGAUACGGACGAAGACGAACCAUCGACUCCGGAUUUCAUUAAUGAGGCACAGGAGGCGGGCUUCUCUGUUGAUCAAUUAGUCAGAGCCGAAAGGGCUCUGCAUUCAGGUAAUGAUCCAAACUCUGCUGAUAUCCGUUUAACUAAACAUAUUGUUUCAACGUUGGUUCACAGGAAGAUUAGCACAGGAGCACCAUGGCAAGGUCCUCUGUCAUCGCCCCGCGUUUCUCCGCCACGAACGUUGGGUGAUUUCCUGGUCACUGCUUCCGUUCAGAGAGACCUGCGGCGAGGUCGAACAACUUCACCACGGCUGAGUAACACGAAUUCGUGGCGAAGAACACUGUCAUCACGACGGGAGAGUGGCUUCCUGGCAUCCUCAGAUGCACUUCCGAAUAAGCUGUUCGAGUGUGCAAGGAGAGGAUCGCCGGCGAGGACACCACCGGCGAAGUCGUCUUCCACCCCAGCGUCAGCUACUGGUUCAAAAAUUUCUGAAAUUUUGAAUCCCCAACUGUGUCCGACUUUUCCUCCGUUGAAAGCCGCGAUACUUCCGGUCGAUCAGGCCGAGUGUUUCACGUGCUCAGCAACAGCGAAGUCAGAUCAGGGAAUUCUGGAAUUUCCAAAGAAAAUAGUAAUUGGGCCAGGAAAAAUUUUUAGGCCCACUCAAGGGCUUUGUGCAUUAUUCAGGAGAACAGGCAUCAAGAAAAAAACCCUACCUCCACCGAAGCCCUCAUCUUCAUUGUGCUCGCCGCCGGCAAGGUCCUACGCGGACGUCGUGCGAAGAGGGGUGGAGAUGGCGGCUCGAGGAAACGACAAUGCAUUCAGUCGUGGAGGCGGGGGUCGGCAUGGAGGCUUCAAUCCUGGGUUCCAUCCUGGCUUUAACCCAGGAUUUGGAGGAAGAGGGAGAGGCCGCGACUUCUAUCCACCACGCGGCCGUGGUCGUGGUCAUGGUGGCCAUGGCGGCUUUGGCUACAGCGGCAACAACCAGAGCUUCGGACGCGGUGCACGCUCUCAUGGUUUUGGUGGGAGCCGUGGCCGCGGAAACUGGUCGAACCAUGGCCACCACCACAACCAAACGGCGGCAACGGGCCCGUUCCAGGCGAGCGGACACACGGCGGCGGCGAACACCAACGUCGGGGAGCAGCACAGGUUGGUCCCCAUCGAUGGGAGCCUGGCCGGAGGGGCUGCCAGUCUUUCAGCUGGAGGGCAGCACGCUGUCUGCAACGAGGUAGGGCGCAAGGAUGAAGGAGCGAUGGCAGGGCAGCUGGCCAGCGUGUCAACCACCGUGGGAACUGCUCUCCAGGCGUCGGCAGCAAAUGCACAGGCAAAUACAACGUCGAUGAUCUCAGUAGCAACUGAACCUUCAAAGAGCACUGUUCCACCGAGCACUAAUGCUUUUGAUGUGCCUGAAUCGUCCCAACAGGGGGCUCAAAAAAAGGGUAAACCAUUCUGCUAUCGCUGCCAUACUAAAGGCCAUACAAUGUCUGUUUGCACUGUGUCUCUGUCUUGUGAGAUUUGUUUUGGAGAACAUGUUACUAAAGUUUGCUCAAAUUUGAAGAAAAUGCAAAAUUCACAUAAUACUGCUAUUCCUUGUGGUUAUGCGGUUGAAGGCUUGGGUUUUUAUUUUAUUCCAGUUGCUGAGAAUCCCAAAAUAAAUUUAGAGGAAAAAUCGGCCGUGGUACGUGUUUUGGAGGGUUCCCUCACUGCUGAUCAAUUGGCAGUGGAACUUGAAAAAUUACUACCUGGAAAAAACAAGUGGGUGAUUGAAGAGAGGGGCACUGAUGCCUAUAUCACUAAUUUCCCAUCCUCUGAUUUAUUGGAUUGUGUGGUCAACUGGGGUCCGAUGGAUACAAAGAUGGUGAAAGGAAAAUUUCGUUUUGAGAAAGGAAUUGAAAACGAUGUCUAUAAAUAUGAAAUAGACAAAGUCUGGGUUCAAUUUCGUGGUUUACCAAAGGAGUUUCGGGAAUUCCCUAUCAUUUGGGCGAUUGGCUCCAUUUUAGGUGUUUCGCGAGCUGUAGACAUGAAAUUUACUAAGAAGUGUGGCCGGGCAAGGAUGAAGGUAGCCGUGCUAGAUCCCACUAUUAUACCGAACCUUGUGGAUAUAGUGAUCGGAGAUUAUGUAUAUGAGCUACAGUUUCGUGUUGAGGAAGGAUUGUCUGAUGGUGAGCCUCAGGUCAUUGACAUGGACUCUACCAUAGAUGACGAUGAUCCAAAAGGGGGAAAAGAAGAGGAUCCAAUGGAUGAAGAUGGCAAAAAAGAGGGACGAACAGAAGUGAAUGCUCCUAAGGAACAGCAACCUCAGAUCGGCAAGCACAAUAGUGCAGUCGAAAAAGAAAAGGGUGCUGGUUCUGGGGUUCUUCAAAGCAAGGAUAUAGGUGCACAAUCAGCACCAGCAGUUGUCCAAGCAAAUAAGAAACCAACAGUAGUGCUUACUCAGUGCGGGUUAACAGAAGAUGGAACUGGUCAUUGGAAUGCUAAUGUGCUCAAUGGUGGGACAAUGCCUCUGAUAAGAUCCAGUAAAAGAAAUGCGAGAACUUCAGAUCAAGACUCUCUUGAGAAGGCGUCCAAAUUAAAAGCUCAUAAAAACUUGGACUCCUCUCCAGGUGAAGGUAACAAAACUCUCCCAAACUCUUUUCAUACUGUUGAUGAUUCUAUUUUGCAGUAUUCUAUUAAUUCUUUAGGGAUAACGUUGGGUACUAGCCAAAAAGAAGUUUUAUCAUCUUUGAAUUCUCUGAGAGAGUUAGAAGCUCAUAGAUUGAACGAGAAUAUUAGCAUAGCAGAGGAUCUGACUUUUAACGAUGCUUCUACUUUAUGUUCCACGGAAGAAAUUUUAGAUCUAGAAGCCUUAAAUUUCAUUUGUUCAGAGGUUUCUGAAGACCUAGGUGGUGGGGGUUGCGACCCGUUGUGUUUACAGACCCCUAUAUCACCAAUCAAAAGGUCACGCUGUGGAACAAGAAAAAAAUCCAAAAAUAAUAAUAAAAAAAGGGGUUCUAAAUGAAAGGUAUUUUUUGGAACUGUAAUGGGUUUGCCGACCCAAAAAAAUAUAGAUUCUUAUCUGACUUAACAAAAGAAAGAAAUUUAGAUUUUAUUGCCUUAUCAGAGACAGGCAGAGCCAAUUUUCCGCAAUCUACCUUGAAUAAUAUCUGUGCUGGCAGAGAUUUUCUUUGGCAUUGCAUGGCUCCACGGGGCCGAUCUGGUGGCAUGAUUCUAGGGAUAAACUUAUUAGCCUAUGAUAUUGGUGAGAUUGAAGAAGGGGAUUUUUUUAUCCGUUUUAAAGUUCGUCAGAGGGAAGAUGACUUUAAAUUUAAUUUAAUCUCUAUUUAUGGGCCAGCUCAGGUAGAACUCAAAUCAUAUUUUCUUUCAGAGGUUGUGCGAGUAUGUUCAAAAGACACUUGCCCAAUUAUCAUGGGUGGUGAUUUUAACAUUAUUCGUAGCCCUGUUGAGAAGAGUACUGAUAAUUAUAAUGAUAGGUGGCCCUUUCUGUUUAAUGCUGUGAUUGACACUUUAAACCUUAGGGAGCUAGUUCUAUCAGGUAGGAAAUAUACGUGGGCUAAUCAUUUACAAUGUCCAACUUUCGAAAAAUUGGACAGAAUAUUGGUUUGUACGGAUUUUGAGUCAAAGUUCCCACAUAUCACUGUAACUGCCCUAUCUAGAGAGAUUUCUGAUCACACUCCACUACUUUGCUGCACAAAUAAUUCAUCCUCAUCUUAUCAAGCCCAGUUUAAGUUCGAACUAGGAUGGUUGAUGAGAGAUGGAUUCUGUGAUUUAGUAAGAGAAGUAUGGCAGGCUGUCCCGGCUUAUGGUACUCCUAUACAGAGGUGGCAAGCUAAAAUUAGAAGAUUACGCCAGUAUCUCAGAGGAUGGGCAAAGGAUGUAAGUGGGGCCUGUAAGAAAGAAAAGUUGACUCUCUUAAACAAACUAGAUGAAUUGGAUAAAAAGGCAGAGAACUGCACUCUCGAUGAAACAGAGUUGUAUCUAAAACAUGUGUUAAAUGAAAGGCUAGCUGACCUUCUCCGUGAAAAAGAACUUAAAUGGUAUCAAAGGGCUAAGGUAAAAUAUCUAUUAGAGGGAGAUGCAAAUACGAAGUACUAUCAUUUGUUGGCAAAUGGUAGGCAUAGGAAAACUCGUAUUUUCCAGUUAGAAGAUGGGAAUGAUAUAAUAACCGGUGAUGCUCAACUUAAAAAGCAUAUCACCAAGUAUUAUAAGGCACUUUUUGGCCCAUCAGAGAACUCUACCAGCUACAUGGAUGAGUUUCAAACUGAGGACAUUCCUCAGGUUUCGAUUCUGGAAAAUGAGUUUUUAACAGCCAAUUUUACUGAAGACGAAGUGAGGAGUGCUGUUUUCCAAAUGGAACAUAAUAAGGCACCAGGGCCAGAUGGGUUUCCGCCAGAGUUUUAUCAGGUCUUCUGGUCUUUGGUAAAGGAUGAUCUGAUGGCUAUGUUCACGGACUUUUAUAAUGGCUCACUCCCAUUAAAUAGUCUCAACUUCGGCACCAUAAUUUUGCUACCUAAACAGAAGGAUGCGAAAGUAAUUCAACAAUACAGGCCAAUUUGUUUGUUGAAUGUCUCUUUCAAAAUCUUUACCAAAGUGGCAACUAAUAGAUUAUCUACCGUAGCCCAUAAAAUUAUUAGACCAACACAAACAGCUUUUUUACCUGGUAGAAAUAUCAUGGAAGGGGCUGUAAUUCUUCACGAAACGAUUCAUGAACUUCACUCAAAAAAGAAGGAUGGGGUAAUCUUCAAAAUUGAUUUUGAGAAAGCGUAUGAUAAGGUAAAAUGGAGUUUCUUACAACAAACACUGAGAAUGAAAGGCUUUUCACAAAAAUGGUGCGGUUGGGUAGAACAAUUCACACAAGGGGGAAAUGUUAAUAUUAAGAUCAAUGAUCAACUGGGUCCUUAUUUCCAAACAAAAAAAGGCCUGCGGCAGGGGGAUCCAAUGUCGCCAAUUUUAUUUAAUAUAGUGGCGGAUAUGUUGGCUGUAAUAAUUUCUAGAGCAAAGGAAUCAGGACAAGUUGAAGGGGUUAUUCCCCACCUUAUUCAAGAUGGCUUGUCUAUCCUACAGUAUGCGGAUGAUACGGUGAUUUUUAUGAGUCAUGAUGUUCAGAAAGCGAUAAAUAUGAAAUUAAUUCUGAGUACUUUCGAACAACUAUCAGGACUCAAAAUAAACUUUCACAAAAGUGAAAUCUUUUGUUUUGGUAAAGCAAAAGAUUAUGAAGUGUUCUAUUCGCAACUGUUUGGAUGUAGAGUUGGGAAGUUCCCCUUUCGAUAUCUUGGUCUUCCGAUGCAUACUAGGAAAUUAAAAAACAAAGAUUGGCAAAUGAUCGAGAAGCAAAUUGAAAAGAGACUCAGUGGUUGGAAAGGUAAAACGCUUUCAGUCGGGGGGCGUUUAACCUUAAUAAACUCGGUGCUUUCUAGUUUACCGAUGUUUAUGAUGUCUUUCUUCGAACUCCCAAGAGGAGUGCUAGAAAAAAUUGACUGUUUUAGAUCACGCUUCUACUGGCAAAACGACCAACAUAAACGUAAAUAUAGACUAGCCAAGUGGGAACUAUUAUGCCAGCCUAAAAUACAAGGUGGACUAGGUAUUCAAAAUUUAGACAUCCAAAAUAAAUGUUUGUUGAGUAAAUGGUUAUUUAAAUUGUUGAAUGAGGAUGGUUUGUGGCAGGAACUUUUAAGAAAUAAAUACAUAAAAGAUAAGACCCUAGGGAGUUGUGUUAAAAAACCUACAGACUCACAUUUUUGGAGAAGCUUGAUGAAUGUUAAAGACACCUUCAUGGGUUUUGGCUCAUUCAAGGUCAAAGACGGGUCACAAACCCGAUUCUGGUUUGACACCUGGAUGGGAAAUAAACCUCUAAAAGAUAGAUUCCCAGCGUUGUUCAAUAUUGUAAGAAGAAAACAAGACUCUGUGGCACAAGUACUUAGUUCAUCCCCAUUAAAUAUUUCUUUUCGCCGAAAUUUAGUGGGGGCAAACCUAAGGGACUGGCAUAGAAUUGUCAAUUCUGUACAGGAAUUGAACUUACAUGAACAAAGGGAUAUUUUUGUCUGGGCGUUACAUUCAUCUGGCAGCUUCUCUGUAAAAUCCAUAUACGCUGCGUUAAUUAACAAUGGGAUUGCAGUCUCACAAGAUAUUUGGCAAAUUAAAAUUCCCACAAAAAUAAAAGUUUUUCUGUGGUAUCUAAAAAAAGGUGUCAUAUUAACUAAGGAUAACCUUGUUAGGCGACACUGGAUCGGUGACACGACGUGUGCCUUCUGUCACCUUCCAGAAACCAUUCGACAUCUUUUUUUGGAUUGUUUUUAUGCUAAAUUUCUGUGGCGAGCGGUACAUAUGUUGUUUGGCAUAUCUCCCCCCUUAAGUUUGUCUGACCUUUUUAAUAGAUGGUCCAAAAGGGGUAAUAAAAACCUAAAUUCAUUGUUAUUGAUAGCAGCGGCGGCGCUUAGCUGGACUGUGUGGUUAACAAGAAACGAGGUGAUUUUUGAUAAAAGUAGACCAAAAUCUUUUUUGCAGGUUAUUUUCAGAGGAACUCAUUGGCUUCGACAGUGGGCACAAUUGCAGCGGUGUGAGGAUCUACGGAAUGAGUUGAUUUCAACGGGGCGAUAUCUUGAGAUGUCAGCUUUGAAGUUCUUCAAUUCCAAUGGAUGGCUAUCAACUAGAUCUAUUGCCUCUUCUUAGUCAAGUUCUAUUCCAAUUGUUUUUAUUUUAAGUUCAACAUUUUUUAGCGGCAUGUUGGCCGGUGGACUCAAACUUUGUAAUAAUUGGCCUGAUUCUAUCAGUCGAUAGAUGAAGCCGGAUAUAAAAUAUCCUUUAUCUAAAAAAAUGGAUAGGAGGUGCACAACUCCAAUUAUGCUUCUUUUACUAGCUCUAUUAUUCUAAGAAUUACUGAGUUUCAUAUGUAAUUUGCUUUCCAAUGGAUCUCUGUUGAUGCAAAAGUGGAUCUGCAAACACAAAGGGCUAAUACCCGAUUCAAACGUUAAGGCGUGCCAGCCGAUUUGACCUUACUAUCGGCAAAGGUGAUAACUCGAAUACUUUGGUCCCGACAACAGCGCUGCGCCCGGAUGCCACGGCCAAGAGGUAUUCACGCGGAACUCGAGAAUACGCCGAGCUUAAGUCGACGAACUCCUAAGAACACGUAAUAAAAAGGAAAAUAUGACGAAGUCGUCCAAAAAGUAGAUGCUGGAAUAUGAGUAAAAACUUGUGUUUGAUUGAUUGAUAGAUUGUUCAUUACAAGGCCCCAGGGUCUACAUUUAUACCCUGCUCAAAGAGCUACAAUCAGACACGACUAGGACUCGAAUUCCAAAUUAAACAGAAUCCGCAUACAAAACGAUUUAAAUAACUAAGAAAAACUCAAAACUAUCCUCCCGUGACAAACUGGGACACCACUAUGGACCAAUCGGCAACCUUCAGGUUCUUCCGAAUCAUCGGCAGACUCCUCAUCGUAGCCAUCGGCAAAGGCUAACGCUGACCAUCGGCAUGAACGCGUCACCACCCAUGGACUUAGUCACAUUGAGCUGUCCCUUCAUCGGAAACCACCCUCAUCGGCAACUCCCCUGCAGACCAGUUACUGUUGCCUUAUCUUGCCGAUCUAUACUCUACCGAUCCUGGGUGCGUGUCCAAAAACGGUGUCAACACAUGCCCCCCAAUUUUGGAGUAUAAAAUGAUUAAUGCUCCGAAAUUCUCUGCAGUAAUGAUGCCUUUCCGCAAUUAAUCCUCUCAAUUUGGUAAUCGACCGUUGAAGCCGAACAACUCUGGCCCAAUUCUUCCGCAGAUUCCUCAAAUUCCUCAACCUCCCGAACUGGACAUCUCCACCAUAUUCGCCCAUCGGCAAUAUUACCGUUAGAAGGAACUGCCGAUGGACCGACCAGGAAAUCCCGCACAGUGAAAUAUCUUCAAAUUAUGACCGCUUCCUGUCAAAUCACCUGAGCAAUCCCUUGAUUACCGUGCGAACAGUUACCAUAUCCACCUGAGUACCCUCGGAUUUCACGGAUACGGCGAAGAGAUAAGUCAGAUUUGCCCUUGCCUGUUUUGUCCUAUAAAUGGUUCCUUCUCGGGUACUCCUUCUCCAUCGCAUCAUUCUACAGCCCCAACAUCCACUUCCUUGGCGGUGGCACCGUUCGAGGACUCCAAGAAUUCUAGCAAGAACUUCCUCCAACAACCCUCGAGUUUUCGAUCUUCUUCCCUGCGAGAAAAUGGCCAUCAACUUCAUCGUGCCUGAGGUCAGUUCUACCUCUCUCCAAUAUUUUAACUGCACUCCUGUUCAUCCAUAGUUCAUCUUACUGAAUACUUUUUUCUUUCUUUUGCUUUUCUUUUUACCCCCAAAAACUUCUAGGAUCUGUCCAAUAAAAUCGUCAUCCCUACCGAUCAACCACACCUCCAAUGUCUCGGUCCGCUAGGGAACCCAGAUCCUACCGAUCUGAUCAACGCAGAGACCAACAGAAUCCCCUUUAGAACUAAGAAUUUUUCUCUAGAUCUGUGGAAAGAUGCCUUCCGCUCUUGGCCCAGUCCUACCAAGGGAUGGAAGGAUUGGUUCUUGAGACUCAGCCAUUCAAAUGAAGUUCAGUGGGGCGAGCGAAAACUGGACCAGUGCAUUAGACUGUCUCUUGCCGAUAUGCAUAGGAAUGAGUCACUGCUGAUUGCUGCAUCAUAUUUCUGGUCAGACACCCAUAAUGCUUUUAUUCUCGGGCAUGGCCCUGCUUCUCCCACUCUUGCCGAUGUGCUCAUGCUCGCCGGCUUAGAUGUAUCCACUGCCGAUAGUAGUCCCAUAUUUGACACCACACCUAGUGCUAAAGUGGAAACCCGUUCUAUCGGCUGUUGGUCUGGGUACAUUCAGAAAUACCGUAGAACAGGGCCUGUCAACAUAAAGGAACAAACCACCUUCCUGAACAUGUGGCUGGACAAAUUUGUAUUCUACGGUCGAUUGGUAGGACCAACCUCUGUCUACCUAUCGGCAGCAGAGAGAUUAGCUAAUGGUGGCCGAUUUCCCCUCGGCCGAUACCUGCUUGGCUCUGCCUAUCAUCUUCUCCAUCAAGUAUCCAAGAAACUUCUGCUCGGUGAACCCAUCGGCAACUUAGGGGGCCCUUGGUGGUUCAUUGUAACAUCCCCGAUGUUACGGUUACUAAAAUUCGGAUUAUGGCAUCAUCAGCAUUGCACAGCAUAGUUGUUAAGCACACCUUGAUGCAUCAACUUAAAAUGAGUUUAAUUUGGUUGAAUGUGCUUAGGGAACUAAAGUGUGUUUAUCUUGUAUAUUGAUGCUUGAGUUGGUUGCUAGAACCCUAGGGUAAAGGUUUUCCGAAGGCUUAGGGGGGGGGACCCUGAUUUCUGAACCCCAGAUUUGCCCCCUUUUGUGCAAUUCAAAAACCAAGCAAAAUUUGAGGUUGAGUUCAAAAGCAAAGUUGUAGAUCUUGUCAAGAUGUACAACUUUGGUGUUUUGAGUUUUUGAAGUUUCAAAACAAAAUUCAAAGUAAUUUUGAAAAUACAGAUUUCCGGAAAGUGUCCCCUUUUCUAAUGUGAAUCUCCACUUCAAAAUCUAUUUGGAAUUUUGAAAAGUGACCAACAUGAAAGUUGUAGAGCUCAAAAAGUUGAACAACUUUCAUGUUGGGAGUUUUUCAAGUUGUUUAGGAAAAACAAAAGUAAUUUUGGAAAUUCUGAUCUGCCCCAAUUCAAAAAUUUGAAUCCUCUCAAAUUGAAUUUUGAUUAGCAAACUGUUUUGGCCAAAUUCACCCUGUUACACUCAAAAUCAGCUCUGGUCACCAAAACAUGUUUUGUAGCUUAUAAAUUUCUGAGCAACUUUUGUUUUUGUGGAAUUUUGUGUUCAGUUCAAAUUUUGGGCGAAAUUUUCAAAACCACAAAACUGGGUUCCAGUGGAUAUGGACUGCUACAGUACUGAGAGGGGGGGGGGGUGCUCUGCCGCCGGAGCAGAGCCGCCUUCGCGCGCGCCGCCACACGCCUGGCCACGCAGCUGCUUGGCUGCGCGAGCCCGCCGUGUUGUGGACGAGCCCCCCCUAGCGUGCUCAUCCACUCCCCUGCUGCUUCCACUGCACGGCCGCUCCGCUUCUCCCUUUUCUGCCGACACCGACGACCCGGCCGCGCCUUCAAAAUUCAUCGCACCCAAUCCCUCUUAAGCCCAAUUGAGCAACCCAGAGCACUCGCCACCUCCUUGCGAACCCAGUGCACCUCCGAGCUCACUCCCUAGUCCACUCAAUCGCCGGAACACCUCCCUCUUCUCCAACUCCGGCCGAAACCGCCGCCGAGGAACUCCCUUCGUGGCCACGUGGUUCCAGUAAGCGGCAAACCUUACUCGCGGCUGUUUCCGGUCCCUCUUCAGCUCCUACAGCUGAUGCUCUUGCUUUUUCUUCUUGGACGCGAGCAGGAUCGCCGGAACGACGCCGUUGAGCUCAGAGCGUCCGCCCGACGACACCGCCUCCGUCGCCAGCGACCUUGGCUACUUCCCCAAGCCUUGCAGCGUGAGCACCACCCUCCCUAACCCCCGUGGAAGCUCGCUAGGCCGUCCGUUUGCACUCUACCGGGCCCUAGUGGCCGGCCGAUGGUCGGCCAUGGCGGCCGCCCGCCUUUCUCGUGGCCGACGUGGAAGGGAUAGGGUAGAGCGUGAAUAGAAGGUGUCCACAGGGUCGCGAAGUCGAGGUGAAGCCGAUGCGCACGUGCACUCGGGCUGAAACCCUCGCCAACGGCGGUCGGAGCCGUGGCCGAGCCGCCGUGUGCGGUGAGGACGCAGCUGACGGGUGGGGUCGCCCCGUCAGCGUCCCGCAGAGAGGGGAGAGGUGGGCCUGACGAGCGGGACCCGCUCGUCAGUGACCACGCAGAGAGGAGGGCGCGCGGGCGUGGCGCCCGUGUGGACUGGGCGUAAGUGGGCCGGCCUGCGGGCCUUUUGGCUGGGCCUCGCCCAGUUUCAAUUUGUUUUUUUCUUUCUCCUUUUGUUUAAAAAUGCUUAAUGUUUGAUUCUGUGUCAUAAAUCAUGUGCUGAUCCAAAAAUUGUGAAAAUUUUUGUAUAGCUUUCACAAAAUAAUUAGAACAUAGGAAAAAUAUUAGAUUUUACUUUCUGGUAGUUUGCAUAUAUAUAAAAAUGGUCUCUCUUAAUUAAUGAAUAAAACUUCCAUGAAUUUUCAUAAUUUGUGAGUAUAUCCAAAAAUCACCACAAAUUGUGAGAGGCCUCUGAAUAUUAUUCCCUAGCUUCACACAAAAUUUGGUGGCAUUUGGAUGAUGUUUGAAUAAAAUAUUAUUAAACCCUUAUUUAGUAAUUAACUAGUAAUUCUAAGAUAAUUAGAUAGUGAUUAGUUAAAUCCUCAUAAUUAGGGUUGAGUGAUUUUGGGAUUGUGUGAUGACCUAAGGUCAUUAACCUUAAUGUGCUUUAGCAUUUAAUUAUUGUUUAGUCUUAAUGCUUAAUUACUAUCAUUAAUAAUUAAUUAAGAAAUAAUUAGGAUGAAAGGAUUAACAAUUAGUUAGUUUAGGAUAAUUACGAAUUAAGAAAAGUACUAAUUUACAGAUGCAACCUCUUGGGUAGAGACACUAAGAUGUUAAACAACUGUAAUCAUUGUUUAUUCUGUGUUGCACCGAAAGGGCCAGUUAUACUUAACUUGGUCCCUUUUUGCAUAUUUAUCACAUGCAUAUCAUGAGCAUUCAUCAAUUUGCGUAUAGUGCACGUGACCGAAGGAGCGCUCGUCGAACCGAACCCCGAGGUCGGUGCUCCGUUCGAGGAAGUAGGAUUCGAGACUUGGGAAGUCUCCGAGGGUCCCUCUCUGCCCUGCAACCAAGGCAAGCCCCGGAUGCAUUAACCCCUCCUUGAAUGUUUUAAAUCUUUUAUCACUUAUGAAUUAAAAAUGCUGCAUUAGGUGGUUGAGAAUUGGGCUAACCUACUUGCUACAUUUACUACCUUGAUACUUGUUAUCUUGUCCUUGACACCUGUUUUAUUUAAAAAUUGCGUAGCGAUGCUUAGCCCUGCUACUAGAUAGGUUUUCAAACAAAGUUUGAAGGGUUGUUGUGGAAUACACUUAUGAUCAAUGAUGUUUCAACUUGAGACCGGUCGGUGGACUUGCUUUAAGAAUGCAGUCUUAAAGUAGUGUCUCGAACUGUGUCGGUUAAGGGCCGGUCCGUUGAUGGCCCGCUGGGUUGAGAAUUUAUAGUACUAGCCACUUGCCCUCGGUAAGCCCGGUAUUGUGAUCCCUCGACGCGAACAGCUACUCACGCACUGGGCGUGGAGCGAUGGCGAGAGUAGUGUGUACCCACCUUACGGAUCUGAGAUGACCGAAAAACAUCUAGAUCGGCUGUAGGAUGGUGGAGUAUUGUGCUCUCAGGUGCCGCGAACCUGGUCAAAUUUGGGGAGAGCUUGAUUUGGGUUGACAUAUGCAAGAUCUGGUUCUACAUAUGUCGGGUGGUUAGGAACUCCAGCUGGAUUGCUAAGCGGUUCGAAUCGUCGUUGCUCCCCGAUUGGGAGACUCAAUCAACUGACCCUCAUCGUAGUUAAAUAUGCAACUAAGUGGUAAAAUGAGAAAAGGGAAAAUGUCUCAUGAGGUUCGGAUCCCAAUUCCCGGACUCAGAGUGACAUGAAGCUAUGGCUGUUGGAUAGAUAAUACUUUGGUUAAGGACUAGGAACUUACAGACUUGUCUAUGAGAAGCAACUAGAUAGACUGUCCUCGAACUCCUCGGCCUCUUAAGGAGAGGAAUUCGCGGGUAAAACUUGAAAGUAAGGAUGCACUAUUAGUAAGCUUUUCCGCAAAACACUUUGGCUCCUUGCUCAGCCACUCCUUGUCUACCCUAAGCCUGUAUUCCUGAUUUCUUCUCUUUUUGAGGGUAAGUCUUGUUGAGUACUCCCGUACUCAGGGUUUUAUAACCCCUGUUGCAGGUGAAGUUCAGGAGCCGACCUGUUUCGGACCCUGUUGUGUGUCCGUCGUCGAGGUUGACGACGAAGAAGAGUGAACGUGACCCAUGGACAGGGUCUGUAAAUUUGUAAUUUGUAUACUAAAGUUUAAGUUGCUCCGCUGGACCUGGUUUGUAAUAACACUCGGCUAUUUGGAAGAACACUCGGCUAUCCUGUAAGGGCGAGAAGAAGACAUUUUCGUUAAAUGACCAUUGCUGGUGGUCAAGACGAGCUUGUGUGAUACGCCCCGGAUAGCGGUGGAAUGAGCGUCCAGAGGUGCUCAUCGGACUUCUAGAGUGGGAGGAUCUCCGGCAUUACCGUCAGAGGUCUUUGGGACAAUGACAGGUGCCGGUGGGCCCAAACACUUAGGAGGUUCCGCCACAGCUGGUAUUAGAGCAUUCAUUGCUAAGAUGACUGUUGUAUCCUUUGAAAAACUUCAAAAUCAUCUGGAUCUAAUGCUAUAAACUAGCCUACUUUGAGUCCAAGUGCUUUAGUCCUAACGUACCCCUGUCUGUAGGCUUUCUUAGAAUUUUUGAAGUGGUAUGGAGGAGCAACAUAAAGUACUGCCCUAUGUUGUAAAGUUUAAGGUAUUAUCGUUGUGAAUCGUUCGUAGGAAUUGUAAGUUCGUGCAUGCAUCAUGAUGUAUUAAUUGGUUAAGUUCCUUCCUCCUUGUUUGGGUUGGGUGAAUAGAAUCAAUCCUAUUCUUGCUAACCUUUAAGGUCUCUCUUACUAAUGCAAACUUACCCUCUAUAGGAUGGCCCGUUGGAAACAGACCUCGCGCAAGAGGACAGGUCCAAAAGGGGUCCCCAGACAUCAGUUGGCCCCGCGCAGCGAUCAAGCAAGCAGUAGCCGUUCACCGCCUCAGCAGGUGGUGGACAGGUUGUCCGCCGAGUUGACCGAAGUGAUGAGAGAAAGGAUGUACAACGUCAUGGAGAUCGGCGAACUUAAAGCUCAACUAGCCAAAGAAAAACAAGCUACCGAGAACCGUGAGGCCAUGUUGUCCCGUAUGGUGGAGGAGAGGAAUGCCGCUAUUGCCCGAGAAGAAGAGGCCAGGAGCACACACAGGCAUGAGCUGACUAGGAUGAAUGCGAAGCUGGGCAAGGCCAGGUACCUUAAAGAUCUGUACGUGAAGAUGGCGGCCACGGUCACCGCGCAGCGGGAUGUCGCGUGGCAGCGGGAGGACCAGCUCCAGUUGGAGAAGCUGGAGCUGGCACAUCAUUUAGAUACCGUUAAUGACUUGGCAAUGCAAUAUCGUGAUAUUGCAUUUGAUCUAUAUCAUCAGCUCCAUCCACCUCCUUGCGAAGGAGAGAUGGAUACGGAUGGAGAGUUGGCGGACGAUGGGGAACCCGAUCAAGGCCUCAGUGAUGAAGAGGAGUCCGACCCCGAUGACAACAAAUCGGGGGGUAAUCAGGAUGAUGGCAAUGACGACCCGGGCUACAGCUCUGGCCACACCGACUAGUUCGGUGAAGCCACGGGCAACGUCGUUGUAGGAUUCCUAGUUUACCGUAGUGGGGUCGGGUUUGUAAUAUAAAGUUUUCUUUCAGUUUAAGAAGUUGUACUCGUUUGUUCCUGGUGUGUUGAACUAAUGUUGAUAAAUAAAUGGAAGCAUGUAAGAUAUGUUCUAAGUUAUGAAUUCUAUGUGGUAACAAGUACAUAUGACUCUUGUAGCAGAUGCCGAUGCGUACACGCGUAUCUGAUGGAGCUGGGACAUCUCAGGGAGGGGAUGAUAUCCCCAACCCUCCACCUGCCCCACCUUCUUUGGCUGAUGCCAUCGCUGUUCUUUUGAGUGCCACUACCGACAACGCUCGCUUGCUGCGCGAGUUAGCACAACGUCAACCACACCUCGCCCCAAACUUCAGGGCACUGCACAAUGGGGACAGAGAAGCUCGGUACGUGGACUUUACCGAGACAAGGCCCCCGGUAUUCAUUAAGGCUGAUGAGCCGUUAGAAGCGGAUGACUGGCUCCGGACUAUGGAGCACAAGUUCGGUUUGAUUCAGUGUUCAGAAACUCAGAAGCCCCUGUUCGCAGCUCAGCAGCUUCGGGGAGCUGCAGGUGCCUGGUGGGAGAACUUCCUAGCUAUCCAAGCUCUAGGACACCAGGUCACCUGGAUCGAGUUUAAGGACGUGUUCCGCGCCCAUUACAUCCCUGAAGGGCUCAUGGCCAUGAAGGCCGAAGAAUUUCUCGCCUUGCAGCAAGGCGAUAAAAGUGUCAUGGAGUACGUGGCAAAGUUUAAUCAUCUCUCUCAAUAUGCCACAUACCAUGUGAACACGGACAGAAAGAAGAAAGCCUGCUUCAUGCGUGGUCUAAAUACUAAACUUCAGACCAUGAUGACUACCUGCCAAAAUGCUACCUUCUAUGAGGCGGUAAAUAUUGCCAUCGCCUCCGAAGAAAAGAAUAGAAAGCACAAAGAAGCCAAGAAAAAGGCUGCUUCUUCCUCCUUCUCUGGUCGCGGUCAAAAGCGCUAGAGAAUCAAUUAUCAUCCGCAGGGUCACGGACGUUUCCAAGCGCCGUCACCUUAUCGUGGUCCCUUUUCCCCACCACAAUAUAGACCAGGGCAGCAGGUAUACCCUCGACCUACUGCCAUCGCCCUUGCACCACGCCAGCCAAACGCCCUAGGUGUUCGCCCCACUGCUCCGCCCAGCCACAAUUACCCUUGUUUAAAUUGUGGUAAGCCUGGGCAUUUUUCUAAAGAGUGCCCUUACCCCUGCCAAACCAACCCCACCUUCCAAAGGCCACCUAUGGGCCAACCCCAGCUGGGCCAAUUCAGGACUAGGGUUCAGAAAGGACAAAAUGUGCAAAGGGGAAAACCAGCGAAGAAGUGGGACAAGUCUUCCAUACGGAGGUGGAGACGAUCCCGGAGGGUGAACUAGUAAUGAUGGGUACGUUUCCUGUCGCGAAACAUCCUGCUUUAAUGCUUUUCGAUUCUGGUGCAUCUCAUACAUUCAUCAAUCGCACCUUUGUGUUAAAGCAUGGCAUACCCAUUGGGGAAACACAAGAUCAUUUUUAUAUACAGUCGCCAGGAGGGCGACUGAGUUCUAAAGAAAUGGUUCACCAGGUACCCAUCGAAUUUGGUGGGCAUAGUUUUCCCACUAGCAUGAUUGUUCUGAAGGACCAGGAGAUUGAUGUCCUACUAGGCAUGAACUGGAUGGCACAACGAGGGGUUGUGCUAGACACUUUGCAUCGAACCAUUAAAAUCUCAUUGCCCAAUGAGAAUUCUUAUUUGCUAAUUCAAUUAGUUACUCCCAAGCGGGCAAAUGCGCAAGUUCAUGCCACUAAUGUGUCUGCAGUUGAAGAUAUCUUGGUAGUUCGAGAUUUUCCGGACGUGUUUCCUGAAGACCUACCAGGUCUGCCACCGGACCGGGAUGUACAAUUCAGUAUAGAAUUGAAACCAGGGACAGCCCCAAUAUCUCGAAGGGCCUACAGAAUGACACCGAAAGAGCUGGCCGAAUUAAAAACCCAACUACAAGAGCUGUUGCAGAAAGGUUUUAUUCAGCCCAGUUCUUCUCCAUGGGGUUGCCCAGCCUUAUUUGUAAAAAAGAAAGAUCAAACAUUAAGGCUGUGUGUCGACUAUCGUCCCCUAAAUGAGGUGACGAUUAAGAACAAGGACCCAUUGCCCCGUAUUGACUUAUUAUUUGACCAGCUAGCCGGGGCCAAAGUAUUCUCAAAAAUUGAUUUGAGAUCAGGGUACCACCAAAUUAGAAUUAGGCCGGAAGAUGUGCCCAAGACAGCUUUUACAACCCGUUACGGGCUGUAUGAAUACUUGGUAAUGUCUUUUGGGUUGACCAAUGCACCGGCCCAUUUCAUGUACCUGAUGAACUCUGUCUUCAUGCCUGAACUAGACAAAUUUGUAGUCGUCUUUAUUGAUGACAUCUUAAUCUACUCCAAGACUAAGAAAGAACAUGCUGAACAUUUGAGAAUCGUGCUGACCUAUCUUAGGGAGCAUCAACUAUAUGCGUUCAGCAAAUGUGAGUUCUGGCUGGACAAAGUUCAUUUCCUGGGUCAUGUAUUAUCCGCGGAGGGAGUCGCUGUAGACCCAGGCAAGGUAGAAGUUGUGUUGAAUUGGAAACCCCCGACUACGGUACAUGAGGUCCGUAGUUUUCUGGGUAUGGCGGGAUAUUACCGUUGUUUUAUCCCGGACUUUUCAAGAGUCGCCAAACCAAUCACGACCUUGCUCAAGAAUCAAACAAAAUUUGUUUGGUCACCUCAAUGUGAGCAAGCCUUUCAGACUCUGAAAAGGUUAUUGACAACUGCACCUAUCUUAGCCCAGCCAGAUAUUGAAAAACCCUUUGAUGUGUAUUGUGACGCAUCAGGGAUUGGUAUAGGCUGUGUGCUAAUGCAGGAGGGUCGCGUAAUUGCAUAUGCUUCCAGACAGCUUAAACCACAUGAAGAGAAUUACCCGACCCAUGAUCUUGAACUAGCCGCCGUGGUACAUGCACUAAAGAUCUGGCGCCAUUAUCUGUUGGGGAACACAUGUCAUUUAUAUACCGAUCACAAAAGCUUGAAGUAUAUUUUUACUCAAGCCGAGCUUAAUAUGCGCCAACGAAGGUGGCUAGAACUAAUCAAAGAUUACGACCUUGAGGUGCAUUAUCAUCCUGGCAAGGCAAAUGUAGUAGCUGUUGCCCUCAGUCGUAAGGCUCACUGUAAUUGCUUAACAGUGAUGCCUAGAGAUAUAACUUUGUGCCAAGAGCAAGAGAACUUGGGAAUAGAAAUGAUUUCCCAAGGAAGCCUUACCAAUCUAAAGAUUGAGUUUAAUCUCGAAGCUCAAAUCAUAGAGGCACAAAAGGAAGACAAAGGCAUGAAACAUCUUAAAGAGAAAAUUUCUAAUAAAGCAUCCACAGACUUUAAGGUGGAUGAUGCAGGAGUGAUCUGGUUCAAGAACCGGUUAGUGGUUCCAAAGGUACCUGAGCCACGUCAACAAAUCCUAGAUGAAGCUCAUACCACAAGGUAUUCUAUUCAUCCGGAAAGCAAUAAGAUGUAUCAGGACCUAAAGCAAAGGUUUUGGUGGACAAAAAUGAAGAUAGAAAUAGCCCGCUAUGUGGCCCAAUGUGACACCUGCCGAAAGGUCAAAGCUAUUCAUCUCAAAUCCGGUGGAGAGUUGCAACCUUUGCCUAUUCCAGCAUGGAAAUGGGAUGAUAUUAGCAUGGAUUUCAUAGUAGGAUUGCCCAAAAUGGCCAAAGGCUUUGAUUCAAUUUGGGUCAUUGUGGAUCGUCUCACCAAAACAGCACACUUUUUACCUGUAAAGACAUCGUAUCAUACUUCCACCUAUGCUCAGAUUUAUUUUGAUCGUAUACUAAGUCUGCAUGGGGUGCCAAAGACAAUAGUGUCAGAUAGAGGCACAUAAUUUGUCUCCCAGUUCUAGAAAUGCUUACAUAAAUCCUUGGGCACCAAACUUUUAUACAGCACAGCCUACCACCCUCAAAGAGGUGGGCAAACUGAAAGGGUGAAUCAAACUCUAAUAGAUCUAUUGAGAUCUUGUGCCCUAAAUUUUCCAGAUAAGUGGGAUGACUGCUUGCCUCUAGCAGAGUUUUCUUACAAUAAUAGUUACCAAGAGAGUAUCAAGAUGGCUCCCUUUGAGGCACUAUAUGGCCGUCGAUGUCGAACUCCGUUACACUGGUCGGAACCCGGAGAAAGAUGGUUCUUCGGGGUUGACAUAGUGAAAGAGACUGAGAACAAAGUUAGACAAAUCCGAAAUAACUUGAAAGUUGCUCAGUCCCGACAGAAAAGCUAUGCCGAUAAAAGACGUCGACCACUAAGGUUCGCCAAAGGUGAUCAUGUGUAUUUGAAAGUAUCCCCAAUGAAAGGAGUAAAUCGUUUUGGUGUUAAAGGCAAGUUAGCGCCCCGUUACAUUGGUCCAUUUCCAAUCGUUGAUCGAUGUGGACAAGUAGCUUACCGCCUUAAACUGCCCGAGCGAUUAUCCGGGAUACACAACGUAUUUCAUGUGUCUCAAUUGAAAAAGUGUCUUCGGGUACCAGACCAAGUUCAAGAUAUUGAAGAUGUGGAACUUGAACCGGAUCUAACUUAUUCGGAGUAUCCUAUCCGAGUACUGGAUCAAAGAAAUAGAGUUACUCGAAGAACGACUACCAAGUGUUACAAGAUACAGUGGAGCCAACACUCUGAAGAGGAAGCCACCUGGGAAUCUGAAGAUUACCUGAUGGAGAAUUUUCCUGAGUUCCACGCUUCUCUUCAGGACAACAUCUGAUAAAUAGGGUGUUGACGGUCCUUAAGUAUCAAAUUUAAUUAUCAAAUAAAUAAAGAAAAGGAUCCAAAUGAAAUCAACAUCUAGACUUAAGGUUUUAUCUGACAGAAUUCCACGAGUUUUGGUGUUUGUCUAUUUCUGCAGGGGGUUAUCAGGAAAUAUGGAAGAAAGGCCCACACGUCGGGAUUGCAUAGAGAUAUUAACGUGCCGCGCAAUUAUCUUACAUCUAGAAGACUCCAGAAGCCACGAGACCGAAGCGGAGGCGAAACGGGGCCAGAGGGAGGGCGCCCGCCCUGUUCUCCUGGGCGCCCGCCCACCUCUGGAGUCCAAUCAGGACUCUGCUUCGUGGGAGAUCUCCACCGACCUAAAGGAUGAAUCUAAACCAUACAAUCUAUGUCGGUUUGAUCCAACAGCCCAUAUUCACUUGAAGGGACUAUAAAACCAGACCCCCUGGCCCCUGGAGGAGGGAGCCUCUCAACCCUAAUUCAUUGUUCCUCAAGGGAGAAGAAGCCUCUGAUCAAGAUUAGAGCCACCACAUCAAUUAGAUAUCUAGAUUAGCAUAGCUACAUAGGAUUAGAACUAGAAGGAGUCAAUCUUCGAUUGGUUUCCGGAUCUGUCAAAAGGAUUCUUGGUAAUUCUCUAAUUGUGCUUCUAAUUGCUUUCUAAUUAUCUUUGUUCUUCAAUAUUAUGAAUAUGACUUUGUUCUACUUCAAUAUAUUGCUUAUGACUUUGCUCUACUUGCUUAUAUUCAAGAUUAUAUUGUUCUUAGUUUAUCAUAGUUAUGUACUUGGCUUAGUUAGAUUCGAUCUAUAUACAUGCUUAGGAUCGUAUAGCGUUUAUCCAUCGGAUCCAUGGGUAAAUGAUAGAUAUUGUGUAGGCGUGGUGCUUAUACCGUAUUUAUCUACGAUUGUACCCAAUAUGCCACAUCGUGGGGUGGUUCGUGAUAGUGAUAGCUUCAUUGAUUCUUAUAUAGUCCCCCUCUCGUGUAUUGGGCUGGCAGAGCAAUAUUAUUACAGGGGAGUGAUUGCUAUGUUUCUCAUAUUCCUUGCUAAUAUCACUAUGCAUGGGCGUAGUCUUGUCUCGCAAUGAUUGCUAAGUAUGCUUGCACUAACUAUGAUAUGCUAAACUAUAUAGUUGAGAAUAACUUAGGGAAUAUUCUUGUAGUUCGUUCUAAUACCAUGCUAAUGACUUUCUGGAGUAUCUAAUUGAGGUGCUUAUCAUAUUUAUUAUGUGGCUAGAUCAGAUUAGUUAUCCUUGUCACUAUUAUUAUUUCAUAUAUCUUUUAUGUGACACUUAUCCCUGUAUGAAGAGUUAGAUAUAAUGUUCUCAAUUAUACAUGCAAUGAUAGAUGCUCAAUCUCAUAUUCUAUUCUAUAAUCAAUAUUGAUGAUUGCUAAUCCCUUCCCAGUGGUAAAAAUAUAAAUAACGAUACCUGGAAUACUUCCCGGUUAAAAUGCUACAUCGGUAUUAAUCUGUGCGCUUGCAGAUCCUAUUCAUUAUUUAUUUAGAAGAGCAAUUGCAUAUUUCAAUACCGCGUCUCUUAUAUCAUGCUGGGGAUGACAACUUGGCUUAAGUGGUGUGAGGGAUAGGUUUGGCAUUUUUGGCUCCGUUACUAGAUUUAGAGAACUUAGUCUACUUUUGGUAAUGAUGUUAAGAAUACCCAACAAGCAUUUUUGGCGCUGUUGCCGGGGAAGGUUGAUUACUAAUCAGGAAUGGAAUAAAGGAUUUUGAGUUAUCAUUCGCAUCACUAAUCUGAUUGAGCUUAUCUAUUCUCUCAUACAGUUUUACCCCGAUAUUUUUCUAUUUUAUCUUAUGCAGGGGAAUGUAUGAAUAGAAGACAUCUUCCAGGAAAUUUUGUUGACAACCCCGAAGCAUUAUUCAAGAAGACGAGAGCCAAGCUCAAGAAGAGAUCAUCAACACUUCAGCAAGAAGCUUCAUCCAAUCAAGAAGAUCACCGGAACUUGUCUUCAGAGUUCGAAGCCAUGGCGAACAAAUCAAUCCGCGAGUUCUCAGCUCCCACUACGGACAACAUCCGCACUGGACCUGCUGCAGAGAUCGAUGGCAACUUUGAGCUCAAGCCUGGACUUAUCAACAUGGUGCAAUCCAAUCAGUUCUGUGGGAAGGCACACGAAGAUGCUAGUGCUCAUUUACAACACUUCCUGGAGAUUUGCAACACAUUCACCAUAUCAGGAGUUUCCAAAGAUGCUAUACUACUUCGCCUCUUCCCAUUCUCACUGUUAGGAAGAGCGAAGCAGUGGUUCUACGCUACAAAGGAGAAGAAUACUACGUGGGCACUCUGCUCAACAAACUUUCUGGCUAAGUUCUUUCCCAUGGGCAAGACCAAUGCUCUCCGUGGGAAGAUUACAAGUUUUCAGCAACAAAAUGAUGAAUCUGUUCCAGAAGCAUGGGAGCGCUUUCAAGACUACAUCCUAGAAUGUCCCCAUCAUGGAAUGGAAAGUUGGCUAUUGAUGCAGACAUUUUAUCAUGGGCUCGGCAACAGUGCCCAAGAAACCAUGGAUGCUGCAGUUGGAGGAGCAUUCUUAUCACUUACAAUACCACAAGCCACAGCUCUUGUGGAGAAGAUGGCGUCCAAUCAAAGCUGGAAUGAAGAGAGGACCCAGACACGCAAGAGAGGUGGAGGUAUGCAUCAGCUGAAGGAGGUAGACAUGUUGUCUGCAAAGCUAGACCUACUCAUGAAGAAGCUCGACGAUAGAGCUGGAGACAAGAAAGAAGAUAUGCACAUCUACGACUCUCACAUGACUUGUGAGGAGUGUGGAGACACUGGACACUCAGGCAAUCACUGCCCUGAGAUGCUUGAGGAUGUGAACUACAUCAACAAUAACAACAACAACUACUACAACCGUCCUCAACAAAAUCAUGGUUGGAAUCAACAGAGGCCUAACUACUCAGGUAAUUAUCAAGGUAACAAUUCUUAUAACAAUAAUAAUAAUUUUCCACCUCUGAGAGAGUUAGUGUCUAAUCAAGGAAAGCUAAUGGAUAACCUAUCUAAGAAAUUGGCAUCUAAUGAUAAAAUGCUAGAAAAUAUAAAUAAUAGAAUGGAUAAUUUUUCUACUGCCAUCAAGAAUCAAAUUAGCUUUAAUAAAAUGAUUGAAUCUCAGUUAAAUCAAAUAGUUGCUGCUGUUCCUGCUACUAACCCCGGUAUACCAUCACAACCGGAAGGAUAGAAUCUGCAAAUCUUGUAGACAUGUUUGAUGCAGGUAAUUGGAGUAACCCCGUGACUGAAUUCUCUACUGACCUUCUGCCGGUCAAGAGAGGCGAUCCAGGACGCCCCGUCAUCCCGAUCUCCAUCGGCAUGGUGGAUGUUCCAGAAGCACUCUGCGACUUUGGCUCUAGUGUCAACAUUAUACCCAGGGUACUCUAUGAAAAAUUCUUUACAUAUCCUUUAUUAGAAACAACCAUGUGUUUGCAGUUUGCAGAUCAGACGAUAACUUUUCCAAAGGGAAUAGUGAAGAACCUUUGUUUCCGAGUUGGUACCUUGUAUGCCCUAGCAGACUUCGUAGUGGUAGAGACCAAAAAUGAUGAGAGAGCACCUAUCAUCUUAGGGAGGCCAUUCUUGAACACUACGGGAGCUAUCAUCUACGCUAAUGCUGCCAAGAUCAGUUUCUACGCCAAAGGGAGGAAGGAGACAUUUUUCUUCAAGAACAAGAGUACACAAAUUCCAGAUCAAUCCAGACGUGAAUCAAGGAAGAGGACCAACAGGAGGAACAGGAACAAGCAAGUGUGGACCGAGUCAGCUAAGAUGGUCACUGUAGUUCAUGGAGGCCAAGAUCGCCAACUUAAGUCACCGCUUUUGACCAAGAAGGACGACCCAGGAAUGCCAAGCAUCUACUACUCCAUCAAUGGAUACAACUUCUACAAGGCAACUUGUGACACCGGAUCGGGCGUCAACAUAAUGGCCGCAGUCACCUAUCGGCUCUUGUUCGGAACCAUGCCACUAAGACCAACAUACAUUCAGCUCCAGAUGGCAGAUCAGACAUUUCGAGAAGUUAAAGGAAUAGUAACUGAUGUCCCAGUCAAAAUAGACGAUCACUUUGUCUACACAGACUUUCAGGUUAUUGACAUGGGAGAAGAUGAGUACGAUCCACCCAUCAUCCUUGGAAGACCGUUCCUCAGCAGCGUUAAAGCAAUUAUCUACAUUGGAACCGGAGAAGUCCAUAUGCACUUCCCUUCAGAGAAGGUACGCCGUUAUUUUACUGACCCUAACUAUAUCGUUGAAGAAUCUAAGCAGGUCAGGAAACGACGUAACCGCAACCAGAGGAGGCAAAUCAUCAAGGACGGAUGGACAGACUAUGAAGGAGAAGUUAUAAGGUCAGAAGACAUAGAGUUUAAACAGAAUUAUCCAGAGGAGAUUGAAGCACCGAGUCAGGUAUGGAAAAUGAAGAUAACUAUACAUGAAGAGGAGGCGCCGCCGGAAGUACUGACUACGCCACCCAACGAACCUCAAGACGAUUGAAAAAAUGGAGAGUCCUGUUCGGAGGACUUAAAAACACCGAACGCCUUGCCAAGAGGUAAACUUGGUAGUUAUCCUUUCCCUUUCAAUUAUUUCAACUAGUUUACUUAUUUAAAAUAGUUUGCUUAGUUAAUCAUGUUCAUGCUAUCCUAAAAAGAAAAUAAAAAUAUGAAAAAAAACACAGUAAGCCCCAUGUGAGUAUACGAGUGGCAUAAAACACAUAAGUACAUUCACUGUGGUGGCAUAAAAAUAAAAUAAAAAGUUCUUUUCUGCUUUAUAAAAUAAAAAUACAUAAAAAAAUAGGGAGUAAUAAUUAUUAAGGAGUCUCAACAUGAUAAAGGCUAGAUAUUUAUGCUAACCCUUAAUUGUCGACGAAAGCUGGUCGGCAGUCUACCUUGGGGUAUACCCACGGUAGUAGUUUAUCGGUAGACGGUGCGCAAACUACGAACUCGAUGGUGACGCAAGACACGGACAAGCUUUUUAUCCAGGUUCGGCCGCCGAGUUGGCGUAAUACCUACGUCCUGCGUCUGAUUGUAUUGAUUUGUGUUGAGAGAAUAUGAUGUCCUAGGGGGGUCCCUUGCCUCUCCUUAUAUAGUUCGGAGGGCAGGGUUACAGAUCCGGAAACUAAUCCUAGUCGGUUACAAUUGCCAUAGAUAGUUCGAUAUCAAUUCCUAUUCUAACCGACUAGAAUCCUGUUUGAUCUCCACGUCUUGUUUCCUUGCGCGAAACUCCGAGCUGUCGGAUCAAACCUUGAGCUUGUCUCGUAAUGGGCCAAGCCUCCUGGCCCAAGUCUAGCCGUAAGGGUAUAGGGGUUUAUACCCCCACAGCUAGUCCCCGAGCACCAUGUAUUGUGAUGUAACACGCCGUCUUGAGCUUCUUCGAUCAGUGAGGCUUGACGUCUUCAGUAAACAGAAAAGUCACCCAAACAGUUGCAACGGUACUUUGACCAACUCAAAAGACAGUUGAUCAACAUUGACAUCGAAGAAGCUGGUUGUUCGAAGAAUGCAUGGUGCUCUAAAUUAAAAAAGAUUUCUUUCCUGGUGUAGUGUGCCCACUUUACUUUUAAGAAAAGUAUAAACCUCAAAAAAGCAAGCAUAUUCACCGCAAGGUGAAGUGUGCCCACUUAGUCCCCGAGCCUGGUAGUAGGUGACGUAGGCACGUGGUGCCAGGGUCAAAAGAAAAGUCCUCAAAGAAAUUCUGUAACUGAGAUGCAUCGCCAGAUGCAUCGUACCGAUGUAGUCCCCGAGCAUGCUGGAAGGCGAAGUAUGAGCCUUGUAGCAAGGUCUAAAAAAUUAAAUUUACUAGUCCGUUUGCAAUUGAAUAGACUAAUCGACCAGUCCCCGGGUGUACAAUAGUAUGACCACCAGGACCCAAGCACCAAGUGCGCUCCUUAGAAUUCUGCGUUGCUAUACUGGACGACCAGUCCCCAAGCAUCGAGCGCUCAGUGGUAGGUGCGAUAUUUUGAAGUUCCGAGCUGAUAGACUAGGCGACCAGUCCCCGAGCAUCAAGUGCUCGGUGGUCGGUACAGUCUUUGAUGUUCCGAGUCGAUAUACUAGACGACCAGUCCCCGAGCAUAAAAUGCUUGGUGGUCGGUGCAGACUUUGAAGUUCCGAGUCGAUAGACUAGGCGACCAGUCCCCGAGCAUCAAAUGCUUGGUGGUUGGUGCAGUCCCCGGAUUGUUGACUCCCUACCAGUUGUGUCUUCUUGUUUUGAAAAUUUUUCCACACAAAGAGUUGACGUGAUGAGACCUUCUGACGAGAUGUCAGAUGGAUGCAUGAAAAGUUGCGCCUGGCAACUGUACAGCCGCCCUUUGCGCGGUUUGAGAAAAGGAAACCAUCAAUUUGUACGAAAACUCCGCCGCAUUAAUUGUCGAUAACCAUUGAAAACCGAAACGCUGCAUCCGCCGUAUGGCCCGCCCACUUCCCGAGGAUGCGGGAAGUGGGAGGGGUGAAGUUGUGGGUUAUAAGAGCUCGACAGUUCCCCCUUUACUGCUUACCCUGCCAUUGCCUUCAAGCCUUCCACUCUUGCCUCCUUCAAUCAUCUACACCUUCCAAACUCGAAUCCACUUCCUCAACUCCAAUGGCGAAGAGCGACUCCAAGAAGAGGGCCGAGCUGAUGGCCAAGGAGUGGAAGAAGUCCCGUAGCACCGCCAAGUCUCUCGGUGACCUCGUCGAUAUGGGGCUUCUGCACGGCCCGGAGCUCGGCGGCUGGAGAGCGCCGGAAGGAGAGAGCUUCCCCGACCCCCGUGCUGGUGAGAUCGUGGUGUUCGAAGACUUCGUUAAGAGGGGUUUUGGGGUUCCUGUUCAUCCCUUUCUUCAGGGUCUUCUUCUUUAUUAUGAGAUCGGGAUUUGCAAUCUGCACCCGAACUCAAUCCUUCUUAUUUCUACUUUUAUCCAUUUGUGCGAAGCCUAUGUUGGCAUAGAGCCGCACUUCGACCUUUUCCGCUAUCUUUUUUGUUUAAGAAAGAAGGGAGCAGUUGGAGGCUCCAAGGUUGCUGGUGGAGUAUACCUCAACCUUCGCGACGGAAUGAAGAACCGCUACCUGCACUGUCCAUGGAACACUUCCCUGACCGAAUGGUACAGGAAAUGGUUCUACAUCAGGGAGGAACCGGGCAGCUCCACGUUCUGCGAUGUGGGAUACAUCCCUGAGAAGAGGGUGAGCUGGACCGACCGCCCAGAGUUCGACGGUCAAGUGGCAGACCUCAUGAAGCUGAUCGACUGGUCGCGCCUGGACGGGCUUGGCGUGGUCGGCAACUUCAUUUGUCGUCGGGUGAUGCCCUGUCAGAAGAGGGUGCACUCGGCGUACGAGUAUGCCGGAAGCGUGGACCCGACCAGGAUGCGACCUGAAAUCUUGGAGAAGGCGGAGGUAUAGCAGCUGCUGAACGAGCUGUUCAACUUCGCGGACGGAGGCUUCAUCCGUGGCAGUGAUCGGGUGCAGGCCUUCAAGUUGGGGCGACCAGCGCCUAAGGUAUGUUAUUGAUUACUUCGCUUUAGCAUCCGUAUAUUGGCUGCAACUAACUUAUCUUUGUUACUUUUGUAGAUCGGAGAUGUCGACCGGUGCACAGCGUAUGUAUCACUGGCACCGGGAAUGGAGAAUCCUGCGGGAGAAGAUCCGCCAGAGGAAGACGCUGAUCGGUGUACUUGUUACACCAGCAGUGAGGAAGACCAGGCCCGCCCCGUCCCGACCACCGAGGAUAGAGUGACGGGGAAAAGGCCAAUGCCCGCGGAUCCGUCGCCGGCACCGACGCUGCCGGCAGAGAGCAGCUGAGCGCCAAAGCGCCAUCGGUUUGUUCGGAUCGAUGACGACGACGAGGAGGAGGAGGCCGUACCGUCGUUGGUCCGGAGGCCUCAUAGCCCUCCAGACAGCGUGCCGGCCACUGCUGAUCGGGUGGCCAGCGACCCUCCUACGCCUCGCAUAGAGGAGAUGGGGGCAUAGGUGCCAACCGGCCGGGCAAGAAGGAGGUUCACCGCGGCCCACCGUCGAUCGGACCUGUAAGUGUUCGACUUACGUAUUUUGGCCUUUUUUUUGAGCUAUUGUUGAAAAUAUCGCUCUGUUAUGUAGCGCGGCGUCGGACGUCAACCCCGACCAGGCCGCAGAACAGGGGACGGCCGCUCCUGCUGCCGCUACUGAAGACGCCGCACCACAGGUCACAGGGCAACCUGCAGUGGCAGUGGGCACCGAGGAUCAAUCUGUCCCGACGAGUGCCGCGCCGAGCACUCAGCCGAGGGGUGAGGAGGCAACAGGGACCCCUCCCCCGAGUACUAUUGCAGAGGAGGGGAGCAGAGUCCCGACUCCUCCAACCGAAGAAGGGAGGGUGCCGACACCGCCCCGAGCAGGGGCUUCUUCGCCCGUGGGCUCCCCUGGCCCAUACCAGGGACCAGUGAUGCCCUCGGCCGCAGCCGGAGGCAGUGCGGCGAACGAGGAGCCCCAGGAGGCCUCCGAUGACGAUGUGGAGGAGGUCCAGGGUCGUCCCCGUGAUGGUCGCCAGCACGUCUAUGUGUGGCGCCAACGCGGGGACCACUUUAUUGGUCACGAGGAGCUCGCGGAGACGGAGGAGGACGCGAGGGUGGAGCGCGCGGCUAAACGCCUCGUGGACGAGGUUAAGGUGGGUGGUCCUGUGUGUUGCUUGGAUAACUUUGUGCAGUGUUCCCGUAUUCGACAUGUGUUCUUUUUUGCAGGGCGCAAUGAAAACGGCGAAGUACCGGAAACGGUGCUUCGACCAGAUCGAAGGAAUCGUGGCCGAGAAUAAGGCCUUGUCCGCGGAGGUAGACCGGCUGCGGUCGGAGGUUGGGGAGAAGGUGGCCGAGAUGAAUGCCCAGGAGGAGCAUCGUCUCGAGCUUAUCCGUCGCUUGGCCGACCAGUACCGACAGCGAUCAGGUCAGUCACGCGCUCCGAGCAGCUUUGUGUAGCUGUGUAGUUGGCUUUAUUGACCAGGUUAUGAUUCACGUAGACUUGGAGGAGGAGGUGGCGCGGCUCCGACAGGAGAAGGAGCAGCUCAGCCAAGAGCUUGCCGGUUCGCUGGAGUCCGGGCGCCGAGCAAGAGAGGAGUUGGGCCGGAAGGACCGGGAGUUAUCUGGUAAUACGCGCCGCCUCGUUAUCUGCCGCUUGUCGCCCCUUUGUUUCUUUUGAUAUAACGUCUUGCUUGAUUUGCAGUGCUUAAAGUGAACGCCAAGAAGCACCUGGACGAGCUGAUCAAGGACCGGGACUCCUGGAAGGUCAAUUGUUGUAAGAUCUGGAAAGGAGUAUCCCCGGUCCUGGAUCUGAUCAGUCCCGAGCUCCCGGAGAGCCAGCCCCGCGCGCCGAGGUUGACUCCAGUGGAGAAGGCGCAACGGGCGUGGGACUGGCUCCAGCAAUUUGUGAAGGACGCCGGGGAGUUUGCUGGCGCGCAUGUCCUUAGCAUGGUGCGCGCCCACUACCCCCUGGUCGACUUGACCAGGCUGGAGAAGGGGUACCCCAAGGAGGUCGGCCCGCAGGUGGCGGACGAGCUUCGGGGUGGUCUGCUGGACUUGUCGUCGACAGUGAUCGGCGACAUCAAUCUAUGCGGAACAGCCACCCCCCCCGACCAGCCGGGUUCAGACAGGUCGGCCAGGGAGCUGUCGGGCGCGUCUAAUGCAGGAGAUGGGCGGUCAACGCCUGCGGUCUCGACCAGCCAGGCGCCGGUGGCCCCGACCCCUUCGUCCGGGCAGCAGGGCCAGGCGGGUGAUCAGCCCGAGCAGUAGGCCAAUAGGGUAGUCUAUAGGAAUAGACUAGCGUCUGCCCGUUAGGAUAUUUAUUGUAAACUUUGUAUGUAAAUUUUGUAAUAAAGUUUGCUUUUGUCAUGACUAUUGUUUUGAGCGCUGUACAAUUAUCUGAGUGACGUGCCACUGUAUUUGACUUUGUAGUCGCUAAGAGCUUCUGGUGCAGAAGGCUUUCCGAGUUCAGCGUGUAACAAAGUAUAGGCAAAAAAUAGAAACCUUUAUUAUUGACAGCUAUAAGAUAUUUACAAGCGAAAGUUAUUAGAACUUAUGGAUAAAAUCGACGCAGUUUGUCUAUGUGCCAAGAGUUAGGCACGCGUGUUCCGUCUAGGUAUGCCAAUCUGUAGGACGUGGGUUGGGUAACUUCGGCGACCACGAAGGGUCCUUCCCAGGGAGUGGAUAGCUUGUGCAUUCCCUCUUGGCUUGUUUUCCACCUAAGUACCAGAUCGCCGACCACGAAGGAACGGUCCUUAACGUUCCUGUUGUGGUAUCGCCUGAUUGCCGCGAGAUACUUUGCUGUUCGGAGACAAGAAUUCAAACGCUUUUCCUCCAUGCAGUUGAUUUCGAGUUCUCUGGCGUUGUCGGCUAUUGACUGGUCGAAGUUUUCAAUCCUAGGAGAACCGAAGGUUAUGUCAGACGACAGGAUUGCCUCGGUGCCGUAAACCAUGAAGUAAGGAGACACUCCUCUGUUCCGACUGGUCUGAGUUCGGAGGCCCCAGACCACGGCCGGUAACUCUUUCAUCCAUCGACCGGGUGCUCUGUCGUUCUCGGUGUACAGCCUUUUCUUUAGGGCAUCAAUGAUCAUUCCGUUCGCACGCUCAACUUGACCAUUGGCCCGUGGGUGAGCUACUGACACAUAUUUUAUGACUAUGCCCCUGUCAUCGCAAAAGUCCCAAAAUGUGGUGCCAGUAAACUGAGUACCCAGGUCGGUGAUUAUACUGUUUGGGAUCCCGAACCUGUGUAUGAUUUGACUAAGGAAUUCCACAGCCUUCUCGGAGGUUGCUUUGACCAGAGGCAUAUAUUCGAUCCACUUGGAGAACUUGUCGAUUAACACGAAAACGAACUUGAAGUUGCUGAGAGCUGGUUUAAAUGGCCCGAUCAUGUCGAGCCCCUAGCAGGCAAAGGGCCAGGAUGAUGGGAUGGUUUGAAUCUCAUGAGCAGGUACGUGGGUCCUUUUAGCGAAGAACUGACAUCCCUCACAGUGUCGGACCAGUUUUUCUGCGUCGCCGACCGCGGUUGGCCAAUAAAAACCUGCUCGGAAGGCUUUCCCGACCAGUGUUCUGGAUGCGGCAUGAUUGCCGCAGGAUCCAGCGUGUAUGUCUUCUAGGAGCUUGAUGCCGUCAUCUUGGGAUAUGCAUUUGAGCAGUACUUCAGAACUUGCAUUUUUUCGCAUAAGUUUGCCGUCCACCAGUAUGUAGUUCUUUGAUCGUCGAAUGAGGCGUUCAUUUUCUGUUCUGUCCUGAAAGCCUGACCCGUCCGAUAUAUAUCUUAUGAACGGGGUGUGCUAGUCGCGGCCACUAGUUGUCGGAGUGGCAUCGUCUAUGAGCAUUGCCUCAGUGAGUUGUUUUUCGACUAGUCCUGUGCCCACACUUUGCUCGUGGAUGUCCUGGACGAAAAUACCCCGCGGGAUCUGUGCCCGAGAUGACCCUAACUUUGACAACGCAUCUGCUGCCUGGUUCUUAUCCCGGACCACGUGGAUGUACUCUAUGCCGUAGAAGUUGGUUUCCCAUUUGCGAAUUUCUUUGCAGUAGAGAUCCAUCUCCUCGUGGGUUGCGUCCCACUCCUUGUUGAGCUGGUUGAUAACUAAAGCAGAGUCGCCAUAGACAUAGAGGCGUUUGACUCCCAGCUCAAUGGCUAGCCUUAUGCCGUGCAGGCAUGCUUCGUAUUCGGCGACAUUGUUUGACACCGGAAAGAGGAUCCUAAGGACGUAAUGCAGUUUGUCCUUGUUAGGCGACACGAACAGUAUCCCAGCGCCGGCGCCGUUGAUGUUCAAGGAUCCGUCAAAGAACAUUGACCAGUGGUCGGAGACAUCAGGAACGGGAGGCUCGUUGAGAUCUGUCCAUUCAGCAAUGAAAACGACCAGGGCCUGAGACUUGACUGUGGUGCGGCUCUGGAACUCCAGGGAAAAUGGGCAUAAUUCCAUCGCCCAUUUUACGAUUCUGCCGUUGGCAUCUUUAUUGCGCAGAAUGUCCCCGAGAGGGAAACUGGUGGUUACCAAGACUCGAUGGCCGUCGAAGUAGUGCUUCAGCUUUCUUGACGUUAUUAGAAUGGCGUAUAUGAGCUUCUGUAUUUGUGGGUACCUGGCCUUGGACUCGUUUAAGACUUUGCUUAUGAAGUAAACGGGUCUCUGGACCUUGUAGACAUGACCUAGCUCAUCUCGCUCGACCACUAUUGCUGUGGAAACAACCCUGUCGGUUGCAGCAAUGUAAAGGAGUAGGUCUUCAUUGGGCUGAGGCGCUGCAAGGACAGGCGGUGAAGUGAGGAAAGUCUUAAGCUGAGUGAACGCGGCGUUGGAUUCCUCUGUCCAAGAAAAUUUUUCCGACGCUUUCAAGAGUUUGAAGAAAGGGAGGCCUUUUUCUCCUAGUCUUGAGAGGAAGCGACUGAGGGCGGCCAUACAUCCGAUGAGCUUUUGAAUAUCCUUGACGUUUUUAGGUGGUCGCAUGUCGAGCACUGCUUUUACUUUUGAAGGAUUUGGCCGUAUGCCGUCACGACUGACAACGUUGCCGAGCAGUAGACCAGAAGGAACACCGAAGAUGCACUUUUUGGGGUUAAGCUUCCACUUGUACCUAUUAAGCGCCUUAAAAGUUCAGUCUAAGUUGUCGAUUAGGGUGUUCGCAUCCCUUGUUUUGACGACCACGUCGUCUACAUAGGCCUCGACGAGGUCAUCACGAAUCUCGUCGUGGAGGCACUGCUGGAUGGCCCGUUGAUAAGUGGCUCCGGCAUUUUUGAGUCCGAAUGACAUGGUCGUGUAGCAAUAUGCGCCAAAAGGAGUAAUGAAGGAUGUUUUUAUCUGAUCGUCUUCCUUUAGCGAGAUCUGGUGAUAACCAGAGUAGCAGUCUAGAAAAGAGAGGAGUUCGCAUCCGGCCGUUGAGUCGACCACCUCGUCGAUGCGAGGGAGACCAAAAGGAUCUUUAGGACAGUGUUUAUUGAGAUCAGUGUAAUCAACGCACAUUCUCCAUUCAUUAUUCUUUUUGCGUACAAGAACCGGAUUGGCGAGCCAAUCGGGGUGAUACACUUCUUUUAUGAAUCCGGCUGCUAGAAGCCGUGUUAUUUCUGUCCUAAUAGCCUCCUUUUUGUCACGAGUGAACCGUCGUAGCUUUUGCUUGAUUGGUCUUGCGGUCUUCGAGACAUUUAAGGAGUGCUCGAUCAGGUUUCGUGGGACGCCAGGCAUGUCUGCGGGUUUCCAUGCGAAAACGCUCACGUUGUGCCUUAGAAACCUGACGAGCGCGUCUUUCUAUUUUGGAUCCAGAUUGGCCCCGAUGAGGGCCGUCUUCUCGGGGCUGCCGUCGACUAGCUGCACUUCUUUUACUCCUUAGAUUUUGAGUUCUUUCUGGCGGUCUCCUGCUUGGGUAAUGGGAGCUGGUCGGGAGGCAGCUGUGUGGCUUGGGUUGCUGUUUCUGCCAUGCGGAUUGAUAUGUCGAUUGCCUCGGUAAUCUUGAAGCUUUCCUCUUUGCAGGUAUACGCGGUGUAGACGUUGCCUCUGACGGUUAGGACACCCUUCUCUGUAGGCAUUUUAAGGACCAGGUAUGAGUAGUGCGGGACUGCCAUGAACUUUGUCAACGAUGGUCGGCCCAGUAUAGCGUGGUAGGUCCCGUCGAAGUCCGCGACCACAAAGUUGAUGAACUCUGUCUGAAAGUGGUCGGGUGUGCCGAAUUGGACAGGCAAUGUUAUCUGUCCAAGGGGCACUGAACUCUGACCUGGCAAAACCCCCCAGAAUUGAGCAUCAUAGGGUUUUAGUUGUGCAGGAGAUAUUUUGAGGGCGGGCAGGCCGUUGCAGAAGAGGAUGUCGAUGGAGCUUCCCCCGUCCACGAGCACGCGCUCGAAUCUGAUGCUGUUGAUGCAAGGGUCCAGGAUCAGUGGGAAACGACCUGGCUCUGGGAUAGCGGCCCACUGAUCCUUCCUGCUGAAUGAGAUCUCCCUGUGCGACCACAGGGGAAAUUUUGGGUCUGCGAUCAGCCCGUCCGUGCUGUCUAUGUUGAGGCAGGCUCUCUUUAAUAGCUUUCUCUCUCGCUUAGAUUCGAUGGAGACCUUGCCCCCGAAGAUGGAGUGGACCACGUCAGUGGGGCUGACGUAUUGGUGUCGGGGGUCCCUAUCUUGGUCCUCGUCCUCGUCUUCGUGGUCGUGCCCGUCUCGCUUGCCAUUUUUCAUGGUGGAGUCGUCUUGGGCGGCCCACCGUGUGUUGAUGCUUUUGAGGACGCGACACUCCUCCAUGGUAUGAUUAGACUUUGGAUGCAGUUGGCACGGUCCCUUCAACGUUUUGUUGUAGUCUUCUUGGUAGUCCCGCCGCCCGUUGGGACGCUUGACCGUAUUCACUUCAUGGUCGUAGUCGCGGGGGCGCUUUCCUCUGAAAUCGUCGCGAUUGUCGCGGCGCCGAUCCCAACCUUCUCUGUGAUCACGGUUGUCGGGGCGGCGGUGGUUCCUGUUGUCGUAGCGACCGCGACUGUCAUCUCGCCGGGGAGGCUGGUCGGGACCUCUCGCAUCGUCUCGGAUUAGUUUCUCUGCGUCGUCGGCAUCGGCGUAAUUUUUAGCCGUGGCGAGGAGCUCCGCCACCGUUGUUGGCCGUUUGCGCAACAGCUUGUUCCUCAGCGCUUCAUGGAAAUGCAGGCCCUUGAUGAAGGCAGAGAUGGCCUCGUCGUGGGAAAUCUUCGGGAUCUUAAGGCGCAUAUCCGAGAAUCGUCGGAUGUAAUCGCGCAGAGGUUCAUUCUUCCUGUCCCUUAUCCUUUCGAGGUCAUACUUGUUUCCAGAUUGCUCGCAUGUGGCGAUGAAGUUGUCGAUGAAAGCCUGGCGUAGCUCUUCCCAAGAGUCGAAGGAGUCCUCGGGCAAGCCAAGGAGCCACUGAUGACCAGCCUGGUCGAGGACUACAGGAAAGUAGUUGGCCAUGACGUGCUCAUCUCCCGCUGCUGAUCGGAUGGCAAUUUCAUAGAGAGUGAUCCAGUUCUCUGGAUUUUCCUUGCCGUCGUAUUUUUUAAGUUUUUCGAGCUUGAAAUUGUGGGGCCACACGACCUGGCGGAGGUGUGAGGAGAACUGUCUUAGGCCCGGGGGGCCGUGCGUUGCAUCGUACUCGAUACGGCGCAGGUUUUCGUGGACUGCUCUCUCUGUGGCGCGCCUGUUGAUGCGGUCCCGGGCAUCUUUGGGAGGGAUGUUGUAUCAGAGAUCCCUGUGCUGGUUUACUUCUUGACCGCACCUGCGGUUCUGCUCACGGUGACCGUCAGUAUCCCGACCACCAUCGUUACGCCGUGAAUCUUUUCGAUUGUUGUCGGGAAAGCGGUUGCGGUGAUGCCUGCUGGGAGGCGGUGAGGUCCGGCUACGAUUAGUCUGGUCGGAGGUGGCUUCCGUAUAAGAGACGUCCUGGACUCUCUUAAGCAGAGUGGCUGUCUGUCCCAUUACGGCAAUCAGGUGCGCUCGGACGCUGGUUCGGACUCCCUGGCACUCAGGGGUAUCAGGGAGCCGAUCUAGAUUAGCCAUGGCGACAGCCACGUUGGCGCUUGGCGUUUUGUAGACUGGAUGGUCCCCGACCAUGUCAAAAGCGUCGCUGAGGUUAUGCGGUGGAAUUUGUCGUUGCUCAUCUGCGCGUCGUCGGGCGCGAUCGGCGUUGCGCUGCUCGCGGAGCUGCCUCUGCUCAUCCGUUCCUCCAUCAACGACUGGCUUGUCGGCGCUGACGUUGAAAACAAUGUCCCCUCGCCGGGGGGGAAAUAUCGGGAAACGAGGGAAACCCGGAGAGUGUGAAGGCAAAUCCAGGUCGUAGUCCUCGUCUUCGGAGUUUAUAACUUCGGUGGGGACGGAACCGGUGCUCGAGUUGGUGCUAGAAGCCUGACCGUCCCGUAGCUCUCGGAUCGUCACCAUGUUGACGUAGUGACGAGCAGGUCGAUCGUUCCUUUUCAGCGGCCAAACUGCCUUGCUGAAAACAGAUUGGAUGUGCCGUGAGUAGAGAGAGGCCGAGUUGUUCAGGCCGCAAGGAUAAUCUUCCUCCUUGAGCUUGACGGUCCGUCCUGAGGGAGUUGAGGUUAUCGUCAGAGACGUUCCUAGCCAUUCGUGUGUAACGACACGAGUUGGCCGGCGGGAUUUGAAAAAAUCCGUUGAAGCGGCUUGAUCAGGCUGGCGCAGGAUUCCAUCUACUAGUUGGGAGGCUUCGAGUAGCUUGGAAUCAGCGCGAUCAAGCGCUUGGAGAAGGUCCGAGCAGUCGAUCUUCUUUCCCUUGUAGAGCGGGAACGGUGGUCGGGUGCUUGGUGCCGCCAUCCGGGUGGUCGGAGACGACGUGAUCUCAGAUUGGAUCUGAGUUUCUUUCGAAACCGUGGUCGUAAGGCCACCGCCGCGCGUCGUCCACGUGAUCUGGCCGACGGUGAACGUGAGGCCUUCGGGCACGGUCGCGGAAGUUGGGAUUGUGACCAUCUUGUUCGCCGGAGAAGUUGCACGCACACCCCCUACCUGGCGCGCCACUGUCGACGAAAGCUGGUCGGCAGUCUACCUUGGGGUAUACCCACGGUAGUAGUUUAUCGGUAGACGGUGCGCAAACUACGAACUCGAUGGUGACGCAAGACACGGACAAGCUUUUUAUCCGGGUUCGGCCGCCGAGUUGGCGUAAUACCUACGUACUGCGUCUGAUUGUAUUGAUUUGUGUUGAGAGAAUAUGAUGUCCUAGGGGGGUCCCUUGCCUCUCCUUAUAUAGUUCGGAGGGCAGGGUUAUAGAUCCGGAAACUAAUCCUAGUCGGUUACAAUUGCCAUAGAUAGUUCGAUAUCAAUUCCUAUUCUAACCGACUAGAAUCCUGUUUGAUCUCCACGUCUUAUUUCCUUGCGCGAAACUCCGAGCUGUCGGAUCAAACCUUGAGCUUGUCUCGUAAUGGGCCAAGCCUCCUGGCCCAAGUCUAGCCGUAAGGGUAUAGGGGUUUAUACCCCCACAUUAAUCAGUUCCACAAGCUUUGUUGUCUAUUUGAGCUUCGCAGAAUUUAAGAAUCAAGAAGACUAGCAGACGGAGGACAUUCUAAUCGCUGUUAGAAUGCUGCUGACUUUCAAAUACACCUCUGCCACCUGCUAGCUACAUCAAGAGAAAUUACGUCAAAAUUCAGCUUGGGGGAGAGCACGUCCAUUUAUCUCGAGAAGUAUUCCUAUCUUUAUACUAUUUUAGAAUAUUAAAAUACAUAAACUAUGAAAAACCAAAUAAAUAUUUUAUGCUUAUAUAUAUCUCUUUUACUUAGUGUGUUUAAUAAAUAAAUAAAGUGGCUAUGCUAAUCUGUAUCUAAAUAAAACUCAAGGAUGGAUAUGAUGAAUAGUUGCUCUGCCUAAUUUGCACAUUUUAAGUUCUCUCUCAAGUUUAGACAUAACUGUUAUAAUUUAAAGCUUGCUCUAGACCUAAACUUGUGGGAUGAAAACUUGAUCGGAAGUCUAAGUUGUUAACGGAUACGAUAUGGGAAGGUUGAGCUGUUGUUUAUCUGUUCCUAGAGAUGCUAGAAUUCUGGAGAAUUUUAUCUUUGAAAAUCUUUAAAAAUUUCAUGAUGAGUUCCUGUAUGAUGAGAGUUUAAAUUCCUACCACAGCCAUAUAUACAUGCUUGCUAGACUUUGAGCCACACAUUUACUAUUUACUGCUUAUGAGCAUUGAGUGUGGUCAAGCUGUGUAGACCCUUAGGAGCUUGUCAUGUGGUUAAAUCAAGAUUCACUUGCACGUUCACUCAUAUAUGCUACUUCUACUUCGGAAGUACCAUCCACAUAUAUCCACCCAUUCCAUCUCCAGAAUCACCCAAAAAUAUUCUACUCCUAAUCCGAGAGAGAAUAAACAAAAAUAUUCCUGUUUUUCCCUUGUGAAAUAAAUGCUCAAGUUAGCUUGUUACUACCACUUGCUAUAUUAUCUCAAGAGAUGAGUGCUCUCUAAAAUAAUAAUAAUAAUAAUAAUAAUAAUAAUAAUAAUAAUAAUAAUAAUAUGAGGAAAUAAAAAGGAGCAAGUGCUCGGAACCUCGAAAGAAAAGAAAAAGUGAGACGAGAGGUAAAAAUGGACAAGUGUCUGACAGUAGAAUUAGGGGUACAAGAUACCCACCUGAGAGAAAAGAAAAAGAAGAGCAUCUCAUUCUCCUCAUAAAGUUUCAAAAAGCAAGGAAGGUAUGUAUCCCCUCAAAGAGCAAAGUAGAAUUAGACUUCCACCACCAUUGUUUUCACUAUUGUUAUCACCAUCAUCACCAUACAUCAUUCAUUCGCCACACAUGCACAUCUUGAUUAAACUUAUUGACUUGUUACUUUGGAUCCAUGGUUUGACUAUACAAUACAUGUCUUGUAAGUAUGUAUACUUUAUCUCCCACCUAUGAGCUCUAGAUAUUAAAGCCUUAUUAGAGUAGGGUGAGAGAUAAGACAAUGUCACUAUGCUUUAUACCACAAAUACUACAUAUCUUGAGAGAAGGCAUAUACCAUCACUGCCUUGGUAAGGAUCCAGAAAUACCACAAAAGAGAGAUAUGAGAGAGUCAUACAAGGAAUCUCUGAGUUUUAUUUGAAAAUCUGCAAAAACCCCAGAGCUAUAGCUGAUCAAGAAUAAGAGACAUGGCACUUGGCUAGACUGUUCUAUCUUUUAACUACUCAAGACAGAAGUGACGGUUGCAAGUCCCGUGGUGAAGGUAAAGUAAGUAAGUUUUAAGUCUUGACAGUUUACUCUAACUCAGAGAUGAGAUCUUAUUUAAAAAGCAUGUGUACCGUCAAUUUUUCUAAAAGAUAUUGCAACAACUUAUGAUCCAUAGCUGAGUCUAUCCUUGCUCAGGGACGAGCAAGAGGUAAGCUUGGGGGAGUUUGUUGACGGUCCUUAAGUAUCAAAUUUAAUUAUCAAAUAAAUAAAGAAAAGGAUCCAAAUGAAAUCAACAUCUAGACUUAAGGUUUUAUCUGACAGAAUUCCACGAGUUUUGGUGUUUGUCUAUUUCUGCAGGGGGUUAUCAGGAAAUAUGGAAGAAAGGCCCACACGUCGGGAUUACAUAGAGAUAUUAAUGUGCCACGCAAUUAUCUUACAUCUAGAAGACUCCAGAAGCCACGAGACCGAAGCGGAGGCGAAACGGGGCCAAUCAGGACUCUGCUUCGUGGGAGAUCUCCACCGACCUAAAGGAUGAAUCUAAACCAUACAAUCUAUGUCGGUUUGAUCCAACAGCCCAUAUUCACUUGAAGGGACUAUAAAACCAGACCCCCUGGCCCCUGGAGGAGGGAGCCUCUCAACCCUAAUUCAUUGUUCCUCAAGGGAGAAGAAGCCUCUGAUCAAGAUUAGAGCCAUCACAUCAAUUAGAUAUCUAGAUUAGCAUAGCUACAUAGGAUUAGAACUAGAAGGAGUCAAUCUUCGAUUGGUUUCCGGAUCUGCCAAAAGGAUUCUUGGUAAUUCUCUAAUUGUGCUUCUAAUUGCUUUCUAAUUAUCUUUGUUCUUCAAUAUUAUGAAUAUGACUUUGUUCUACUUCAAUAUAUUGCUUAUGACUUUGCUCUACUUGCUUAUAUUCAAGAUUAUAUUGUUCUUAGUUUAUCAUACUUAUGUACUUGGCUUAGUUAGAUUCGAUCUAUAUACAUGCUUAGGAUCGUAUAGCGUUUAUCCAUCGGAUCCAUGGGUAAAUGAUAGAUAUUGUGUAGGCGUGGUGCUUAUACCGUAUUUAUCUGCGAUUGUACCCAAUAUGCCAGAUCGUGGGGUGGUUCGUGAUAGUGACAGCUUCAUUGAUUCUUAUAUAGUCCCCCUCUCGUGUAUUGGGCUAGCAGAGCAAUAUUAUUACAGGGGAGUGAUUGCUAUGUUUCUCAUAUUCCUUGCUAAUAUCACUAUGCAUGGGCGUAGUCUUGUCUCGCAAUGAUUGUUAAGUAUGCUUGCACUAACUAUGAUAUGCUAAACUAUAUAGUUGAGAAUAACUUAGGGAAUAUUCUUGUAGUUCGUUCUAAUACCAUGCUAAUGACUUUCUAGAGUAUCUAAUUGAGGUGCUUAUCAUAUUUAUUAUGUGGCUAGAUCAGAUUAGUUAUCCUUGUCAAUAUUAUUAUUUCAUAUAUCUUUUAUGUGACACUUAUCCCUGUAUGAAGAGUUAGAUAUAAUGUUCUCAAUUAUACAUGCAAUGAUAGAUGCUCAAUCUCAUAUUCUAUUCUAUAAUCAAUAUUGAUGAUUGCUAAUCCCUUCCCAGUGGUAAAAAUAUAAAUAACGAUACCUGGAAUACUUCCCGGUUAAAAUGCUACAUCGGUAUUAAUCUGUGCGCUUGCAGAUCCCAUUCAUUAUUUAUUUAGAAGAGCAAUUGCAUAUUUCAAUACCGCGUCUCUUAUAUCAUGCUGGGGAUGACAACUUGGCUUAAGUGCUGUGAGGGAUAGGUUUGGCAUUUUUGGCACCGUUACUAGAUUUAGAGAACUUAGUCUACUUUUGGUAAUGAUGUUAAGAAUACCCAACAUAGGGAGUGUACUCUAGUGAAGGAAAAGAGUAGCCAAAGCCAUGUACUUAGUGUACAUAUAUGUUUAUAAUUGAGUAAUCUUCCCCAACUUCUUGUUUUAUGAGAAAGUUGAAGAUGAAAGAGUUUUGACAAAUUUCCUUUUCCAUUACAUACCCUAAGGCUUUAAAUCUCGGGGAUGAGAUUUCUUUAAGGGGGAAGGGCUGUAACAUCCCCGAUGUUACGGUUACUAAAAUUCGGAUUAUGGCAUCAUCAGCAUUGCAUAGCAUAGUUGUUAAGCACACCUUGAUGCAUCAACUUAAAAUGAGUUUAAUUUGGUUGAAUGUGCUUAGGGAACCAAAGUGUGUUUAUCUUGUAUAUUGAUGCUUGAGUUGGUUGCUAAAACCCUAGGGUAAAGGUUUUCCGAAGGCUUAGGGGGGGGAACCCUGAUUUCUGAACCCCAGAUUUGCCCCCUUUUGUGCAAUUCAAAAACCAAGCAAAAUUUGAGGUUGAGUUCAAAAGCAAAGCUGUAGAUCUUGUCAAGAUGUACAACUUUGGUGUUUUGAGUUUUUGAAGUUUCAAUACAAAAUUCAAAGUAAUUUUGAAAAUACAGAUUUCCGCAAAGUGUCCCCUUUUCUAAUUUGAAUCUCCACUUCAAAAUCUAUUUGGAAUUUUGAAAUGUGACCAACAUGAAAGUUGUAGAGCUCAAAAAUUUGAACAACUUUCAUGUUGGGAGUUGUUCAAGUUGUUCAGGAAAAACAAAAGUAAUUUUGGAAAUUCUGAUCUGCCCCAAUUCAAAAAUUUGAAUCCUCUCAAAUUGAAUUUUGAUUUGCAAACUGUUUUGGCCAAAUUCACCCUGUUACACUCAAAAUCAGCUCUGGUCACCAAAACAUGUUUUGUAGCUUAUACAUUUCUGAGCAACUUUUGUUUUGGUGGAAUUUUGUGUUCAGUUCAAAUUUUGGGCGAAAUUUGCAAAACCACAAAACUGGGUUCCAGUGGAUUUGGACUGCUACAGUACUGAGCAGGGGGGGUGCUCUGCCGCCGGAGCAGAGCCGCCUUCGCGCGCGCCGCCACGCGCCUGGCCACGCAGCUGCUUGGCUGCGUGAGCCCGCCGUGAUGUGGACGAGCCCCCGCCCCCUAGUGUGCUCAUCCACUCCCCUGCUGCUUCCACUGCACGGCCGCUCCGCUUCUCCCUUUUCUGCCGACACCGACGACCCGGCCGCGCCUUCAAAAUUCAUCGCACCCAAUCCCUCUCAAGCCCAAUUGAGCAACCCAAAGCACUCGCCACCUCCUUGCGAACCCAGUGCACCUCCGAGCUCACUCCCUAGUCCGCUCAAUCGCCGGAACACCUCCCUCUUCUCCAACUCCGGCCGAAACCGCCGCUGAGGAACUCCCUCCGUGGCCACGUGGUUCCAGUAAGCGGCAAACCUUACUCGCGGCUGUUUCCGGUCCCUCUUCAGCUCCUACAGCUCAUGCACUUGCUUUUUCUUCUUGGACGCGAGCAGGAUCGCCGGAACGACGUCGUUGAGCUCAGAGCGUCCGCCCGACGACACCGCCUCCGUCGCCAGCGACCUUGGCUACUUCCCCGAGCCUUGCAGCGUGAGCACCACCCUCCCUAACCCCCGUGGAAGCUCGCUAGGCCGUCCGUUUGCACUCUACGGGCCUUAGUGGCCGGCUGAUGGUCGGCCAUGGCGGUCGCCCGCCUUUCUCGUGGCCGACGUGGAAGGGAUAGGGUAGAGCGUGAAUAGAAGGUGUCCACGGGGUCGCGAAGUCGAGGUGAAGCCGAUGCGCACGCGCACUCGGGCUGAAACCCUCACCAACGGCGGCCGGAACCGUGGCCGAGCCGCCGUGCGCGGUGAGGACGCAGCUGACGGGUGGGGUCGCCCCGUCAGCGUCCCGCAGAGAGGGGAGAGGAGGGCCUGACGAGCAGGACCCGCUCGUCAGUGACCACGCAGAGAGGAGGGCGCGCACGCGUGGCGCCCGUGUGGACUGGGCGUAAGUGGGCCGGCCUGCGGGCCUUUUGGCUGGGCCUCGCCCAGUUUCAAUUUGUUUUUUUUCUUUCUCCUUUUGUUUAAAAAUGCUUAAUGUUUGAUUCUGUGUCAUAAAUCAUGUGUUGAUCCAAAAAUUUUGAAAAUUUUUGUAUAGCUUUCACAAAAUGAUUAGAACAUAGGAAAAAUAUUAGAUUUUACUUUCUGGUAGUUUGCAUAUAUAUAAAAAUGGUCUCUCUUAAUUAAUGAAUAAAACUUCCAUGAAUUUUCAUAAUUUGUGAGUAUAUCCAAAAAUCACCAAAAAUUGUGAGAGGCCUCUGAAUAUUAUUCCUUGGCUUCACACAAAAUUUGGUGGCAUUUGGAUGAUGUUUGAAUAAAAUAUUAUUAAACCCUUAUUUAGUAAUUAAAUAGUAAUUCUAAGAUAAUUAGAUAGUGAUUAGUUAAAUCCUCAUAAUUAGGGUUGAGUGAUUUUGGGAUUGUGUGAUGACCUAAGGUCAUUAACCUUAAUGGCCUUUAGCAUUUAAUUAUUGUUUAGUCUUAAUGCUUAAUUACUGUCAUUAAUAAUUAAUUAAGAAAUAAUUAGGGUGAAAGGAUUAAUAAUUAGUUAGUUUAGGAUAAUUAUGAAUUAAGAAAAGUACUAAUUUACAGAUGCAACCUCUUGGGUAGAGACACUAAGAUGUUAAACAACUGUAAUCAUUGUUUAUUCUGUGUUGCACCGAAAGGGCCAGUUAUACUUAACUUGGUCCCUUUUUGCAUAUUUAUCACAUGCAUAUCAUGAGCAUUCAUCAAUUUGCGUAUAGUGCACGUGACCGAAGGAGCGCUCGUCGAACCGAACCCCGAGGUCGGUGCUCCGUUCGAGGAAGUAGGAUCCGAGACUUGGGAAGUCUCCGAGGGUCCCUCUCUGCCAUGCAACCAAGGCAAGCCCCGGAUGCAUUAACCCCUCCUUGAAUGUUUUAAAUCUUUUAUCACUUAUGAAUUGAAAAUGCUGCAUUAGGUAGUUGAGAAUUGGGCUAACCUACUUGCUGCAUUUACUACCUUGAUACUUGUUAUCUUGUCCUUGACACCUGUUUUAUUUUAAAAUUGCGUAGCGAUGCUUAGCCCUGCUACUAGAUAGGUUUUUAAACAAAGUUUGAAGGGUUGUUGUGGAAUACACUUAUGAUCAAUGAUGUUUCAACUUGAGACCGGUCGGUGGACUUGCUUUAAGAAUGGAGUCUUAAAGUAGUGUCUCCAACUGUGUCGGUUAAGGACCGGUCCGUUGAUGGCCCGCUGGGUUGAGAAUUUAUAGUACUAGCCACUUGCCCUCGGUAAGCCCGGUCUUGUGAUCCCUCGACGCGAACAGCUACUCGUGCACUGGGCGUGGAGCGAUGGCGAGAGUAGUGUGUACCCAUCUUACGGAUCUGAGAUGACCGGAAAACAUCUAGAUCGGUUGUAGGAUGGUGGAGUACUGUGCUCUCGGGUGCCGCGAACCUGGUCAAAUUUGGGGAGAGCUUGAUUUGGGUUGACAUAUGCAAGAUCUGGUUCUACAUAUGUCGGGUGGUUAGGAACUCCAGCUGGAUUGCUAAGCGGUUCGAAUCAUCAUUGCUCCCCGAUUGGGAGACUCAAUCCACUGACCCUCAUCGUAGUUAAAUAUGCAACUAAGUGGUAAAAUGAGAAAAGGGGAAAAUGUCUCAUGAGCUUCGGAUCCCAAUUCCCGUACUCAGAGUGACAUGAAGCUAUGGCCGUUGGAUAGAUAAUACUUUGGUUAAGGACUAGGAACUUACAGACUUGUCUGUGAGAAGCAACUAGAUAGACUGUCCUCGAACUCCUCGGCCUCUUUAGGAGAGGAAUUCGCGGGUAAAACUUGAAAGUAAGGAUGCACUAUUAGUAAGCUUUUCCGCAAAACACUUUGGCUCCUUGCUCAGCCACUCCUUGUCUACCCUAAGCCUGUAUUCCUGAUUUCUUCUCUUUUCUACUGGGUAAGUCUUGUUGAGUACUCCCGUACUCAGGGUUUUAUAAUCCCUGUUGCAGGUGAAGUUCAGGAGCCGACCUGUUUUGGACCCUGUUGUGUGUCCGUCGUCAAGGUUGACGACGAAGAAGAGUGAACGUGACCCAUGGGCAGGGUCUGUAAAUUUGUAAUUUGUAUACUAAAGUUUAAGUUGCUCCGCUGGACCUGGUUUGUAAUAACACUCGGCUAUUUGGAAGAACUCCUUUUGUAAAAUAAGUUAUGUAAUACUUCCGCUGUUUUAGUCUGAAAUAUUAUUUUGGUCUUGUGUCGUCUGUGAUACUGCAAUGUCUUCGCAACGAGUGAUCCUGGUGUUGAGGUGGCCACUUGCUAUCCUGUAAGGGCGAGAAGAAGACAUUUUCGUUAAAUGACCAUUGCUGGUGGUCAAGACGAGCUUGUGUGAUAUGCCCCGGAUAGCAGUGGAAUGAGCGUCCAGAGGUGCUCAUCGGACUUCUAGAGUGGGAGGAUCUCCGGCAUUACCGUCAGAGGUCUUUGGGACAAUGACAGGUGCCAGUGGGCCCAAACACUUAGGAGGUUCUGCCACAUUCAUCAACAUGUUGCUUAGCCUCCAUAUGCACAAGCGACUGGGAUUCGACCUUUUUGCACAACGUUUCCCCAGGGAUAUAGCAGAGGAUCAUGAGUUCGAUGAAGAAGAAUCGGCAACCCGUCCACCCUUGAACUAUGGCGAAGCCGUCAUAGUCUUGCCUGGUACUGGAGGCAAUAGAGAUCAAGUCAGCCGAUUCUUUCAGACUCUUUAUGAGGGUCUGACCAAAGAACAGCGAGCAUGGAUGCCUUAUGAAGAUCCACACACAAGAUUUCCUCUGACCUUUCACCCCUUCGACGAUGCUCUCAAUAAAGAUCAUGAUGUGAUGAUGGCACUUAUCACUCCAAGAGCCAUACCAGUAAACUUCUUCGGCAGUGGGAAAACCUCCAACCAGACCUAUGAAUUUUACAACCCAUCGGCACUAGCCCGUCAACUAGCUUUCGGUCAGCUGCUGAUUGCACUCUAUUAUGCCGAUGUGAUAAAUCCCAGGGAAACCAUCACUAGUCUUCUCGAGUGGACCAGAAUAGCUCAAUUGCCACCAAAUGCUAACACAGAUGCCGAUCUAUCAGAUUGGAUCCCGACCCUCUUCAUUACUCAGGCAUACAAACAAUGGUGGGAAGAAUGGAAAGAGCAUUUGUUCUGCAAACCGGCUCUUACGUACCGCGGCAUGAUCGACCCCUAGUACAAAGUCCCCGAUAAUACUGUAAGUAACUCCAAACCGACGUUUCAAUCCUUUCACUUUUACUUCCAUCGGUAACUGACUUUCUGUGUUAUAUUACAGGUUGAUAACACACCCCCAUCGGUCAGCAGGAGUGGUAAGCCGAUCGAGCUCCUUCCAUCGGGUACGAUUUUUUUGAUCAGCAGCAACUCUCCAUCGCUGGCCGCUAUAAUGCAUCGGGGUGUACGUCUCAAGAAAGUCACCACCAAGCGGACGAAGGCAUCUCCAUCGGUAGCUGCCUCUACUUUAGCACAAGCCUUCAAGGUAAAAUUUGAAAUUCUUUUACCCAUACCGAUUCUGUUACACUUGUACUCACAAGUUUUCAUUAUUGUAUCAGCAAACUGGCACAUCGGCAAAGACCAGAGGUGGGACUGCCGAUGCUCCCCAGUCCAGCCAACCAAAGAGGAAAAGCUCCAAGAGUACCAGAACCCACGCAAAGCGCCAGAGAACAGCAAUACUUGUGGUAGAACCUCCUAAGUGUUAGGGCCCACCGACACCUGUCAUUGUCCUAAGGACCUCUAACGGUGAUGUCGGGGAUCCUCCCACCCAGGACGCUAUUGACGGUCCUUAAGUAUCAAAUUUAAUUAUCAAAUAAACAAAGAAAAGGAUCCAAAUGAAAUCAACAUCUAGACUUAGGGUUUUAUCUGACAGAAUUCCACGAGUUUUGGUGUUUGUCUAUUUCUGCAGGGGGUUAUCAUGAAAUAAGGACAAAAGGCCCACAUGUCGGGAUUACAUAGAGAUAUCAACCCACCGCGCAAUUUUCUACCAUCUAGAAGACUCCAGAAGCCACGGGAAGGAAGCGGAGCCCGAAAGGGGCCAGGCCCAGGGCGCCCGCCCCCCUGUUGGAGCCAAAUCAGGACUCUUUCGCUCGGGAUAUUCCACCGACCUAUUGGAUCAAGAAAAACAAAGUACCACCUCACCUAUCGACCCAAAAACGCAUAGAAGGGGAGGACUAUAUAAGCAAGGCCCCCUGGCCCCUGGAAGAGACAAGAAAUUAUCAUAGAGAUUGAGGGGUGCCCUCGAAGGAAAACCUCUUCUCUAAAUAAUAUUUCUUUUUAGGCUUAGCAACCAAUGUAAGGUAGAAAUAGAUCUUCUAGUUUCUACUAGAUUGAGAGAGAUAGAGUGGAGGUGUGGAUCGGAGGAAGGCCGGCCUGUCGGUGUCUACUCCGAGUUGUACCUGCGGGAUCAAGUCUCCUAACCCGAGGCUUGCUUCUAAGAUUCUUCAGUAAUUCGACUUCUAAUACUAGUAAGUUCUUGUUUUAUUGUUCUUUGGUUUAUGAGUUUACUUUAUUCCUCUUCCGGUUGAGUAUUAGAGUAAUCACUUGUUAGCGUAAACGUGGUGUUUAGGCUAGGGUACUCAUAGAUAUCCCCUGACUAGCUGGACCGUGGUAGUAGCGAGGAACGUGACAUUUCCGAGUUACCUUUGCAGAUCACAUCUCGUUAGCAGGACGGGUAGGUUUAUAGGUGCGGGUCGAACAUCCUUUGUGUUGUCUAGAUUCCGUGAGCCUCCUCAAUAGAACAGUAGAUCAUCCUUACUAAGGUUAGAACGAGACUACGGUUGCAGUCUUCUCUAUACAUCACUCACAUCGAGAGACAUUCUUUGUAGCCUAAAGGGAUAGUAGCAAUAGAUUUGGUUAGUCAGAUGCACCCUUUCUCCCAGUGGUAAAAAUAUAAAUACGAUAACUCUGGAUAACCUCCCGGGUGAAAUGCUCACCGAUAUCCGUGCGCUUGCGGAUCAUUUUCUAAUUGCGUUACCAAAUAUCAACAGACGCCCAUUUCACCGCUACCUGUGGCGUAUCAAACAAGCUCGUCCUGGCCACUAGCGAUGGUCAAUUAACGAGAAUUUCUUCUUCUCGCCUUUACAGGAUAGCAAGUGGCCACCUUAACACCAGGAUCAUUCGUUGCGAAGACAUUGCAGUAUCAUGGACGACAUAUAACCCAAAAUAAUAUUUCAGAGUAAAACAGCGGAAGCAUUACAUAACUUAAUUUACUAAAGUAGUUCUUCCAAAUAGUAGAGUGUUAUUACAAGCCAGGUCCAACGGAGCAACUUAAACUUUAGUACACAGAUUACAAAUUUACAGACCCUGCCCAUGUGUCACGCUCACUCUUCUUCGUCGUCAACCUCGACAACGGUCACACAACAGGGUCCGAAACAAGUCGGCUCCUGAACAUCACCUGCAACAGGGGUUAUGAAACUCUGAGUACGGGAGUACUCAACAAGACUUACUUGGUGGAAAAAGAGGAGAAAUUAGGAAUGCAGGCUUGGGGUAGACAAGGAGUGGCUGAGCAAGGAGCCAAAUUGUUUUGCCAAAAAGCUUACUAAUAGUGCAUCCUUACUUUCAAGUUUUACCCACAAAUUCCUCUCCUUAAGAGGUCGAGGAGUUUGAGGAUAGUCUAUCUAGUUGCUUCUCACAGACAAGUCUGUAAGUUCCUAGUCCUUAAUCAAAGUAUUAUCUAUCCAACGGCCAUAGCUUGAUGUCACUCUGAGUCCGGGAAUUGGGAUCCGAACCUCAUGAGACAUUUCCCAAUUUUUCAUUUAUCACUUAGUUGCAUAUUUAACUACGAUGAGGGUCAGUGGAUGGAGUCUCCCAAUCGGGGAGCAACGACGAUUCGAACCGCUUAGCAAUCCAGCUGAGUUCCUAACCAUCCGACAUAUGUAGAACCAAAUCUUGCAUAUGUCAACCCAAAUCGAGCUCUCCCCAAAUUUGACCAGGUUCGCGGCACCCGAGAGCACAGUACCCCACCAUCCAGCCCAUUUGCCAGGAGGGUACAUGCUACUCUCGCCAUCGCUCCACGCCUAGUGCGCGAGCAGCUGUUCGCGUCGAGGGAUCACAAGACUGGGCUUACCGAGGGCAAGUGGCUAGUACUAUAAGUUCUCAACCAAGCGGACCAUCAACGGACUGGUCCUUAAUCGACACAGUUGGAGACACUACUUUAAGACUCCAUUCUUAAAGCAAGUCCACCGACCGGUCUCAAGUUGAAACAUCAUUUACCAUAAGAGUAUUCCACAACAACCCUUGAAACUUUCUUGUUUGAAAACCUAUCUAGUAGCAGGGCUAAGCAUCACUAUGCAGUUUUAAAAUAAAACAGGUGCCAAGGACAAGAUAACAAAUAUCAAGGUAGUAAAUGCAGCAAGUAGGUUAACCCAAUUCUCAACUACCUAAUGCAGCAUUUUCAAUUUAUAAGUGAUAAAGAUUUAAAACAUUCAAGGAGGGGUUUAAUGCAUCCGGGGCUUGCCUUGGUUGCAGAGCUGAUAGGGACCCUCGGAGACUUCCCAAGUCUCGGAUCCUACUUCUUCGAACGGAGCACCGACCUCAGGGUUCGGUUCAACGGUCGCUCCUUCGGCCACGUGCACUAUACGCAAAAUGAUGGAUGCUCAUGAUAUGCGUAUGACAAACAUUUAAGAAGGACCGAGUUGAGUACAACUGGCCUUCUCGGUGCAAAACUGGCUAAACAGUAAUUAAAGUUGUUUAUCAUUUUAGUGUUUUUACCCAAGAGGUUGCAUCAGUAAAUUAAGAUUUCUCUUAAUUCAUAAUUAUCCUUAAUUAACUGACUAUUAAACCUUUUUAUCUUAAUUAAGUCUUAAUUAAGUAUUGAUGGCAGUAAUUAAGCAUUAAUACCAAACAAUAAUUAAGUGCCAAAGGUCAUUAAGGUUAAUGACUUCAGGUCAUCACAUAACCUCAAAAGCACUCAAAUCCUAAUUUGAGAAAUUAAGCUAAUUAUUACUUAAUUAUUUUGAAAUUAUUACUAAAUUACUAAUUAAGGGCAUAAUAUGAUUUUAUUCAAACAUCAUCCAAAUGCCACCAAACUAUGUGUGAGGCCAGGGAAUAAUAUUCAGAGACUUCCCACAAAUUUUGGUGAUUUUUGGAUAUGCCCAUAAAUUACUAAAAUUCAUGGAAGUUUCAUUCACUAAUUAAAAGAGGCAAUUUUUAUAUACAUGCAAACUACCAAAAAUAGAAUCUACUAUUUUUCCUAGGUUCUACUCCUUUUAUAGAACCUACACAAAAAUUUUCAUUAUUUUUGGAUCAGCAAACAAUUUUCUACACAAAAUCAAACAUAAAAAAAAAUUUGCAUAAAAGGAAAAAGGGAAAAGCACUAUGCUGCGAGCAGCCCAGGAACUCGGCCCGCAGGCCGGCCCGUUCAGCCUCGGCCCAAGCCGGCCCACGCACGCGCUGCUCCCCUCCUCUCUCUGCGGGUCGCUGACGGGCGGGUCCCGCCCGUCAGACCCUUCUUCCUCCUCUCGCCGCGGCUCCGGCGAGCCCAAGCACGCCGUCGGCGAGCUCCCGGCCUCCGCGGUAGGGUGAGAUAGCACCCUCAGCUCCCCGCGCAUCUCCUGAGACACUCAGAUCACGUGCUACUCCGCCCUAAUCCCCUUGCCCGCGUCUAUGGCGGACAGCCCUGCUAACCGCGCGAGCACCGGCCACUGCAAGCGAGUAAAGCGUGAACCGAAGAGCGCAUAAGCAUCAGUGGCUCACCGUGACUUCAACGAAGCAGAGAGCGACGAUUGAGAAGCUCGGAGAGGAGCUGGCCACGGUGAAGUGUCCACGGUGGCGUUUCGGCCGGGAUUGGAGAAGGACGGAUCGGUUGAGGGCUACAAGGGGUUAGAGCUUGCGAGAUGGCGCGCAAUCGGUUGCUAGGGUGUUGGCGGAGCUGCUGGUGUGCUCGGGUAGCUGGGAAAGGGAGCGAGUGAGGCGAAUUUCGCAGGCGCAGCAAGGUCGUCGGCGUUGAGCAAGAAGAGAAGAAAAGGGUCGAAGCGGGGUGUUAACCACGGGAAGAAGUGGAUGAGGAUGCCAGCGGCUCAUCCACUUCACUGCGACUGCCAGCAGGCGAGCAGCUACGUGGCUAGGUGCGUGGCGGCGCGCGCGAAGGCGGCGCCUGCCCGCCCUGCGGCCGCGCUGGACAGAGCUCGUGAUCCCCAUCGGAUCACUGUAGCCGUCCCUAUCCCCUCCUUUCUGUUUUUUUCAAAAUUCAACUAAAAUUUGAACUAAAGUCAAAUUUUCACCAAAACCAAAGUUGUUCAGAGUUUUAAAAGCUACAAAACGUCUUUUGGUGUUGAAAGCUGAUUCCAAGUGGAAAAAGCUGAAUUUGACAAAACAGUUUAAAUUUCAAAUCCUAAAUUGGGGAAAUUCCAAUUUUUGAAUUGGGGCAGAUCGGAAUUUCCAAAAUUACUUUUCAUUUUCCAUAACAACUAGGAAAAUUCCCAACAUGAAAGUUGUUCAACUUUUUCAGCUCUACAACUUUCAUGUUGGUCACUUUUCAAGAUUCCAAACAGAUUUUGAAUUGGGGAUUCAAAUUGGAAAGGGGGACAUUUUUUGAAAUCUGUAUUUUCAAAAUUACUUUCAAUUUUGUAUUGAAACUUCAAAAACUCAAAACACCAAAGUUGUACACCUUGACAAGAUCUACAACUUUGCUUUUGAACUCAACCUCAAAUUUUGCUUAGUUUUUAAAUUGCACACUAGGGGGCAAAUCCAUGGUUUUAAAAUCAGGGUUUUUCCCCCUAUUUUCUCGGAAACCUUCCACCCUAGGAAUUUCGCAGCCACACUAGCUUCAAUACACCUUGCAAACACACUUUAGUUCCCUAAGCACAAGCAAUCAAAAUAAACUUGUUUUAAGUUGAUGCAUAAUAAUGUGCUUAACAAAUAUGCGAUGCAAUGCUCAUGAUGGCAUGAUCUAGUUUUAGUAACCGUAACAUCGGGGAUGUUACAGCCCUUCCCCCUUAAAGAAAUCUCGUCCUCGAGAUUUAACACCUUAGGGUAUGUAAUGGAAAAGGAAAUUUGUCAAACUAUUUUAUCUUCAACCUUUUCAUAAGAUAAUGGACUGGGGAAGACUAUUUAAUUAUAAACAUAUAUGUACAUUAAGUACAUGGCUUUGGCUACCCUUUUCCUUCACUAGAGUGCACUCCCUAUUUAUCGGGUGUUGUCUUGAAGAGAAGCAUGGAACUCAGGAAAAUUCUCCAUUAGAUAAUCUUCCGAUUCCCAUGUGGCUUCCUCUUCAGAGUGCUAGCUCCAUUGCACCUUGUACCACUCGGUAGUUGUUCUUCGAGUAACUCUAUCCCUUUGGUCCAAUACUCGGAUAGGAUAUUCCGCAUAAGUCAGAUCCGGUUCAAGUUCCACAUCUUUGAUAUCUUGAACUUGGUCUGGUACUCGAAGACACUUUUUCAGUUGAGAUACAUGAAAUACAUUGUGUAUCCCGGAUAAUCGUUCGGGCAAUUUAAGGCGGUAAGCUACCUGUCCACUUCGGUCAAUGAUGGGAAAUGGACCAAUGUAACGAGGCGCUAACUUGCCUUUAACGCCAAAACGAUUUACUCCUUUCAUUGGGGAUACUUUCAGAUACACAUGGUCACCCUUGGCGAAUCUUAAGGGUCGACGUCUUUUAUCGGCAUAGCUUUUCUGUUGGGACUGAGCAAUCUUCAAGUUAUUUUGGAUUUGUCUAACUUUGUUCUCAGUUUCCUUCACUAAGUCAACCCCAAAGAACCAUCUUUCUCCGGGUUCCGACCAGUGUAGUGGAAUCCGACAUCGACGACCAUAUAGUGCCUCAAAGGGAGACAUCUUAAUACUUUCUUGGUAGCUAUUGUUGUUGGAAAACUCUGCUAGAGGCAAGCAGUCAUCCCACUUAUCUGGAAAAUUUAGGGCACAAGAUCUUAAUAGAUCUUCUAGGGUUUGAUUUACCCUUUCUGUUUGCCCACCUGUUUGAGGGUGGUAGGCGGUACUGUAUAGAAGCUUGGUGCCCAAAGAUUCAUGUAAGCAUUUCCAGAACUGGGAGACAAAUUGUGUGCCUCUAUCUGACACUAUUGUUUUUGGCACCCCAUGCAGGCUUAGUAUAUGAUCAAAAUAAAUCUUAGCAUAGGUGGAGGCAGGAUAUAAUAUCUUUACAGGCAAGAAGUGUGCUGUUUUGGUGAGACGAUCCACAAUGACCUAAAUAGAAUCAAAGCCUUUGGCCAUCUUUGGCAAUCCUACUAUGAAAUCCAUGCUAAUAUCAUCCCAUUUCCAUGCUGGAAUAGGCAAGGGUUGUAACUCUCCAGCGGACUUGAGAUGAAUGGCUUUGGCCUUUCGGUAGGUGUCGCAUUGGGCCACAUAGCGGGCUAUUUCUGUCUUCAUUUUGGUCCACCAAAACUUUUGCUUCAGGUCCUGAUACAUUUUAUUGCUCCCCGGAUGAAUAGAAUAUUUUGUGGUAUGAGCUUCAUCCAGGAUUUGCUGACGUAGCUCAGGUACCUUUGGAACCACUAACCGGUUUUUGAACCAGAUUACUCCUGCAUCAUCCACCUUAAAGUCUGUGGGUGCUCAGUUAGAAAUUUUCUCUUUAAGAUAUUUCAUGCCUUUGUCUUCUUUUUGUGCCUCUAUGAUUUGAGCUUCAAGAUUGAAAUCAAUCCUUAAAUUGGCAAGGCUUCCUUGGGAAAUCAUUUCUAUCCCCAAGUUCUCUAGCUCUUGGCACAAAGUUAUAUCUUUAGGCGUCACUGUUAAGCAAUUACAGUGAGCCUUACGACUGAGGGCAUCAGCUACUACAUUCGCCUUGCCAGGGUGAUAAUGCAACUCAAGGUCAUAAUAUUUGAUCAAUUCUAGCCACCUUCGCUGGCGCAUAUUAAGUUCAGCUUGAGUGAAGAUGUACUUCAAGCUCUUGUGAUCUGUGUAUAGGUGACAAGUGUUCCCCAACAGAUAAUGGCGCCAGAUCUUCAAUGUAUGUACUACGGCGGCUAGUUCAAGAUCAUGGGUCGGGUAAUUCUGUUCAUGUGGUUUAAGCUGCCUAGAAGCAUAUGCAAUUACUCGACCCUCCUGCAUUAGCACACAGCCUAUCCCUAUCCCUAAUGCGUCACAAUACACAUCAAAGGGUUUUUCGAUAUCUGGCUGGGCUAAGACAGGUGCAGGUUUUAAUAACCUUUUCAGAGUUUGGAAGACUUGCUCACAUUCAGAUGACCAAACAAAUUUUGUUUGAUUCUUGAGCAAGGUUGUGAUGGGUUUAGCGACUCUUGAAAAGUCCGGGAUGAAGCGACGAUAAUAUCCCGCCAUACCCAGAAAACUACAGACCUCAUGUACCGUAGUCGGGGGUUUCCAAUUCAAAACAUCUUCUACUUUACCUGGAUCUACAGCGACUCCCUUCGCUGAUAAUACAUGACCCAAGAAAUGGACUUUCUCUAGCCAGAACUCACAUUUGCUGAACUUGGCAUAUAGUUGAUGUUCCCUGAGACGGGUCAGCACAAUUCUCAGAUGUUCAACAUGUUCUUUCUUAGUUUUGGAAUAGAUCAAAAUGUCAUCAACGAAGACGACCACAAAUUUGUCCAGCUCUGGCAUGAAGACAAAGUUCAUCAAAUACAUGAAAUGGGCCGGUGCAUUGGUCAACCCAAAUGACAUCACCAAGUAUUCAUACAGCCCAUAACGGGUUGUAAAAGCCGUCUUGGGUACAUCUUCCGGCCUAAUUUUAAUUUGGUGGUACCCUGAUCUCAAAUCAAUUUUAGAGAACACUUUGGCCCUGGCUAACUGGUCAAAUAGCAAGUCAAUACGGGGCAAUGGGUACUUGUUUUUAAUCGUCACCUCAUUCAAGGGACGAUAAUCGACACACAGCCUUAGUGUUUGAUCUUUCUUUUUCACAAAUAAGGCUGGGCAACCCCAUGGAGAGGAACUGGGCUGAAUAAAACCUUUUUGCAACAACUCUUGUAGUUGGGUUUUCAAUUUGGCCAGUUCUUUCGGUGCCAUUCGGUAGGCCCUUCGAGAUAUUGGGGCUGUCCCUGGUUUCAAUUCUAUGCUGAACUGGACAUCCCGGUCCGGUGGCAGACCUGGUAGGUCCUCAGGGAACACAUCCGGAAAAUCCCGAACUACCGGGAUAUUUUCGACUGCAGUCACAUUAGUGGCAUGAACUUGCCCAAUUGCCCGUUUGGGAGUAGCUAAUUGGAUUAGAUGGUAAGAAUUCUCAUUGGGCAAUGGCACCUUAAUGGUUCGAUGCAUGGUGUCUAGCACAACCCCUCGUUGUGCCAUCCAGCUCAUGCCUAGUAUGACAUCAAUAUCCUGGUCCUUAAGAACAAUCAUGCUAGUGGGAAAACUAGGCCCACCAAAUUCGAUGGGUAUCUUGUGAACCAUUUCUUUAGAACUCAGCCGUCCUCCUGGCAACUGUAUAUAAAAAUGAUCUUUUGUUUCCCCAAUGGGUAUGCCAUGCUUCAUCACAAAGGUGCAGUUGAUGAAUGUAUGAGAUGCACCAGAAUCGAAAAGCAUUAAGGCAGGAUGUUUCGCAACAGGGAACGUACCCAUCAUUACCGGUUCUCCUUCCGGUAUUAUCUCCACCUCUGUAUGGAAGACUUGUCCCACCUUCUUUACAGGUUUACCCCUUUGUGCAUUUUGUCCUUUCUGAGCCCCAUUUUUGAAUUGGUUCGGUUGGGGUUGGCCAAAUGCUCAUGAUGGCAUGAUCUAGUUUUAGUAACCGUAACAUCGGGGAUGUUACAGCCCUUCCCCCUUAAAGAAAUCUCGUCCUCGAGAUUUAACACCUUAGGGUAUGUAAUGGAAAAGGAAAUUUGUCAAACUAUUUUAUCUUCAACCUUUUCAUAAGAUAAUGGACUGGGGAAGACUAUUUAAUUAUAAACAUAUAUGUACAUUAAGUACAUGGCUUUGGCUACCCUUUUCCUUCACUAGAGUGCACUCCCUAUUUAUCGGGUGUUGUCUUGAAGAGAAGCAUGGAACUCAGGAAAAUUCUCCAUUAGAUAAUCUUCCGAUUCCCAUGUGGCUUCCUCUUCAGAGUGCUAGCUCCAUUGCACCUUGUACCACUCGGUAGUUGUUCUUCGAGUAACUCUAUCCCUUUGGUCCAAUACUCGGAUAGGAUAUUCCGCAUAAGUCAGAUCCGGUUCAAGUUCCACAUCUUUGAUAUCUUGAACUUGGUCUGGUACUCGAAGACACUUUUUCAGUUGAGAUACAUGAAAUACAUUGUGUAUCCCGGAUAAUCGUUCGGGCAAUUUAAGGCGGUAAGCUACCUGUCCACUUCGGUCAAUGAUGGGAAAUGGACCAAUGUAACGAGGCGCUAACUUGCCUUUAACGCCAAAACGAUUUACUCCUUUCAUUGGGGAUACUUUCAGAUACACAUGGUCACCCUUGGCGAAUCUUAAGGGUCGACGUCUUUUAUCGGCAUAGCUUUUCUGUUGGGACUGAGCAAUCUUCAAGUUAUUUUGGAUUUGUCUAACUUUGUUCUCAGUUUCCUUCACUAAGUCAACCCCAAAGAACCAUCUUUCUCCGGGUUCCGACCAGUGUAGUGGAAUCCGACAUCGACGGCCAUAUAGUGCCUCAAAGGGAGACAUCUUAAUACUUUCUUGGUAGCUAUUGUUGUUGGAAAACUCUGCUAGAGGCAAGCAGUCAUCCCACUUAUCUGGAAAAUUUAGGGCACAAGAUCUUAAUAGAUCUUCUAGGGUUUGAUUUACCCUUUCUGUUUGCCCACCUGUUUGAGGGUGGUAGGCGGUACUGUAUAGAAGCUUGGUGCCCAAAGAUUCAUGUAAGCAUUUCCAGAACUGGGAGACAAAUUGUGUGCCUCUAUCUGACACUAUUGUUUUUGGCACCCCAUGCAGGCUUAGUAUAUGAUCAAAAUAAAUCUUAGCAUAGGUGGAGGCAGGAUAUAAUAUCUUUACAGGCAAGAAGUGUGCUGUUUUGGUGAGACGAUCCACAAUGACCUAAAUAGAAUCAAAGCCUUUGGCCAUCUUUGGCAAUCCUACUAUGAAAUCCAUGCUAAUAUCAUCCCAUUUCCAUGCUGGAAUAGGCAAGGGUUGUAACUCUCCAGCGGACUUGAGAUGAAUGGCUUUGGCCUUUCGGUAGGUGUCGCAUUGGGCCACAUAGCGGGCUAUUUCUGUCUUCAUUUUGGUCCACCAAAACUUUUGCUUCAGGUCCUGAUACAUUUUAUUGCUCCCCGGAUGAAUAGAAUAUUUUGUGGUAUGAGCUUCAUCCAGGAUUUGCUGACGUAGCUCAGGUACCUUUGGAACCACUAACCGGUUUUUGAACCAGAUUACUCCUGCAUCAUCCACCUUAAAGUCUGUGGGUGCUCAGUUAGAAAUUUUCUCUUUAAGAUAUUUCAUGCCUUUGUCUUCUUUUUGUGCCUCUAUGAUUUGAGCUUCAAGAUUGAAAUCAAUCAUUAAAUUGGCAAGGCUUCCUUGGGAAAUCAUUUCUAUCCCCAAGUUCUCUAGCUCUUGGCACAAAGUUAUAUCUUUAGGCGUCACUGUUAAGCAAUUACAGUGAGCCUUACGACUGAGGGCAUCAGCUACUACAUUCGCCUUGCCAGGGUGAUAAUGCAACUCAAGGUCAUAAUAUUUGAUCAAUUCUAGCCACCUUCGCUGGCGCAUAUUAAGUUCAGCUUGAGUGAAGAUGUACUUCAAGCUCUUGUGAUCUGUGUAUAGGUGACAAGUGUUCCCCAACAGAUAAUGGCGCCAGAUCUUCAAUGUAUGUACUACGGCGGCUAGUUCAAGAUCAUGGGUCGGGUAAUUCUGUUCAUGUGGUUUAAGCUGCCUAGAAGCAUAUGCAAUUACUCGACCCUCCUGCAUUAGCACACAGCCUAUCCCUAUCCCUAAUGCGUCACAAUACACAUCAAAGGGUUUUUCGAUAUCUGGCUGGGCUAAGACAGGUGCAGGUUUUAAUAACCUUUUCAGAGUUUGGAAGACUUGCUCACAUUCAGAUGACCAAACAAAUUUUGUUUGAUUCUUGAGCAAGGUUGUGAUGGGUUUAGCGACUCUUGAAAAGUCCGGGAUGAAGCGACGAUAAUAUCCCGCCAUACCCAGAAAACUACAGACCUCAUGUACCGUAGUCGGGGGUUUCCAAUUCAAAACAUCUUCUACUUUACCUGGAUCUACAGCGACUCCCUUCGCUGAUAAUACAUGACCCAAGAAAUGGACUUUCUCUAGCCAGAACUCACAUUUGCUGAACUUGGCAUAUAGUUGAUGUUCCCUGAGACGGGUCAGCACAAUUCUCAGAUGUUCAACAUGUUCUUUCUUAGUUUUGGAAUAGAUCAAAAUGUCAUCAAUGAAGACGACCACAAAUUUGUCCAGCUCUGGCAUGAAGACAAAGUUCAUCAAAUACAUGAAAUGGGCCGGUGCAUUGGUCAACCCAAAUGACAUCACCAAGUAUUCAUACAGCCCAUAACGGGUUGUAAAAGCCGUCUUGGGUACAUCUUCCGGCCUAAUUUUAAUUUGGUGGUACCCUGAUCUCAAAUCAAUUUUAGAGAACACUUUGGCCCUGGCUAACUGGUCAAAUAGCAAGUCAAUACGGGGCAAUGGGUACUUGUUUUUAAUCGUCACCUCAUUCAAGGGACGAUAAUCGACACACAGCCUUAGUGUUUGAUCUUUCUUUUUCACAAAUAAGGCUGGGCAACCCCAUGGAGAGGAACUGGGCUGAAUAAAACCUUUUUGCAACAACUCUUGUAGUUGGGUUUUCAAUUUGGCCAGUUCUUUCGGUGCCAUUCGGUAGGCCCUUCGAGAUAUUGGGGCUGUCCCUGGUUUCAAUUCUAUGCUGAACUGGACAUCCCGGUCCGGUGGCAGACCUGGUAGGUCCUCAGGGAACACAUCCGGAAAAUCCCGAACUACCGGGAUAUUUUCGACUGCAGUCACAUUAGUGGCAUGAACUUGCCCAAUUGCCCGUUUGGGAGUAGCUAAUUGGAUUAGAUGGUAAGAAUUCUCAUUGGGCAAUGGCACCUUAAUGGUUCGAUGCAUGGUGUCUAGCACAACCCCUCGUUGUGCCAUCCAGCUCAUGCCUAGUAUGACAUCAAUAUCCUGGUCCUUAAGAACAAUCAUGCUAGUGGGAAAACUAGGCCCACCAAAUUCGAUGGGUAUCUUGUGAACCAUUUCUUUAGAACUCAGCCGUCCUCCUGGCAACUGUAUAUAAAAAUGAUCUUUUGUUUCCCCAAUGGGUAUGCCAUGCUUCAUCACAAAGGUGCAGUUGAUGAAUGUAUGAGAUGCACCAGAAUCGAAAAGCAUUAAGGCAGGAUGUUUCGCAACAGGGAACGUACCCAUCAUUACCGGUUCUCCUUCCGGUAUUAUCUCCACCUCUGUAUGGAAGACUUGUCCCACCUUCUUUACAGGUUUACCCCUUUGUGCAUUUUGUCCUUUCUGAGCCCCAUUUUUGAAUUGGUUCGGUUGGGGUUGGCCAAUGGGUGGCCUUCGAAAAGUGGGGUUAUUUUGGCAAGGGUAGGGGCAUUCUUUAGAAAAAUGCCCGGGCUUACCACAAUUGAAACAAGGAUAAUUGUGGUUGGGCGGAGCAGUGGGACGAACACCUGGAGCGUUCGGCUGGCGUGGUGCAGUGGCGAUGGCAGUAGGUCGAGGAUAUACCUGCUGCCCUGGUCUAUAUUGUGGAGGAGGAAAGGGACCACGAGAAGGUGACGACGCUGGAAAGCGUCUGUGGCCCUGUGGGUGAUAAAUGAUCCUCUGGCGCUUUUGACCGCGACCAGAGAAGGAGGAAGAAGCGGCCUUCUUCUUUGCUUCUUUGUGUUUUCUAUUCUUUUCCUCCGAGGCGAUGGCAAUAUUAACCGCCUCGUAGAAAGUGGCAUUUUGAGAUGUGCUCAUCAUGGUCGGAAGCUUGGUAUUGAGACCACGCAUAAAACAGGCCUUCUUCUUUUUAUCCGUGUUCACAUGGUCCGUGGCAUGCUGAGAAAGAUGAUUAAAUUUUGCCACGUAUUCCAUCACACUUUUAUCGCCUUGCUGCAAGGCAAGAAAUUCUUCGGCUUUCAUGGCCACAAACCCUUCUGGAAUAUAAUGGGCGCGGAACGCGUCCUUAAAUUCUGCCCAGGUGACCUGGUGUGCUGGAUUUUGGAUAGCUAGGAAAUUUUCCCACCAGGCCCCUGCAGCUCCCCGAAGUUGUUGGGCUGCGAACAGGGGCUUUUGAGUUUUCGAAGAAUGAAUCAGGCUGAACUUAUGCUCCAUUGUCCGGAGCCAGUCGUCAGCCUCUAAAGGCUCAUCAGCCUUGGUGAAUACUGGGGGCCUUGUCUCGGUAAAGUUCACGUACCGAGUUUCUCCCUCCCCAUUGUGCUCUGCUCUGAAGUUUGGGGCGGGGUGUGGUUGGCGCUGCGCUAACUCGCGCAGCAAGCGAGCAUUGUCGGUAGUGGCACUCAAAAGAACAGCAAUAGCAUCUGCUAGGGAAGGUGGAGUAGGGGGAGGGUUAGGGAUGUCCUCCCCUCCCUGAGAAGACCCGGCUCCAUCAGAUCCACAUGUGCGCAUCGGCAUCUGCUACAAGAAUCAUAUGUACUUGUUACCACAUGGAAUCCAUAACUUAAAACAUAUCUUACAUACUUCAAUUUAUUUAUCAAACAUCCGUUCAGCACACUGGAAACAAACGAGUACAACUUCUUGAACUUAAAGAAAAACACUAUACUACAGACCCGACCCCACUACGGUAGAUUAGGAAUCCUACAACGAUGUUGCCCACAGCUUCACCGAACUAGUCGGUGUGGUCAGAGCCGUAGCCUGGGUCGUCAUUGUCAUCGCCAUGGUCACCCCCCGGGUUAUCGUCGCCGGAGUCGGAUUCCUCCUCGUCACUGAGUUCUUGGUCGGGCUCCCCAUCAUCCGCCAACUCUCCGUCAGUGUCCAUCUCCCCUUCACCUGGAGGUGGAUGGAGCUGAUGGUAUAAGUCGAAUUUAAUAUCACGGUACUGCAUCGCCAUGUCGUUGACGGUGUCCAGAUGAUGUGCCAGCUCGAGCUUCUCCAGCUGUAGCUGAUCCUCCCGCUGCCACGCGACGUCCCUCUGUGCGGUGACAGUGGCCGCCAUCUUCACGUACAGAUCUUUAAUGUACUUGGUUUUGUCCAGCUUAGCCUUCAUUCUGGUUAGCUCAUGCAUAUGUGCGCUCCUGGCCUCCUCUUCCCGGGCAAUAGCGGCAUUUCUUUCUUCCACCAUGCGGGAUAGCAUCACCUCGCAAUUCUCAGUGGCUUGUUUUUGUUUUGUUAGUUGAGCUUUAAGUUCACCAAUCUCCAUGACAUUAUACAUCCUUUCUCUCGUUACUUCGGUCAGCUCGGCGGACAACCUUUCCAUCUCCUGCUGAGAUGGGGAACGGCUACUGCUAGCCUGCUCGCUUUGUGGGGCCAAUUGGUGUCUAGGCACCCCUUUAGGACCAGUUCUCUUGCGCGGAGUCUGCUUCCAACGACCCAUCCUGUAGAGGGUAAUUUUGGAUUAGUAAGGGAGACCUUAAAGAUUAGCAAGAAUGGGAUUGAUUCUAUAUAACCCAACCCGAAUAAAGAGGAAGGAAUUUAACUAAGUAACAUAUCAUGAUGCAUGCACGUGCUUACGAUUCGUACUAGAAACUCAUAACGAUAUUACUUAAAACUUUUACAACAUAGGGCGAUACUUUAUGUUGCUCCUCCACACGACUUCAAAAAUUCUAGCAAAGCCUACAAACAAGGGUAAGGUAGGACUAAAGCACUUGGACUCAAAAUAGGCCAGUUUAUAGUAUCAGAUCCAAAUGGUUUUGAAGUUUUUCAAAGGAUACAACAGUCGUCUUAGCAACGAAUGCUCUGAUACCAGCUGUGGCAGAACCUCCUAAGUGUUUGGGCCCACCGACACCUGUCAUUUGUCUUAAGAACCACCCAGGACGCCAAUUUCACCGCUACCUGUGGCGUAUCAAACAAGCUCGUCCUGACCACUAGCGAUGGUCAAUUAACGAGAAUUUAUUCUUCUCGCCUUUACAGGAUAGCAAGUGGCCACCUUAACACCAGGAUCUUUCGUUGCGAAGACAUUGCAGUAUCAUGGAUGACAUAUAACCCAAAAUAAUAUUUCAGAGUAAAACAACGGAAGCAUUACAUAACUUAAUUUACAAAAGUAGUUCUUCCAAAUAGUAGAGUGUUAUUACAAGCCAGGUCCAAUGGAGCAACUUAAACUUUAGUACACAGAUUACAAAUUUACAGACCCUGCCCAUGGGUCACGCUCACUCUUCUUCGUCGUCAACCUCGACGACGGUCACACAACAGGGUCCGAAACAAGUCGGCUCCUGAACUUCACCUGCAACAGGGGUUAUGAAACCCUGAGUACGGGAGUACUCAACAAGACUUACCCGGUGGAAAAAGAGGAGAAAUUAGGAAUGCAGGCUUGGGGUAGACAAGGAGUGGCUGAGCAAGGAGCCAAAUUGUUUUGCCAAAAAGCUUACUAAUAGUGCAUCCUUACUUUCAAGUUUUACCCACGAAUUCCUCUCCUUAAGAGGUCGAGGAGUUCGAGGAUAGUCUAUCUAGUUGCUUCUCACAGACAAGUCUGUAAGUUCCUAGUCCUUAAUCAAAGUAUUAUCUAUCCAACGGUCGUAGCUUCAUGUCACUCUGAGUCCGGGAAUUGGGAUCCGAACCUCAUGAGACAUUUCCCCCUUUUUCAUUUUAUCACUUAGUUGCAUAUUUAACUACGAUGAGGGUCAAUGGAUUGAGUCUCCCAAUCAGGGAGCAACGACGAUUCGAACCGCUUAGCAAUCCAGCUGGAGUUCCUAACCUCCCGACAUAUGUAGAACCAAAUCUUGCAUAUGUCAACCCAAAUCAAGCUCUCCCCAAAUUUGACCAGGUUCGCGGCAUCCGAGAGCACAGUACCCCACCAUCCAGCCCAUUUGCCAGGAGGGUACACGCUACUCUCGCCAUCGCUCCACGCCCAAUGUGCGAGUAGCUGUUCGCGUCGAGGGAUCAUAAGACCGGGCUUACCGAGGGCAAGUGGCUAGUACUAUAAGUUCUCAACCCAGCGGGCCAUCAACGGACCGGUCCUUAAUCGAUACAGUUGGAGACACUACUUUAAGACUCCAUUCUUAAAGCAAGUCCACCGACCGGUCUUAAGUUGAAACAUCAUUGACCAUAAGAGUAUUCCACAACAACCCUUCAAACUUUCUUGUUUGAAAACCUAUCUAGUAGCAGGGCUAAGCAUCACUACACAGUUUUAAAAUAAAACAGGUGCCAAGGACAAGAUAACAAAUAUCAAGGUAGUAAAUGCAGCAAGUAGGUUAACCCAAUUCUCAGCUACCUAAUGCAGCAUUUUCAAUUCAUAAGUGAUAAAGAUUUAAAACAUUCAAGGAGGGGUUUAAUGCAUCCGGGGCUUGCCUUGGUUGCAGAGCUGAUAGGGACCCUCGGAGACUUCCCAAGUCUCGGAUCCUACUUCUUCAAACGGAGCACCGACCUCGGGGUUCGGUUCAACGGUCGCUCCUUCGGUCACGAGCACUAUACGCAAAAUGAUGGAUGCUCAUGAUAUGCGUAUGACAAACAUUUUAGAAGGACCGAGUUGAGUACAACUUGCCUUCUUGGUGCAAAACAGGCUAAACAGUAAUUAAGAUUUCUCUUAAUUCAUAAUUAUCCUUAAUUAACUGACUAUUAAACCCUUUUAUCUUAAUUAAUUCUUAAUUAAGUAUUGAUGGCAGUAAUUAAGCAUUAAUACCAAACAAUAAUUAAGUGCCAAAGGUCAUUAAGGUUAAUGACCUCAGGUCAUCACAUAACCUCAAAAGCACUCAAAUCCUAAUUUGAGAAAUUAAGCUAAUUAUUACUUAAUUAUUUUGUAAUUAUUACUAAAUUACUAAUUAAGGGCAUAAUAUGAUUUUAUUCAAACAUCAUCCAAAUGCCACCAAACUUUGUGCGAGGCCAUGGAAUAAUAUUCAGAGACUUCCCACAAUUUUUGGUGAUUUUUGGAUAUGCCCAUAAAUUACUAAAAUUCAUGGAAGUUUCAUUCACUAAUUAAAAGAGGCAAUUUUUAUAUACAUGCAAACUACCAGAAAAUAGAAUCUACUAUUUUUUCUAGGUUCUACUCCUUUUAUAGAACCUACACAAAAAAUUUCAUCAUUUUUGGAUCAGCAAACAAUUUUCUACACAAAAUCAAACAUAAAACAAAUUUUGCAUAAAAGGAAAAAGGGAAAAAGCACUAUGCUGCGAGCGGCCCAGGAACUCGGCCCGCAGGCCGGCCCGUUCAGCCUCGGCCAAGCCAGCCAACGCGCGCGCUGCUCCCCUCCUCUCUCUACGGGUCGCUUACGGGUGGGUCCCGCCCGUCAGACCCUUCUUCCUCCUCUCGCCGCGGCUCCGGCGAGCCCAAUCACGCCGUCGGCGAGCUCCCGGCCUCCGCGGUAGGGCGAGAUAGCACCCUCAGCUCCCCGCGCAUCUCCUGAGACGCUCAGAUCACGUGCUACUCCCCCCUAAUCCCCUUGCCUGCGUCUAUGGCGGACGGCCCUGCUAACCGCGCGAGCACCGGCCACUGCAAGCGACUAAAGCGUGAACCGAAGAGCGCAUAAGCAUCAGUGGCUCAUCGCGACUUCAACGAAGCAGAGAGCGACGGUUGAGAAGCUCGGAGAGGAGCUGGCCGUGGUGAAGUGUCCACGGCGGCGUUUCGGCCGGGAUUAGAGAAGGACGGAUCGGUUGAGGGCUACAAGGGGUUAGAGCUUGCGAGAGGGCGCGCAAUCGGUUGCUAGAGUGUUGGCAGAGCUACUGGUGUGCUCGGGUAGCUUGGAAAGGGAGCGAGUGAGGUGAAUUUUGCAGGCGUAGCAAGGUCGUCGGCGUUGAGCAAGAAGAGAAGAAAAGGGUCACAGCGGGGUGUUAACCACGGGAUGAAGUGGAUGAGGAUGCCAGCGGCUCGUCCACUUCACUGCGACCGCCAGUAGGCGAGCAGCUACGUGGCCAGGUGUGUGGCGGUGCGCGCGAAGGCGGCGCCUGCCCGCGCUGCGGCCGCGCUGGACAGAGCUCGUGAUCCCCAUCGGAUCACUGUAGCCGUCCCUAUCCCCUCCUUUCUGUUUUUUGCAAAAUUCAACUAAAAUUUGAACCAAAGUCAAAUUUUCACCAAAACCAAAGUUGUUCAAAAUUUUAAAAUAUACAAAACAUCUUUUGGUGUUCAAAGCUGAUUCCAAGUGGAAAAAGAUGAAUUUGACAAAACAGUUUAAAUUUCAAAUCCCAAAUUGGGGAAAUUCCAAUUUUUGAAUUGGGGCAGAUCAGAAUUUCCAAAAUUACUUUUGAUUUUCCGUAACAACUUGGAAAAUUCCCAACAUGAAAGUUGUUCACCUUUUUGAGCUCUACAACUUUCAUGUUGGUCACUUUUCAAGAUUCCAAACAGAUUUUGAAUUGGGGAUUCAAGUUGCAAAGGGGGACAUUUUCUAGAAAUAUGUAUUUUCAAAAUUACUUUCAAUUUUGUAUUGAAACUUCAAAAACUCAAAACACCAAAGUUGUACACCUUGACAAGAUCUACAACUUUGCUUUUGAACUCAACCUCAAAUUUUGCUUAGUUUUUAAAUUGCACCAAAGGGGGCAAAUCCAGGGUUUUAAAAUCAAGGUUUUUCCCCCCUAUUUUCUCGGAAACCUUCCACCCUAGGAAUUUCACAGCCACACUAGCUUCAAUACACCUUGCAAACACACUUUACUUCCCUAAGCACAAGCAAUCAAAAUAAACUUGUUUUAAGUUGAUGCAUAAUAAUGUGCUUAACAAAUAUGCGAUGCAAUGCUCAUGAUGACAUGAUCCAGUUUUACUAACCAUAACAUCGGGGAUGUUACAAUACCCUCUCCUCCUCCAAGGUCACCGAUCCCGGUGGAAUCCUCUCCUUCUUCUCCAGAAGUCUAGAUACAACAAGUACCAUCUCCUCCUUAGCCACAAGAAGAACCUCACGCAGAAGAACCCCAGUCGGAGGAACCUCAGCCAGAAGACACAUCGGCUGACAUGCACGAGCAAACUGCCGAUCCAGCAAGUUCAAUCAUAGCAUCGGUAGUUUCCUCAAUCCAAACAAGCAUUGCAACCCCUCAAGGUAACAUACUCUCUAUGAAAUUAUUGCCGAUGAACCUACUUUUUCAUCUUAUAAUUAUCUCUGUUACUCUUUCAGCUGACAUAUUUUCAUCGGCAACUCCAGCUGAUCAGCCCGUAAUUCCAUCGGCUUCAACUGGUCAGAGGCGAGGGAUAGCUCUGAAACAAGUAAGUUACCUGAUUUCUACCCGUAUUGUUUACCAAUGCUUGAUCAUAGAAUAACUUAUUCUAUUUUCUUUUCUAGGAACAAGACUCUCCCGACAGCUUGUUCUCCUUUGCCAUCGACAUCUCUGAGGAUGAAGGCGAGGAGGCAAGUUCUUCUCGAGCAGUUGGAAUCACAUCGGCAGAAAUUAGGGCAAAACUAGAAGAAAUAUCGGCCCUCCUUCAUCAAGACACAGCCCAAUUGGUCGACGACUCCGAUCCGGCCAAGGCCUUGUUCAAGACCCUCAGAGGCCACAUUCCCGCCGAUGCCGAAGAAAUCCUUUUUCAAGCUGCACACCUAUAGAGCCGUCAGCUGUAGUACCAAAAGGCUGUCCAGCGUCUUGCCGAUAGAGCUGCUCACGCUCGGCUCUCUGAGGAGAUGAUGAAAGUAAAGCUCCUUGCCGAUGAGAAACACAAGAGCAUCGGCACUCUGGAGUCCUCAGGAGAUGUGCUGAAACAAAAGAUCUCUGACCUGUCGGCAAAAAGAGAAGCCCUGUUGGCAGAACUUAAACAGAUAGAAGAAGCCUUGUCUCAAGCCCAACAAGAAGAAAGCCAGCUGCCUGAAACGAUCAAGCUUCUUGAACAAGAGUGAAAUAUCCAAGCCCGCAAAGCACUGCAGAUGAAGAAGAAGCUUAAACUUUUAGGCAUCAACCCAUAUGCUUGGGUGAUAUUUCUUUAAAUACUCGCCAAUCAAUGCUCUAGGAAAUUCAACUCCUUCGAGAGUUUCUAAGAUAUAGGCAUUGCCAGGAGCAUAUCGAUUUACUCGAUAGGGACCCUCCCAAUUGGGAGACCACUUCCCAAAUUUUGAACUUUUAGUCCCGAUCGGUAAGAUUAGUUUCCAUACUAAGUCUCCAUCGGCAAACUCCUUAGCUUUUACCUUCUUAUUAUACCAUCUGGCAACUCUCUUCUUAUUUUCUUCUAUACUCAUCAAAGCUCUUAGCCGAUGCCCUGCUAGAUCAUCCAACUCGUCUGUCAUCAAACUAGUAUAAUCAUCGGUAGCCAAUUGAUCUUGAAAAGAUAGUCGCCUAGACCCAGCCUUAAUUUCCCAAAGUAACACUACAUCAUGCCCAUACACCAACUGAUAACGUGAAACCUUGGUCGAUCCAUGACAAGUCAUCCGAUACGACCAUAAAGAUUCAUUUAACAACGUGUGCCACCUCCUAGGAUUUUCUUCAAUCUUCCGCUUAAUAAGCUUGAUAAUUCCUUUGUUAGAUGCCUCGGCCUGCCCAUUAGCUUGAGCAUAAUAAGGAGAAGAGUUUAAUACUUUAAUUCCCAUACCGAUUACAAAUUCAUCAAACUCCCCUGAUGUGAACAUAGUACCCUGAUCGGUAGUAAUUGUUUGAGGAAUUCCGAAUCGGUAAAUAAUAUGCUCUUUCAAAAAAUCGAUCAUAUUGGCCGAUGUAACUUUCUUUAAAGGAAUAGCUUCAACCCAUUUGGUGAAAUAAUCAGUGGCAACCAAGAUAAACUUAUGUCCUUUGCUGGAUGGCGGAUAAACCUGGCCGAUCAAGUCAAUAGCCCAUCCUCGGAACGGCCAAGGUUUAACAAUGGAUUCAUAGCCGAUGUGGGUGCUCUUUGAACAUUGCCCAACUUUUGACAUCCUUGACACCCUUUGAAAUACUUAAAGCAAUCCUCAAGUAUAGUCGGCCAAUAAUACCCAUUUCUUCUGAUCAUCCACUACAUCUUAAAUGCCGACGGAUGUGCCUCGCACACUCCCUCAUGGAUUUCUCCUAUCAAACUUCUAGCCUCAUCAUCACCUAAGCACCUGAGAAGAAUCCCAUCAAAGUUCGACAAUAUAACUCAUCUUCAUGGAGCACAUACUUGGUAGCUUGAAACCGAACAUGUCUCUCAACUUCCUUGGAUGGAUCCUUUAAGUAAUCAAUGAUUUCUUUUCUCCAAUCAUCGGCACUGAUUGCCGAUACUGCGUUUAUCAUGGGUUGAUAUCCCGAGGCAUGUCGAGCCAACCGAUUGGCUUCUUCAUUAUGCAACCGAGGAAUAUGCUGCAAUCGGAAAUCCUUGAAUUCCUUUAAUAGUUGCAUACUCCUUUCAUGAUAAGUUAUCAAGACUUCGCUUCGGCAUUCAUAGCUUCCAGCCAACUGAUUUAUAACCAGCAUAGAAUCCCCGAAGAUUUCAACAACAUCAGCAUGAACUUCCCUUAGUAAUUCCAACCCCUUUAUCAAAGCUUGAUACUCAGCCUGAUUAUUUGUUGACGUGGCAACAAUCGGCAAAGAGAGAACUCAUACUUCCUUCCCCGAGGGGAAAUUAACACUAUGCCAAUCCCUGCCCCCCGGUCACAUGUGGAUCCAUCAAAGAAGAGCGUCCAAGGUACAAUUUCCAAAGUCUCCACUGUACCGCAAUGUUGAGUUACAAAAUCGGCCAUAAUCUAUCCCUUAACCGCUUUAGCCGAUUCGUAACGCAAAUCGAAUUCCGACAGUGCCAAAAUCGAUUUACCGAUUCUGCCACUCAUGAUCGGCAUAGAUAGCAUAUACCUGACCACAUCAUCUUUGCAUAUAACAGAGCAUUCGGCCGAUCGUAGAUAGUGCCUCAAUUUAGUACAUGAGAAAUAUAAGCAUAAACAUAACUUUGCAAUGGCCGAAUACCUGGUUUCAGCAUCAACCAAUUCCUGCUUAAAUAAUAAAUCACUCGUUCCUUCCCUUGAAAUUCUUGAAUUAAAGCCGAACCGAUGACCAUACCAUCGGUAGAUAAAUAUAAUCUGAAGGGCUUUCCUUGCUGAGGUGGAAUCAGAACUGGAGGAUUUACUAAAUACUUCUUGAUUUCAUCUAAGGCCAACUAUUGCUCUUUCCCCCAGACGAACUCUUGAUCGGCUUUCAACUUAAGUAGAGGACUGAAAGCAAGAAUUUUACCGCACAAAUUAGAUAUAAACCUCCUGAUAAAAUUUACCUUGCUGAUCAAUGAUUGGAGCUCCGUCUUGUUGGUAGGAGCAACUAUUUUGUUGAUAGCAUCAAUGGAUCUCCUACUAAUUUCAAUCCGCCUUUGAUGCACCAUGAAACCAAGGAAUUGUCCUGCCGAUAUGCCAAAUGCACACUUAUUGGGAUUCAUUUUUAGACCAUGCUUCCUUGUGCAUUCUAACACCUUUCGUAAAUCGGCAAGAUGCUUUGCGAAGUCUCCAGACUUAACCACUACAUCAUCAAUAUAAAUUUCCACCAACUUGCCGAUGAACUCAUGAAAUAUAAAAUUCAUAGCCCUCUGAUAAGUAGCACGAGCAUUUUUCAAGCCAAAGGUCAUGACUAUCCAUUCAAACAACCCAACAUGACCAGGACAUCUAAAUGCAGUCUUUGGAAUAUCUUCUUCAGCCAUGAAUAUCUGAUUGUAUCCUACAUUACCAUCCAUAAAGCUGAUGAUCCGAUGCCCAGCCGCAGCAUCAACUAGUAGAUCGGCAAGUGGCAUUGUGUAACCAUCCAUCGGCGUAGCUUUAUUAAGAUUUCUGAAAUCAAUGCACACCCGAAGCUUCCUAUUUUUCUUGUAAACCGGAACAACAUUGGAAAUCGACUCGGCAUACCGACACUGCCGAAUAAAUUUAGCUUCAAUAAGCUUGGUUAUUUCGGCCUUAAUAUCAGGAAGAAUAUUAGGAUUACAUCGGCGAGCUGGCUGUUCAUGUGGUCGAAAUCCAGACUUGAUUGGCCACCGAUGUUCAACAAUUGAUCGGUCCAAACCAGGCAUCUUAGUAUAAUCCCAAGCAAAGCAAUCUUUAUAUUCUUUUAACAAAUCGGUUAAUUGCUGCUUACACUCAGAAUUUAACUUAACACUAAUAAAAGUAGGUCUAAGCUUAUCACCACUACCUAUAUCUACUUCUAUCAAAUCAUCGGCCGAUGUGAAUCCCUGGCCUAAUUUUCCAUCAUCGGCGAACAUAUCCAUUAAAAACCUUCAUCAGAACCGACUUCUUGGAUCGGUGGAAUUUCAUAAUCGGCAACUUUGAGAAAAUCCUUUUCCCAAAUUUCUCCCGAGAUGCACCUAGUUCUUUCAUAGGUGUCUGCCUCUGCCGAUGCGAUGACAUAAGAAGAAUCCCCCGGGACAAUCUCAAUUUUGUCACCUACCCACUGGACCAAGCAUUGGUGCAUUGUAGAUGGGAUGCAACAAUUGGCAUGAAUCCAAUCUCUCCCCAACAGCAAGUUAUAAGUACCUUUUCCGCUGAUCACGAAGAAAGUUGUCGGCAAGGUUUUGCUGCCGAUGGUCAACUCGACGCAUAUUGCUCUCUUAACCGGAGACACGUUUCCCUCGAAGUCCUUUAACAUCAUAUCGGUCUUGGUCAAAUCUUGAUCCCCUUUUCCAAGCUUCCGAUAUACUGCAUACGGCAUGAUGUUGAUAGCGGCUCCACCAUCAAUUAAUAUCUUGGUCAUUGGCGGACCAUCAACCCUUCCUUUGACAAACAAAGCUAUAAGAUGCUGCCUCUCAUUGUCGGCAGGCUUUUCAAAGAUAGCCGUCAUCGGAUCCAGAGCCAACUGAGCUAUCUGGUCGGAAAACUCUAACUCCUCAUCAUCGCUGGAUGGUGUUGGAUAUUCUUAACAUCAUUACCAAAAGUAGACUAAGUUCUCUAAAUCUAGUAACGGUGCCAAAAAUGCUGAACCUAUCCCUCACACCACUUAAGCCAAGUUGUCAUCCCCAGCAUGAUAUAAGAGACGCGGUAUUGAAAUAUGCAAUUGCUCUUCUAAAUAAAUAAUGAAUGAGAUCUGUAAGCGCACAGAUUAAUACCGAUGUAGCAUUUUAACCGGGAAGUAUUCCAGGUAUCGUUAUUUAUAUUUUUACCACUGGGAAGGGAUUAACAAUCAUCAAUAUUGAUUACAGAAUAGAAUAUGAGAUUGAGUAUCUAUCAUUGCAUGUAUAAUUGAGAACAUUAUAUCUAACUCUUCAUACAGGGAUAAGUGUCACAUAAAAGAUAUAUGAAAUAAUAAUAGUGACAAGGAUAACUAAUCUGAUCUAGCCACAUAAUAAAUAUGAUAAGCACCUCAAUUAGAUACCCUAGAAAGUCAUUAGCAUGGUAUUAGAACGAACUACAAGAAUAUUCCCUAAGUUAUUCUUAACUAUAUAGUCUAGCAUAUCAUAGUUAGUGCAAGCAUACUUAGCAAUCAUUGCGAGACAAGACUACGCCCAUGCAUAGUGAUAUUAGCAAGGAAUAUGAGAAACAUAGCAAUCAAUCCCCUGUAAUAAUGUUGCUCUGCCAGCCCAAUACACGAGAGGGGGACUAUAUAAGAAUCAAUGAAGCUGUCACUAUCACGAACCACCCCACGAUCUGGCAUAUUGGGUACAAUCGCAGAUAAAUACGGUAUAAGCACCACGCCUACACAAUAUCUAUCAUUUACCCAUGGAUCCGAUGGAUAAACGCUAUACGAUCCUAAGCAUGUAUAUAGAUCUAAUCUAACUAAGCCAAGUACAUAACUAUGAUAGACUAAGAACAAUAUAAUCUUGAAUAUAAGCAAGUAGAGCAAAGUCAUAAGCAAUAUAUUGAAGUAGAACAAAGUCAUAUUCAUAAUAUUGAAAAACAAAGAUAAUUAGAAAGUAAUUAGAAGCACAAUUAGAGAAUUACCAAGAAUCCUCGUGACAGAUCCGGAAACCAAUCGAAGAUUGACUCCUUCUAGUUCUAAUCCUAUGUAGCUAUGCUAAUCUAGAUAUCUAAUUGAUGUGGUGGCUCUAAUCUUGAUCAGAGGCUUCUUCUCCCUUGAGGAACAAUGAAUUAGGGUUGAGAGGCUCUCUCCUCCAGGGGCCAGGGGGUCUGGUUUUAUAGUCCCUUCAAGUGAAUAUGGGCCGUUGGAUCAAACCGACAUAGAUUGUAUGGUUUAGAUUCAUCCUUUAGGUCAGUGGAGAUCUCCCGCAAAGUAGAGUCCUGAUUGGACUCAGAGGCAGGGCGGGCGCCCUGAUCAACUGGGCGGGCGCCCAGGGUCAGGCCCCGUUUCGCCUCCGCUUCGGUCUCGUGGCUUCUGGAGUCUUCUAGAUGUAAGAUAAUUGCGCGGCACGUUAAUAUCUCUAUGUAAUCCCGACGUGUGGGCCUUUCUUCCGUAUUUCCUGAUAACCCCCUGCAGAAAUAGACAAACACCAAAACUCGUGGAAUUCUUUCAGAUAAAACCCUAAGUCUAGAUGUUGAUUUCAUUUGGAUCCUUUUCUUUAUUUAUUUGAUAAUUAAAUUUGAUACUUAAGGACCGUCAACAAACUCCCCCAAGCUUACCUCUUGCUCGUCCCUGAGCAAGGAUAGACUCAGCUAUGGAACAUAAGUUGUUGCAAUAUUUUUUUAAAAUUGACGGUACACAUACUUUUAAAUAAGAUCUCAUCUCUGAGUUAGAGUAAACUGUCAAGACAUAAAACUUACUUACUUUACCUUCCACCAUGGGACUUGUAACCGUCACUUCUAUCUUGAGUAGUUAAAAGAUAGAACAGUCUAGUCAAGUGCCAUGUCUCUUAUUCUUGAUCAGCUAUAGCUCUGGGGUUUUUACAGGUUUUCAAAUAAAACUCAGAGAUUCCUUGUAUGAUUCUCUCAUAUCUCUCUUUUGUGGUAUUUCUGGAUCCUUACCUAGGCAGUGAUGGUAUAUGCCUUCACUCAAGAUAUGUAGUAUUUGUGGUAUAAGGCAUAGUGACAUUGCCUUCUCUCUCACCCUACUCUAAUAAGGCUUUAAUAUCUCGAGCUCAUAGGUGGGAGAUAAAGUAUACAUACUUACAAGACAUGUAUUGCAUAGUCAAACCAUGGAUCCAAAGUAACAAAUCAAUAAGCCAAAUCAAGAUGUGCAUGUGUGGCGAAUGAAUGAUGUAUGGUGAUGAUGGUGAUAACGAUGGUGAAAACAGUGGUGGUGGAAGUCUAAUUCUACUUAGCUCAUUGAGGGGAUACAUACCUUCCUUGCUUUUUGAAACUUUAUGAGGAGAAGGAGAUGCUCUUCUUUUUCUUUUCUCUCAGGUGGGUAUCUUGCACCCCUAAUUCUACUGCCGGACACUUGUCCAUUUUUACCUCUCGUCUCACUUUUUUCUUUUUCUUUCGAGGUUCCGAGCACUUGCUCCUUUUUAUUUCCUCGUAUUUUUUUUAUUUUCUUCUUUUUUUUAGAGCACUCAUCUCUUGAGAUAAUAUAGCAAGUGGUAGUAACAAGAUAACUUGAGCAUUUAUUUCACAAGGGAAAACAGAAAUAUUUUUGGUUAUUCUCUCCCGGGUUAGGAGUAGAAUAUUUUUGGGUGAUUCUGGAGAUGGAAUGGGUGGAUAUAUGUGGAUGGUACUUCUGGAGUAGAAGUAGCAUAUAUGAGUGAACGUGCAAGUGAAAUCUUGAUUUAACCACAUGACAAGUUCCUAAGGGUCUACACAGCUUGACCACACUCAAUGCUCAUAAGCAGUAAAUAG